ACAAAUUUACCAAAUGCAUAACAUCAUUCCAAACUAUGCCCAAUCAAAUUUAUAACACUUUUACACUCAUUGAUCACAUAGCACAAAUGUAACACCCUUUACCAUACCCAAAUCACAGGAUCCGGAAAUCGGAUGUUACAAUACAUAAACACUUAGCAAAAAUUUUACAAUCGGCGUAAAUUCUAAAACAUACUUCUUAUUUCUUUUUGCACUAUUCUUAACAUAAAAGAAUAUUUUUAAUAAUUAAAUCAAAGUUUCAAAAAUAACAUAUGACGUUACAACUUAAAACUUUGUUAAAGACAGAUUCUUUAUGGUGUAGAAAACUAAGUGUCAUACUCCUAUGAUGCCCUCUGUAUGCAUAAUAUCGCAAUGUGAACUGCAACCCUGACAAGUCCUGGCUUAGUCCCUUCUGGCGUACCAACCCUUUAAUCAGAACCUGCAAUCAGAAAAUAGUCUCUUGUAAGUUCAAACAAACUUACUGAAUUUUAACCCAGAUUACCUUUAAGCGUUCAUUGUUAAAUUUCUCAACUUGAAUAUUUUGGAUUUCUUUUAAGUCAUAGGCAGACACUUUUCGAAUAUCAGGUGCACACAUAUACGCCAAUUCUUAUGCAUAACCAACCUACUGAUCUACCGUAAUUCGGCGUAGCAGACUAAACUAGUUUUCACAUUUAAGGAGUUUGAAUACAAUCAUUUUUUUUAUGUUUUAAUUCAGUUUCUUUAGUUUUGUUUACAUUUAAUAAAAUGUGCACAUUGAGUUUUUUAUUAACCGUAAGGGCCGAAUAAGGCCUAAGGGAGAGCUAUCGUACUUUGUGAGUGUGUAAGAGACCAUUAAAAGGCAUUUUGGGGCAAUACUGGACGCUAUGUCGCAAUAUGAGGGAUCCAAUGUCACAACAUAGAAAGUAGAAUAGAGGAAGUAAUAAAUUGCCUUCAAUAUCGCGACACAGGCUAAGGGUAUCGUAACAUACCCCUAAAGAUGGCUACAGAGGGAUAUGCUAGUUGCUAUGUCGUGACACAAGUCCUGGUGUGUCGCGACAUCAACUCUGUAAUGAGAAUAAAACACGAAGUAGGGGCAUUUUGGUCUGUACAAUCGAACUUUAAAGCUCGGGAACGUUAGCUAUCCUAGGGCUAAGGACGAUGACUACCUGAAGGCUAUAAAUAAACCUCUCUGGCACACAUUAUGGAGACGAUACCAUUAGCUUAGACUUUCUCUUUAGGUUUAAUUUCGUUUUCUUAGUUUUUCAAAGUUUCGUUUCUUUUGUUGUUUAUUUUAUUUCAAGAGAUUUGAGUUGUAAAGGAGAUUGACUCUUGUGGAUUCACAUUCAUUAUCAAAAUUAAUCAGGUUUUUCUUAAACUCUACUAUUCAUUCAUUAUGAUUAAUUUUUAUAUCUAUUCCAUGUUGUUUAUGAAAGCCAUGAGGAACUAAUCCUUCUAUUGGCAAUUAGCGAGUGGAAGCAUGACCUUUUAACUAUCUUGUAGGGUAAUUCAAUGGAUCAAAUGUUUGGGAAAGGGAGAACGCAAAACAAACUAUAGGCUUAGAAACAUGAAAAUAUACACACUUUUUCAUGCCCUUUAACUCAAAUUCAUACGGUUUCGGUAAAAUUCUUGUCGAAAAAUAUAUAAUUAUUAUAAAAUAAUUAAAUUACACUCAAAUUAUUAACAUUUUGAAUUUUAAUUAAUUUUAUAUAAAAUUUUAAUUAAUUUUGAUUAUUUUUGACAGAUUUACACAAAGGACAAAAAAUGGCUCGACAGACACUACUAGAAGCACAAAACCGAGAAAUAAUUUUGAAGCAUUAAUGCUAAUUAAUUUUUUAGCUUAAGAAGGUCCAAAUUAUGAAUAUAAAUUCAUAAAAUAAUUAAUUUUAAUUUUAAUCCAAUUUAAUUUGGGUUAAAUAAAUUAUUGUUAAUUAAUUAUGAAUAGGCGCCCAGUUGAGCUGAAUCGAGAAAAUCGAUCCAACCGAGCACUGGGCAGCCCAAAACUGUCCCACAUGCGGACUCAAUCAGCUUUUUUGUCUGAUAAUUUGGCUUGCAAAAUAGCCCUUGAAGACUCCUUCAAAUUGCAUUCAAACCCCUCUACUAUUUAUGCCUUUUUAGAUUUGCCCCUACCUUAAAAUUGCAAGUUUGAGACCUUCAAACUUGCCACAUGUGUGGUCAGCCAUGGGGGGACUCUAUGGCUGCUGAUUUUUGCUAAUUAUAGCAGCCAUCUCAACCUAUAAAUAUCCCUCUUGGCUGCUCACUUCAAACACAUUUCAAACUCAUUUAUUUCUUCACUUCUCUCUCACUUUUCUUUCUUCAUUCCGUUCAAUUGUUCUUCAUUUUCUUGCCCCAUUCCCUUUCCGAUUUCACCUAUUGAAAAAGAGUCCUUCAACAAUCAUUUGGAGAAGCAUUCAAGUGUUUGUAAAAGCCUCGGUUCAACAAGAACAAGCGAAGAAGGAGGAGCGGAGCAAACUAGUCAAGCCUCGGAGAAACACCGGAUUUGAUUCUUGUUCCUUAUCCGUUUUAAUUUUAUUGUUGUUAUGAAAAUCUCUAUGAAUAAUUGUAAUGUUGAUAUGUUUAAUUUAAUUAAUAUGACUUCAUGUUAGGUUGAUUGCAUUUCAUCUACAUAAUUUAUUAAAAUUGUGUUUGUGUUGUUAUAGGCCUCGGUAAGAUGUUUGAUUAAGUAAAACCAUGACCAAGUUAUUCUUGCAUUACAAUUGUAAGGUAACUAACGGAUUAAUUAUUUAAACAAAUUGAAAUUGUAAUCAGUGCAUGUUUAAUCAUCUAAGGUAGCUGAGGGUUAAAUAAGAAAAAAUAUCUAAUGAUACAUUAGCCUUGCAUAACUUGCAAGAUUAUUGUGAUUAAACUGUUUCAAGGUAGAAAUACAUUGUUACCUCACAUAAUCUUUUAUGUGCUUAUGAGAUUGAAUUAAUUGUUUGAAUUGGCAUAGAAAUAUGUACAAGAGAUUAUUUUAAUUUCAUAAGUAUGUAUAUGCGUUAACACAUUUGCUUAUUAAAAUUUGUUUAAUCAGUUGAAUUGACAUAGAGAUAUAGUCAAGAGAUAAAUGGAUUUUGGUAGGUAAGUAUGUUUAUAAGUUAGCAAAUUACUGAGUUACCGUGAAUUUAUUCGUAACAACAUGAACAUGAGUUUAAUAAUUCUAAGUUAAGAAAUGUAAUUAAUCUAACACAAUUAUGUCAUCUUGAUUAAAAUCAUCUUUUGAAAUCGUGCACUGGUAUUUUCUAUUUAUUUAUUUUACUUAGCUAAAAAUCUUAGUUUUUAAUCUCCUAGUCAAAUCAAAAUAUUUUAAAAUCUUAGUUUUUAACCACCUUGUCAAAUCAAUAUAUUUUUCUUCAUCAAAGUGUUUUAAAUUGCAUUUAGAAAUAAUUUUUUUCACAGUCCCUGUGGGUAUGAUAAGUCGACAUUUACUUGUCAUUUUAUUACUUGUUGCGAUUGUGUACACUUGCAUAUUUUCGUCAUUCCAACUUUUUGGCGCCGUUACCGGGGACAAUUUUAAAAAUUCCUUAUUUCUGAAUUUGUGAAUUUUGCAUUUUGGUUUAUUUUUUCUGUUCAGUUUUUAAUUUAAUUAAUUUUUUUGUGUUUGUUGUAGGUGUUUAUGAGUAUUGAUUGAAUCAUCGAUUUACUCCUUGUAGACCCUGAGAUUGAAAGAACUUUUCGACAACGAAAAAGACAAGCAAGUUAGAGAAGGACUGAAGAGAUGAACUUCGAAAAUCCGAAUCAAGGAAAUAGAGCAAACCUUGCUCAAAAUUCCCUAUCCUUAUUGCUAAUGAUAGGGAUAGAGCUCUAAGACGAUAUGUCAUUCCAGUGUUUCAUGAUCUUAAUCCGGGUAUUAAGAGACCCAAAAUUGAGGCACAACAGUUCAAGCUGAAGCCAGUCAUGUUCCAGAUGCUUCAGACAGUGGGCCAAUUUAGUGGAAUGCCUAUCGAAGAUCCUCAUAUUCACUGAAGACUGUUUAUGAAGGUGAGCGAUUCUUUCAAGUUAGCUGGAGUACCUGAAGAUGUGCUACGAUUAAAGCUAUUCCCAUAUUCGCUAAGGGACACAGCUCGAGCCUGGUUGAACUCAUUGCCACCAAAUUCAAUUUCCACAUGGCAAGAGUUAGUGGAAAGAUUCCUUAUGAAGUAUUUCUCGCCUAGAAAAAAAAUGCUAAGUUGAGGAAUGAUAUCACUGUUUUCCAACAAAUGGAUGGUGAGUCCUUGUAUAAGGCAUGAGAAAGGUACAAAGAAUUAUUAUGGAAGUGCCCUCAUCAUGGAAUCCCACAUUCCAUCCAACUUGAGACGUUUUAUAAUGGUUUCAAUGCUCACUCGAGGAUGAUAGUGCAUGCUUCUGCUAAUGGUGCUCUCCUUUCCAAGUCUUAUAAUGGGGCUUAUGAAAUCAUUGAGAGGAUUGCCAGUAACAAUUAUCAAUGGCUAACCAAUCAAGCAGUGUUAGGAAGACGAGUCUCUGGAAUACAUGAAAUGGAUGCUCUCAUUUCACUCGCAUUUUAGGUAUCUUCGAUUUCCUCAAUGCUUAAAAAUUUUACCACUAAUGGGUUUAAUAGUUUUGCAACACAACCACAAAAUCAAUUUAAAAAUAUAGCUUGUGUCUAUUGUAGGGAAGGACAUCUGUUUGAAGAAUGUCCAUCGAACCCAGAAUCUGUGUAUUACAUAGGCAACCAGAACCAAAACUGAGGAAGGCAAGGACUACAAUCCAAUUCCUAUAACCCAUCAUGGCAAAACCACUCUAAUUUCUCCUAGAGUAACUAAGGGGUUGGACCCAGUAACAUAUACGCCUAACCUAGACCGACCCAGCCACCUAGUUUUACCCAACAAGUUCAGAAACAACCUCAAGUUGAGCCAUCCAAUGGCUUAAAAAACUUGUUGAAGGAAUACAUAGCCAAGAAUAAUGCCUUAAUCCAAAGCCAAGCAGCUACAUUUAAAAACCUGGAAAACCAAAUGGGCCAGCUUGCAGUUGAACUAAAAAACAGGCCACAAGGUGUUUUACCUAGUGAUACGGAGAAUCUGAGGAAUCCAGGGAAGAAGCAUUAACACUGAGGAGCAGAAAGACAUUAGAGCCCAACACUGUUGAAGCUAAAGAGGAGCCAACUGAUGCUUAAGACUUAGAGAAAGUUCAACUGAGUGUUGAAAUUCUAGUUUCAUCAGAACCUAAAUCUGCAAAAUCCAAAAAGAUAACUUCUAAACCUGCUAAUUCUAAUAAACUAGCAACUUCGUUAGAUGCAGAAUUGCCAUAGAAGACGAAUCAAAUAGUUUCAGUAAAGAAGCCUCCACCACCCUACCCUCAAAGACUUUAGAAGUAGAAGCAAGAAGUUCAAUUCAAAAAGUUCUUAAACGUACUCAAGCAAAUUCACAUCAACAUUUUGUUGGUUGAAGCACUUGAACAAAUGGCGAACUAUGUUAAAUUCAUAAAAGGAUAUCCUGUUUAAAAAAUGAUGACUAGGAGAAUUUGAGACGGUAGCCCUGACGAAGGAAUGUAGUGCAUAUCUUCAAGAUAAACAAUCCCCAAAAUUGAGGGAUCCUAGAUAUUUUACCAUACUUUGCAACAUUAGAGAAACAUAUUGUGGUAAGGAACUAUGUGACUUGGGUGCGAGUAUCAACUUGACGCCCAUAUUAAUAUUUAAGAAGUUGGGGAUAGGUGAAGUUAGACCUGUUAUAGUUACACUUCAAUUAGCAGAUCGAUCCUUAACACAUCCAAAAGGAAAAAUUGAGAUCGUAUUGGUAAGUGUAGAAAAAAUUAUUUUCUCUGCUAUCUUUAUUAUUCUAGAAUCUGAAGUAGAUAAAGAGGUGCCAAUCAUUUUAGAAAGGCCUUUCCUACCAACUGGAAGAACCCUUAUUGAUGUGCAGAAGGGCAAGCUCACUAUGCGUGUUCAGGACGAUCAGGUAACAUUUAAUGUUUUUAAGUCUAUGCGAUUUCCUAACACAAUUGAUGAUUGUUUUGUAGUAUCUAAUUUAGAGAAAUUAAUCAUGGAAAAAGAACUUAACUAUGUUGAGGAUCUGUAGAAGCAAAUUUUGACAUCAGAUCCUCCAAGUGAUGAAAAGGAGGAUGAAUACUUAGCUUUGCUAGAAGCUAAUCAAAGGGGAUUUAAUCUGCAAUCUCGCUUUAGAGAAUAGGGAUUAUGCCCAACCAAAAUUGUCAAUCAAGAAGCCACCUAAAUUAGAACUCAAGGUACUUCCUUCACAUUUAAAAUAUGUUUAUUUAGGUAAAGCUUCUACUUUGCCUGUGAUUGUUUCAGCGGAAUUAAUCAUAGAACAAGAAGAGAAACUCAUCCAAGUAUUGAAACAAUUCAAGAAGGCUAUUAGAUAUGCCAUAAUGGAUAUUCGUGGCAUUAGUCCAUCUGUAUACAUGCACAAGAUCAUCCUGGAAGAUGGCAAGAAAGAGACGAUUGAUGGACAACAAAGACUAAACCCCAUCAUGAAGGAUGUGGUAAAGAAAGAAAUCAUCAAGUGGUUAGAUGUGGGUAUAAUUUACCCCAUCUCAAAUAGUUUGUGGGUAAGUCUAGUCCAGUGCGUGCCAAAGAAAGGAGGUAUUACGAUCGUAGAGAAUGAAAACAAUGAGCUAAUACCAACCAGAACAAUUAUGGGAUGGGGAAUUUGCAUCGAUUACUAGAAGCUGAACAAGGUGACUAGGAAAGAUCAAUUUCCUUUGUCGUUCUUGGACCAGAUACUGGAUAGACUCGAAAGGCGAGACUUACUAUUUUCUUGAUGGAUACUCAGGGUAUAAUUAGAUUACAGUAGCACCGGAGGAUCAACACAAAACAACAUUCACAUGCCUGUGAAGUACAUUUGUAUUGAGAAGCAUGCCAUUUGGUUUAUGUAAUGCACCUACUACAUUUCAAAGAUGUAUAAUGUCUAUUUUUACUAAUAUGGUUGAGGAGAACUUGGAAGUGUUUAUGGAUGAUUUUUCAGUGUUUGGAGACACUUAUGAUGGUUGCUUAGCCAAUCUAGCCAAGGUACUAAGGCGAUGCGAAGAAACAAACCUUGUACUUAAUUGGGAGAAGUGUCAUUUCAUGGUACGAGAAAGUAUUGUUCUAGGACAUCGGAUAACGAGACAUGAAAUCAAGGUAGAUAAAGCAAAGGUAGAUGUUAUUGAGAAACUCCCACCUUUAACUUCUGUAAAGGGUGUUAGGAGCUUUUUGGGCCACGCCGGUUUCUAUCGAAGAUUCAUCAAGGAUUUCUCCAAAAUUGCUAAACCUUUAUGAAAAUUAUUGGAGAAAGACACGAUGUUCAAAUUUGAUGAGGAGUGGUUUACAAGCUUUCAAUGAUUUGAAAAGCCGGUUAGUUUCAGCACCAAUUAUUGUUACAUCAGACUAGGAUUUGCCAUUUGAAUUGAUGCGUGACGCAAGUGAUUUCGCGAUAGGAGCUUUCAUGGGCCAGCGAAGGAACAAAGUUUUUCAUCCUAUCUACUACGCAAGACAUACUCUGACGGGAGCUCAAUUGAAUUAUACGGUAACAGAGAAAGAACUACUUGCUCUUGUGUUUGCUUCUGACAAUUUUUGAUCUUAUCUUGUAGGUACUAAAUUAAUUAUCUAUACAGAUCAUUCGACAAUUAAGUAUUUACUUGCCAAGAAAAACUCUAAGCCAAGACUGAUCCGAUGGGUACUUCUACUUCAAGAGUUCGAUCUAGAAAUUCAAGAAUGAAAAGGGGUAGAAAACCAAGUAGCAGAGCACUUGUUCAGAUUGGAGCCGCAAGAAGGGAAUUCUCCACUUAUACUCAUUUAGGAGACAUUUCUAGAUGAACACAUACUAAAGGUAAAUCAUGCCCAUAAUACCCCUUGGUUUGCUGAUAUUGCUAACUAUUUAGCUUGUGCUUUGAUGCUGAUUGAUAAGACAUAUCAUCAAAAGAAAAAGUUUCUUCACGAUGUGAAGUACUUUUUUGGGAAAAACCAUACUUGUUUAAAAAGUGUGUAGAUCAAAUGAUCCGGAGAUGCGUGGCAGAAGAUGAAGUACAUAAGAUUCUAUAUCAUUUCCACUCAGCUCUGAGUGGGGGAUACUUCGGAGUACACAUACUGCAAGCAAAGUAUUGUAAGCCGAAUUCUUUUGGCCAACACUAUUUAAAUACGCGUAUCCUUACAUAAGGAGCUGUGAUCGAUGUUAAAGGUUGGAAACGUCACCAACAGAAAUGAGAUGCCUCGAACAAACAUCAUUGAGGUAGAAUUAUUCGAUGUUUGGGGUAUUGAAUUUUUUGAUCUUUUCCCUCCAUCUUUUGGUCACAAGUACAUAUUGGUAGCAGUAGACUAUGUGUCUAUGUGGGUUGAGGCUGAGGCAUAUCAGGUGAAAGAUGCCAAGGUUGUGAUGAAUUUUUUGUAGAAGCAUGUGUUCACAAGGUUUGGAACCCUAAGAGCUAUCAUCAGUGAUGAAGGGUCCCAUUUUGUGAACAAAUGGUUGAAAUGGUUACUCGACAAACAUUGAGUAAAGCACAAGGUUGCCAUAGCUUACCAUCCACAGACAAAUGGGCAAGCUGAACUAGCAAACAAAGAGAUCAAAGGCAUAAUCAAGAAUGUCGUUUGCCCGAAUCAACGAGAUUGGUCCAAAAGACUAGACGAUGCUUUAUGGGCCUACAGGACAACAUACAAGACACCUUUAGGGAUGUCACUCUAUAGGUUGGUCUUUGGGAAAGCCUAUCAUCUACCUUUGGAGUUAGAGAGAGCACAAAGCUUACUGGGCUCUCCAACAACUCAACUUGGAUCUUAAGCUUGCUAAAGAGAAAUGGAUGCUCCAACUUAAUGAGUUGGAAGAAUUCUGAAUGUUCUCAUACGAGAAUGCCAAAGUACUCAAGGCAAGACUUAAGAGAUGGCAUGACAAGCACAUUCGAAUUCGAGAAUUUGAAGUAAGUCAGCAAGUCUUGAUAUUCAAUUCUAGAUUAAGGUUCUUCUCAGGUAAGUUAAAAUCAUGUUGGUCUGGUCCAUUUAUGAUUCACGAAGUUUAUCUAUACAGAGUUGUCGAACAUCAAAGUAAGGAAGGUAAUUUUCGAGUCAAUGCUCAGCGCUUAAAACAUUACUAGGAUGAUAAAAUUAAACUGUAUCAAAUCUCGUUCAAUUUAUCACAUAUUUAACUUUUCUUGUUUUUCUUUUUAAAUAAAUAAUUUUGGGUAUAUUUUUGAGAUUAAUAUGUUUAAAUAAAUUUUGUCUAGGAGAUUGGAACUUAAGCGGGACCGCUUGUGACCCCUCCAAUCUUUCCUGGGAAUUGAUUUUAACAUAAUCUUCUGAGAAAUUAUUCCCUAAAUGACAAAAAUAAAUUUUUAGUUUUUCUAAUAAAAGGGUCCAUUUUGAUCCAAGUCUUAAUUACAACUCAUUUUCAAAUUUUCUUUAAGUCUAGGUACUUAAUUGAAUUAUUUUCAAAAUUUGGUUGCUCUUUUUGUAAAUAUUAAAAUUAGAUGUCUCUUUUUUGUAAAUAUUUUUGAAAGGCAUCUAGAAUAAACAUUUUUAAUUUAAUUUAAUAAAUAAGAUGAUAAUAACUAGUAUGUAAUUAUAUUUAUUAUUAACUUUGCAUAGAAUUAGGAUUAGUUUGAAUUUGAUCAUAUUUUAUUUAAUAAGAUUUUAUUUUAAUAAAUUAAUAGAAAAUAAUAAUUUAAUAUGCAUUAUAUUAAUUAUUAAUUGUUGUUAACUUAGUGUAGAAUUAGAACUUAGAAUAUUUUAACUAUUAAAUUGUUUUAAGAAUUAUAAUUAAAUUCCUACCUUUUCCCUAUAAAUUCCACCAACCUUCUCCAUCAUUCAUUACUCAUCAAACCAACCUCCAUUCAUCUAUCCCUUUAUCAAUCCUAGCAUGCAAAACCCUUAAGUACUGAAUCAUCUGGUGCUGCAGCUCCCAACUCUCUAGCCGCAACACCGUCGAGCAGCCCUAUUCGGCCAACAGCUCACUUUGCAUUUGCAUGCACUUGGCUCACCUAGCUAGCAGCCCAUCCCGCACGCACCUGCCUCCAUCGCUCACUGCUACACGCACCUGCCUCCAUCGCUCGCUGCUACUACCUUGCACGUCCUGCUCUGCCUGCAUCGUGUCACUCCCAGCUCCAGCUCGCCUGCGCCAACACUGCUGCUCGCUCAAUGUUGCUGUCUGUUGCCCGCGCAGUUGCUCACGCCAGGCCUUGUUGCUCCCUAGCACAUCUACCCACACACCCAGCAGCUUCCCAGUAUCCGUGUGGCACACCAGCCUUGCUACUCGCACCAACACCCCACACUUAGCCGAUAACCCUCUAACCAUCACUAAAUUGACCUCUUUUGAUUUAUAUUUAUUUUUCUUUGAGUUCUUAAUUUUUAUAAAAAAGUGGUAAGAGAAAUUUUCUUCCUAAAUUUUAAUUUUAUUUAGUUAUUUAUUUUUUUCAAUUUAUUGAGUUAUUAAUAUUUUAUACUAAUUAAAUUUUUGAGAAAAUUAUGGAAAAUGGAUCUACCUCUUAAAAUCAAAAUUACAGUUUGGAGAUUCUUAUGCAACUAUCUGUCUAGUUUUAGUAAUCUUCACUUUCACAGAAUGAUGGCUUCCUCCAUGUGUCCAAGGUGUCAAACAGGAGCAGAAAUGAGGGAACAUAUAUUUCGGGAAUGUCUUCCUGCAAAAGAUACAUGGAAGCAGUUACAUAUGGUAUGGCCUCUAGAGGACAACUCAGACCUUACAGUUUGGUUGAAAAAUACCUUUGAGUCCAGAUCCAUGGCUUUGUAUAGAAUGGCAGUAUGUGCUUUAUGGGUGAUAUGGAUGUCUCAGAACAAAUUUAUUCAUGAGGGGGAUCAGGUUUUCAAAUUGCUAGUUUUGUGUAAAAUUAUUUAAAUGAACUUGAUGGUCUAAAAAGAUCUAUACCUGAAAAGGAUUUGUGUGGACAGAUGGACUGCUCCCAUGGGACUGAGAUUGAAAGUGAACUUUGACGCAGCUUUCAACAACCAUAACAAAGAGUCGUGCUCAGGGUUAGUGAUUCGUAACAGUAAAGCAGAGGUCAUUUGUUCUAAAACAAAAAUGAACUUGAACAUACUGUUCAUUUUUGCUGCAGAAGAAAUGUCGUGUCUUCAGGCACUGAAGCUGGGGUUACAACUUAGGUUGAGGGAGGUGGAGGUUGAAGGUGACUCUCGGUCGGUCAUCUAAAAGCUGUAAGAGGAAAAGGACAGAUCUGAGAUUUCUGUGUGUAUCAAAGAUGCUCAGAACGUUAGUUGUCAAUUUAAUCUUUGUGUUUUUCUUUUUACAAAUAGGGAGUCUAACAAAGUCACCCAUUAUUUAGCGCAAGCAAGACUCAAGAAAAGAGAAACCACUUAUCUGUCAAAUCUGGUAUUUUCUGCUACGGCAGAGGCAGAGGCAGUGGCUAAAGAUAGGACGUGGACGGAGGCAAUGAGUGAGGAUAGGGGAAGAAGAUAUGAAAGGGCUGAAGAAAGUGUUUUGGAAUUUUGAUUUUGCUAAGAGUUUCAAUUAGGUUUUUUCAAUGUGUAUAAGGGUAAUGAAAAUGUUUGAUGGGAUAGAUAUGACAGGUAAUUAAAGCACCAGUUGGUUUUGCUUCCCCAUGCAGUUUCUUGCUAUUUUCCAAAAGGGGUUUCAGUUAUUGGAGUACAGUUGGAGAACGAUGUCUCUAGAGCUCCCCUUGUUGCUAUUUGCUGGAUCUUGUUUUUGGGCCUUUUCUUCGAUUUUGCUUUGGAUUACUUUUGUUUUAGGCUUUUGUUUGUUUGGUUUUUUAGUCUGUUUGUUCAGACUGGUCUUUUAAGACUCAUAACCUUAUGGCUUUGAUUUUAUGUUGUCCUUUUUGAAUAAAAUCCAGUGAUUAUUUCUUCAAUUUUUUUUUGAGAAAAUAUUUGUUUCCAUCUUAUGUUCAGGUUAAUCAUGCCUCGCAAGAAAACUUGUGCUUCUGUGGAAAUUGAUGAAUCACAAAACAAAUUCUACUGUGAAGAAGCCAAAGCGAGAUAUAAAAGCGUUUUCAAGAAUCAACAGAUGCACCAAGAAAAAGGCUUCACACUGAAAGAAAGCAACUAUAUUGAUUUCAUGGCGCGCAUUCGACAAAUUUUUGAAUCUCUGUAACACCCCUUACCAGUAUUUGAUGCCAGAAUAGGAAACGAGGCAUUACCGGACGUAAACACAAGCAAACAUACAUUCCGAGUUGUAAAUUUUGCACCAAAUUAAAAAAAAUUUAACAAUCAAUCACAUCAUCCUUAAAACGAGCCACAAGGCCCAAAACAUACUUUGGAAGCGGUUCGGGACUAAACCGAUAACUUUAGAAAAUUUUACAACACUUAGAAAAUUUUUCAUGUUUUAAGGGCCAGACGGCCAUGUGGCUUGGGACACGCCCGUGUGGGCAGGCUGUGUGGUCACAUAUGCUCGUGUCCCUAACCCAUAUAUCUCUCUGUUUGUCACCUAAGGACAAUUUGAAGUCACAUGGCCAAGACACACGCCCAUGUCCUGAGGCCAUGUCCUUUACACGGUUGAGACACACACCCGUGUCUCUGCCUGUGUGCUCAGUUUUGAGCAUUCUAUUUUGCAACAAAUUUAGGUGCAGGAGACAUACGACCAGAUCACACGCCCAUGCCUAGACACAUGCCUGAAUGUCUACCCGUGUGGACAAAAACAAGGCUAUUUACCAAGCCAUUUUUCCACCCUUACUUGCACAUAUCUACUCAACAUCACAUUGCACAAACUCAAGCAUGAAGAGCAACCAAAUACUCACAACCCAGACAAUAACAUGUCAUUCUCAUACCAUUUUUAAACAUGCUUAAAACAUCAACCUUUCCACAUCAAAGUAUGGAAGUUUCCACAUUCACAAAUGACAUUAAUACAAAUAUACUCAUAACCAACAUUAGCCAACUUUCAAGGCUAUAUACAAAAUGAACCAUUAUAAGCCAACACAUAUGACCAAAAGACCAAGUCCUUAUACAUGCCAUAAACUUUAAAUACUUGAAUUCAUCAAUACCUAAUAUGAUAGCUGGAUAGUGUGAUAGGUUCUUCGGUCAUCUCCAACCCGAGCUAGCUUGACGACACUAUAAAACAUGGGAAAGGAAGGGGGUAAGCUAUAUAGCUUAGUAAGUUCCUAUGCAAAUAAGAAGCACCAUAUCCAAAAAUUUAACAUAUAAUUAACAUGAUGAUAAUUGGCAUAAAUAUUAUUAAGAUCUCAUAAACAUAACUUACUCAAUCAUAACCGUACCGAAGGUUCAUCACAUAACGAGCUCAUUACGUAUGAGUUUUACAUACAUACCUGAGUCAUCUCGAAUUGGAUUUUCACACAAUUCAUCUUUGACAUAAUCGUUAAAUUACUCGUUGAACCACUUGGAAUACUAAAGGAUACUCGGGGGUCCCGUACACACGGUACCGUACCAAUGCUAUAUCCUAGAUAUGGUCUUACAUGUAAUCUUGUAUUAAUUCCAAUAGCCUAGUUAUGGUCCUACACGAAGUCUCAUAUCGAUGCCAUAUCCCAGAUAUGGUCUCACACGUAGUCUUAGUAACCCUAAUGUCAUGACAUUUGUAUCCUAUCUAUUCCUAAGGUUCAACCGGGAUUUCAUGUUUGUCAAAACUUUGUAAAAUACGUCCAGAGGUCAAUCACAAUUCAUACAAUAAUAAAGCAUUUAAACGUGAUUAAAACAAUGCAUUAUUUACAUACAAACUUACCUAGGCAUAAAAAUGGCGAAAAGGGCCUAACCGUCAAAUAUUUUUUUUCCCCCGUCCUUAUUCCAAACCUUGUUUUUCUUGAUCUAUAAUAUCACAUUUAACUUAUUUAAUCAUUACAGUAUUCAAAUCAACCAAAAAUCAUAUUAUGGAAAAAAUUCCAUUUUUGCCACCAAAGUUUGACAUUUUUACAUUUUGGUCCCUAGGCUCGUAAAAUGAAAUGUACUCAAUUUCUUCAACACCAAUGUCUAGCCGAACCUUAUACAUGCUUAUAGAAGCCCAUAUUUUUCUUUUAUUCACAUUUUAACACCCAUUUUACAACUUUUUACAAAUAACUUCUUUUUAGGCAUUUUCAUUGAAAAUCACUUAGCAAAAGUUGUUUAUCAAACAACUAACAUGCAUUUUCUAACAUUAAUGUGACAGCCCUAAUGUGACCCUAGUCGGGAAGUGGUUUCGGGACCACAAAACCGAGUCAUAAAAAUAAUUAACUGUCAUAUUUGAUGCUUAUUAUAUGUAUAUAUGCAUGUGUGAAAAUUUCAUAUUUGAAUUUUGUUAAUUGUAGGUGAAUUUUAGUAAAUAGGACUUAUGUGAGAAAAUUUAGAAAUGUGCUAGGCAAAUGUAAAGUGGCCUAUUAAUGCAUGCUAUAGAAAUGAUGGGUUUGCAUGUCAAAUUGCCCCAAAUUUGAGCUAGUGGCCGGCCAUGCUAUGGGUCAUAGCAUAUUUUAAGCAUGGUGUGUUAAUGUUUCAUGUUGGAAAGAAUAAAAUAAAAGAGUUAGUAAUAAAAUAAGGGGAUGAAGGGUGAUGAAAACAAAGAAAAGAAAAAAAAAUGUUCAUCCUUUAACAUCUUUGGCCGAAAAUUCUAAGGAGAAAGGAAGAAGAAAGGUUGAAGAGGUUCGGCCAUGCAUGUAACUAGGCUAAGGUUUGUUUGAUGUUGCUCCAUGAGAUUCAUGUAUAUUUUUAGUUGUUAGCUUGAGUUCUACCUAGCCCAUGGUUUAAAUCUUUGCUAUGUGAGGGAGAUGAUACUCGGCCAUGGGUGCUGUCUUCUUGGUUGGUGUUUGAUGUUGUGUUGAUGAGGAAUGAAGAUGAUAGAGUGUGUGUGAGAAUUUGAAAAAGGUAGGUCUUACAGCAACUUCAUGAAGCAUUUGGCCAUGGUAGGAAGUAGAAGAGAAAUAUAGUUGUUGUUCAUGUUAGAUGAAGUAGAGAAGUUGUGUGCUAAGGCCGAAUGUGACUUUGAAUACUAUUGAGUAAUGUAUGUGUUUUGAAUUGAUGGAAUGGAGAGGAUGCUUUAAUUUUUGCUAUGAAUAAUUAUAUGUUAAAUUAAGGGUUGCUAAGUUAGCUAUUAAGGUGAAGUGCAAAUGUUAGUAUUUGAUUACUAGUGUAUAUAUGUGUUUUAGCCGAAAUUUGAACUUGAAACAAAAUGGUAAUUAGUCAAUACAAGUGACCAUAUUUGUAGAAUGUAUUAAGUGUACAAUCGGCCUCACCAUAGACAUGCAUAUUCGGCCACAUAAAUGAAUACAUAGAUUGAUGUUGUACGUUCGGCUAUAGGUAAGCAUAUUGAUGGCUUUAUCUUGACUUAGAAAAUCGGCUAAAGGAGAAUAUUGGCUAGUAGGUUGAAUUUGAUUCAUGAUUUCAUACAUAUAUGACUCUAAUGCCUAAUAUACAUGGGCUAAGUACCUUGAAUUUCUCCUUGAUGUUCAAAAUGAUUAAAUCAAUUUAUUUGUUAAAUUAAGCUUAAGAGCAAAGGGGAACUAAAUCCGACAAAGGAAAGGAAAAGGUGAUAUAAUGAUUCUACUUGAAUUAUAUAUUGAGGUGAUUAGUUUAUACCUAUGACGGGUAGCCGAAUGUGUAUAGAGAUCAUGUUAUAAAGCCAAUCAAAAUCGUGCUCUUUGUACGUGGCUAUUGAGCCGAAAUUAGUAAGUGUGAUAAGUGUCUUGUGUUUGAGCUUUGGUAAUGAAAAUGAAAUAUGGAUGUCAUGAUUUAUUGAUAUAUGUGCAUAGUUAUUCGAAUGAUAUCCGGGCUAAGUCCCGAAGGCUUUUAUGCUAGUGACUAUAUCCGGACUAAGAUCCGAAGGCAUUUGUGCGAGUUGCUAUAUCCGGGCUAAGACCCGAAGGCAUUUGUGCUAGCGACUAUAUCCGAGCUAAGUCCCGAAGGCAUUUAUGCUAGUGACCAUAUCCGGGCUAAGACCCGAAGGCCUUGUGCGAGUGGUUAUAUCCGGCUAAAUCCCGAAGAUACUUGGGUUUGGGAAUGAGCGAUCUUGCUGUAAUAAUUUCAAUUAAUACGCUCGUAAAAUCCCAACGAUGAGGUAAAUUUCGUAUAUGCCUUGGAAUAAUCGAUUCCUUCUAAAUAGUGUUCGCUCAAUCGAUUAACAAGCUUCCGGCCUUUAGUCAAGUUGAUUCCUUAUGUAUGAAUAUAAGGGUUGGAAAUGUGAAGUAGGUAUGAUUAUGAGAAUAUGUGUAUAUGAAAUUAUUCGUUUAGUCAUAUGAAUGCUAUAUUUUAGUUGUGCAUGAUUUCCUUACUCAAACUUACUAAGCAUUAAAUGCUUAUUCCGUUUCUUUGAUUCUUUGUUUUAUAGAUUUUGGUUCGUCAGCUAUCGGACUCGGGAGUGUCCAAGUCGAAGUCAUCCACACUAUCAAAGUCCCUGUGGUACUCUUUUAGUUGAACUCUGCUAAUGGCAUGUACAGGACUGCCCUUGUGUUAUUAGUUAAGUACUUUGGUGUUGUAUAUAUACUUGGAUAGCCAUGCGAAAAUGGCUUAUAUAUUUUGAGCAUAGUGUUAUAAUAAUUUUGUAUGUAUAUGGUUAUUGAGAGGUGUGGAUAUGCUUGGCAAUGAUUGGCCAUUGGAAUGGUUAAUCAUGAUCAUAUUUUGUGCUAUAUAUGCGAAAGGGCUAGUUGAAUCAUGGAAACUAUGAAAUAGGUAAAGUCUACCUUAAAGGCAGAUGCUGGCAGCAGUAGUGAUGUAAAUUUGAAAAAUCACUAAAAAUAGUAAGAAUGGAAUUAAAUAGUGAAUAAAUUAUGUAAUCGAACCUUGAUGAAUAUACUUUCAUAUGGAAGAAACGAAACGAUCAUAUGAGUCGUAUUUUAAGAGAUAUUUAAGUUUUCAUGGAACAGGGCCAGAGCGAUUUCUGGAUCCCCUGAUCUGACUUUGGAAAUUCUCUAUAAAUUAACCAGAGAUAAUUAGAAGUCAUUCCAUAUAUGUAUAGAUUCCGUUUUGAGUCUAGUUUCCUUAGAAGCAAACGGCAUAAGUAUUGAAGCCCUAUACAGGGAGAUAUAUAAGUCGUAAUGCAUGAAGGUCAGAGCAGUCGAACCCUGAAACAGGGGAGACUUUAACUAAUAAACUGUACUAAUUGGCCCGACCAAAAAUUCUAGAAAAAUAUUUGUAGAUGGACUUAUGGGUCUAGUUUCAGAAAACAUUUACGGAACUGGUUUUCGAGUUUUGGAACUCGAGUUAUGAUUUUUAAGGUGACAGUGACGCAGUUAGCCAGCUUGUCUGGAAAUUUUAAAUGAAUUGUGUUUUACAAUGAAAUAAGUCUGUGAACACCUCGUGUUUGACUCCGGAAACGGUCUCGGGCACGGGCCGUUAUAAUUUUAUUGGUAUCAGAGCUACGGUUUAGUCGAUUCUAGGACUACCGUAAUACGUUUGGGUCUAGUUAUACAUGCCAUUAUGUGAUUAUUUGAUAGUGUGGUGAUUUCUGACAAUUGAAAAUGUGUUUAUUUAUAGUAAUGGAUCCCGAUCCCAACCGAGUGGUAGCUGAUGAUCUUAAGAGUGUAGCGCCUGCUCCAGCGAAAGGGACAGCGCCGGCGGACUCUCAACCUAUUGCUAGUAAUCCGAACGAUGAAGCUAGACAAGUUUUUUAUAGCGUGAUGAAUGAUUGGUUCAACCAAUACAUUCGAACUAAUACGGCUGUUCCACAACCCCCAUUCCCGACUAGUACAACCCCCGCACCUGCAAUGCCUCUGGUCACUGACCAAAUAAGUUCAAAUAAGCCCCCAGUUGACAGAAUCCGAAAACACGGGGCUACUGAAUUUAAAGCUACGGACAGCGACGACGCCGAGCAAGCUGAAUUUUGGUUGGAUAACACUAUUCGGGUAUUUGAUGAACUAUCUUGCACACCCGAUGAAUGCUUAAAGUGUACUAUCUCCUUGCUACGUGAUUCUGCCUACUAUUGGUGGAAUACGUUGAUUUCUGUUGUGCCCAGAGAGCAAGUAACUUGGGAGUUUUUCCAAAUCGAGUUCUGAAAGAAGUAUAUCAGUCAGAGAUUCAUUGACCAAAAACGGAAGGAAUUUCUUGAGCUUAAAUAAGGUUCCAUGUCGGUUACCGACUAUGAACGAAAAUUUGUGAGGCUUAGCCGGUACGCACGAGAAUGCAUUUCUUCAGAAGCUGUGAUGUGUAAACGUUUCGAAGAUGGACUGAAUGAUGAUAUAAAGCUGUAUGUUGGCAUUUUAGAAAUCCGAGAAUUUGUGGUACUUGUCGAGCGAGCUUGCAAAGCCGAGGAGCUCAGUAAGGAGAAAAGGAAAGCUGAUAUGGGAGCAAAGGAGUUUCGUAAGAGAUCUUCGGGAAAGCCCUUCCAACAGUCAUCGAAGAAAUUUAGAGAUGACUUAGGCUGGUCUAGAGACACUUCGGGUUUUUCUAGACGAGAGCGUGACCGACCCCUGUGAGUACACGAGUCACUUUGGUCGCCAGUGUUGGAAACAAUCGUCGAGACAUAACGGAGUGCCAGUAUUGUGGUAAAUAGAAUUCGGGGAGUUGUAGAUUCCAUGACCGCUCCUGUUAUAAAUGCGGAUCAGCUGACCAUUUUAUCAAGGAUUGUCCGAGACUGUCUGAACUAAAUGUAAAUCAGAGUGGGAAACCAGGUGCUACUACUGCUCGGGGUAGACCGUCUAGAAACACGGGCAAUGCUAGUGGCGGUCAGAGAGGAUCUAGAGAUGCUACAACCAGAUCUGAGGCUCGUGCGCCUGCUAGGGCUUAUGCUAUACGUGUACGCGAGGAUGCUUCUUCGCCUGAUGUUAUUACCGGUACUUUCACUCUCUUUGAUACUAAUGUGAUUGCUUUGAUUGACCUUGGUUCUACUCAUUCUUAUAUAUGUAAAACCUUAGCAACCAGUAAGACUUUACCUGUUGAGUCUACUGAGUUCGUAAUUCGGGUGUCAAAUCCCUUGGGUCGUUAUGUGCUUGUCGACAAAGUGUGUAAGAAAUGUCCCUUAGAAAUCAGAGGUUACUGCUUUUCGGCCAAUUUGAUGCUUUUUCCGUUUGAUGAAUUUGAUGUUAUCCUCGGUAUGGAUUGGCUAACCGUUCACGAUGCAGUUGUAAAUUGUAAAAGAAAAACUAUCGAUUUGAGGUGUGCAAAUAAUGAGAUGAUUCGAAGUUGAGUCUAUUGACUUGAAUGGGUCGCCAGCGGUAAUAUCAUCGAUGUUGGCUUAGAAAUAUGUAAGAAAGGGGUGCGAAGCAUACCUUGCGUAUGUACUUGAUGACAAAGAGUUAGAAAAGAAGCCUGAAUCUGUGCCGGUGGUUUGUGAAUAUCUGGAUGUUUUUCCCAAAGAAUUACCGGGUUUACCACCUGUUCGGGAGGUAGAGUUUGGUAUUGAACUUGUACCUGGGACUACACCGAUUUCGAUAGCUCCGUAUCGUAUGGAACCAACAGAAUUAAAGGAAUUGAAAGCUCAGUUGCAAGAGUUGACGGAUAGAGGUUUUGCUCGACCAAGUUUCUCACCUUGGGGUGCACCAGUAUUGUUUGUGAAAAAGAAGGACGGAACCAUGAGGUUGUGCAUCGACUAUCGUCAGCUGAAUAAGGAGACAAUAAAGAAUAAAUACCCGAUACCGCGCAUUGACGAUUUGUUUGAUCAACUAAAGGGAGCCUCAGUGUUUUCAAAGAUAGAUUUGAGAUCGAGCUAUUAUCAGUUGCAAAUUUGAGAUUCGGAUAUACCCAAAACAGCUUUCAGAACGAGAUACGGUCACUACGAGUUCUUAGUGAUGCUGUUUGGGCUCACUAAUGCCCCUGCGGUAUUUAUGGAUCUGAUGAAUCGGUUCUUCAGACAGUAUCUGGACCGGUUUGUAGUUGUGUUUAUUGAUGACAUCUUGGUCUACUCAAGAGAUGAAACCGAGCAUGCUGAGCACCUGAGAUUAGUGUUGUAGAUUUUACGAGAUAAGCAGUUAUAUGCUAAGUUCAGUAAGUGUGAGUUCUGGUUAAGGGAGGUGAGCUUCUUGGGUCAUGUGGUAUCCGCAUCGGGUAUUCGAAUUGAUCCGAACAAAAUUUCAGCCAUACUUAACUGGAAGCCUCCGAGAAAUAUUACUGAGGUUCGGAGCUUUUUAGGACUUACCGGUUACUACCGACAGUUUGUAAAAGGUUUCUCGAUGAUAGCCACACCAAUGACGAAACUACUUCAGAAAGAUGUUAAGUUUGAAUGGACAGAAAAGUGUCAGAAAAGUUUCGAUCAAUUGAAAACUCAUUUGACGGAAGCUCCAGUACUAGUGCAGCCCGAAUCAGGCAAGGAGUUCGUCAUUUACAGUGAUGCAUCCUUACUUGGGUUGGGUUGUGUAUUGAUGCAAGAAGGUCGAGUUGUAGCUUAUGCGUCGAGGCAACUGAAGCCUCAUGAGAAAAAUUAUCCAACCCAUGAUCUCGAACUGGCUGCCAUCGUAUUCGCUUUGAAAAUAUGGCGACAUUACUUAUUUGGUGAGAAGUGCCAUGUAUAUUCGAAUCACAAAAGUCUCAAAUAUUUGAUGACUCAAAGGGACUUGAAUCUGCGACAAAGACGUUGGCUUGAGUUGUUAAAAGAUUAUGAGCUUGUCAUUGACUAUCACCCGGGAAAGGCUAAUGUGGUUGCGGAUGCUUUGAGUCGUAAAUCACUGUUUACUUUACGAGCGAUGAAUGUACACUUGUCUGUUCUAUCCGACAAUGUGUUAGUAGCAGAAUUAGAGGCUAGACCAUUGUUGAUUCAUCAAAUUCAUGAAGCUUAGAAAGUCGAUGAUGAAUUGGUUGCAAAACGGGCUGAAUGUGUUUCGGAUAGGGAAUCAGAGUUUCAAAUUGAUGACGACGAUUGUUUGAGGUUCAGAAGUCAUUUGUGUGUUCCAAGAAAUUCAAAACUUAUUUCGAUGAUUCUGAACGAAGCUCAUAGUAGCCGAAUGUCAAUUCACCCGGGGAGUACGAAAAUGUACAACGAUCUGAGACGUCAGUUUUGGUGGCAUGGUAUGAAACGAGACAUUUCUGAUUUUGUUUCGAAGUGCUUAGUAUGCCAGCAAGUGAAGGCGGAACAUCAAGUGCCUAUGGGUUUACUUCAGCCGAUCAUGAUACCUGAAUGGAAAUGGGAUCGAGUCACGAUGGAUUUUGUAUCUGGGUUGCCAGUGUCGGCAAGUAAGAAAGAUGCGAUUUGGGUUGUUGUUGAUAGACUGAUUAAGUCGGCUCACUUUAUCCCCGUACGCACGGAUUUUUUAUUGGAUAAACUAGCUGAGUUGUAUGUUUCUCAGAUUGUGAGAUUAUACGGGGUACCCAUUUCUAUUGUGUCGGAUAGAGAUCCGAGAUUCACCUCGCGAUUUUGGAAGAAAUUACAAGAAGCUUUGGGUACCAAGUUGCAUUUUAGCACCGCUUGUCAUCCCCAAACCGAUGGUCAAUCCGAGCGGAUAAUUCAGAUACUCGAGGAUAUGUUAAGAUGUUGCAUCCUUGAGUUUAGUGGUUCAUGGGAACGGUAUUUACCUUUGAUUGAAUUCGCUUACAACAAUAGUUUUCAAUCAAGUAUUAAGAUGGUACCUUACGAGGCUUUGUACAGUCGUAAAUGCCGUACACCAUUGUUUUGGACCGAGCUCUGUGAAAGUAAGAUUUUCAGAAUUGAUUUGAUUAAAGAUGUUGAGCAGAAAGUAAGAAUAAUUCGUGAAAGUCUGAAGGCGGCAUCCGAUCGUCAAAAGUCGUACGCGGAUUUAAAACGAAGAGAUAUUGAGUAUCAGGUAGGAGACAAAGUGUUUCUUAAGGUUUCACCUUGGAAAAAGAUACUCAGAUUUGGCCGUAAGGGCAAACUGAGUCCGAGAUUCAUUGGGCCGUAUGAAAUCUCCGAAUGAGUUGGUCCAGUUGCAUAUAGGUUGCUUUUACCCCCUGAACUUGAAAGGAUUCACAACGUUUUCCAUGUUUCGAUGCUUCGACGUUACAGAUCUGAUCCUUCGCACAUAAUUAGUCCAUCAGAGGUUGAAAUUCAAUCUGACUUGAGUUAUGAAGAAGAACCGAUUCGUAUCCUAGCUCGUGAAGUGAAAGAGUUGCGAAACAAAAGGGUUCCGUUAGUAAAGGUGUUAUGGCUCAAACACGGAAUCGAAGACGCUACUUGGGAAACCGAGAACUCUAUGAGAGAACGAUACCCAAACCUAUUUACUGGUAAGAUUUUCGAGGACGAAAAUUUCUUAAGUGGGGGAGAGUUGUGACAGCCCUAAUGUGACCCUAGUCGGGAAGUGGUUUCGGGACCACAAAACCGAGUCAUAAAAAUAAUUAACUGUCAUAUUUGAUGCUUAUUAUAUGUAUAUAUGCAUGUGUGAAAAUUUCAUAUUUGAAUUUUGUUAAUUGUAGGUGAAUUUUAGUAAAUAGGACUUAUGUGAGAAAAUUUAGAAAUGUGCUAGGCAAAUGUAAAGUGGCCUAUUAAUGCAUGCUAUAGAAAUGAUGGGUUUGCAUGUCAAAUUGCCCCAAAUUUGAGCUAGUGGCCGGCCAUGCUAUGGGUCAUAGCAUAUUUUAAGCAUGGUGUGUUAAUGUUUCAUGUUGGAAAGAAUAAAAUAAAAGAGUUAGUAAUAAAAUAAGGGGAUGAAGGGUGAUGAAAACAAAGAAAAGAAAAAAAAAUGUUCAUCCUUUAACAUCUUUGGCCGAAAAUUCUAAGGAGAAAGGAAGAAGAAAGGUUGAAGAGGUUCGGCCAUGCAUGUAACUAGGCUAAGGUAUGUUUGAUGUUGCUCCAUGAGAUUCAUCUAUAUUUUUAGUUGUUAGCUUGAGUUCUACCUAGCCCAUGGUUUAAAUCUUUGCUAUGUGAGGGAGAUGAUACUCGGCCAUGGGUGUUGUCUUCUUGGUUGGUGUUUGAUGUUGUGUUGAUGAGGUAUAAAGAUGAUAGAGUGUGUGUGAGAAUUUGAAAAAGGUAGGUCUUAGCAACUUCAUGAAGCAUUUGGCCAUGGUAGGAAGUAGAAGAGAAUAUAGUUGUUGUUCAUGUUAGAUGAAGUAGAGAAGUUGUGUGCUAAGGCCGAAUGUGACUUUGAAUACUAUUGAGUAAUGUAUGUGUUUUGAAUUGAUGGAAUGGAGAGGAUGCUUUAAUUUUUGUUAUGAAUAAUUAUAUGUUAAAUUAAGGGUUGCUAAGUUAGCUAUUAAGGUGAAGUGCAAAUGUUAGUAUUUGAUUACUAGUGUAUAUAUGUGUUUUAGCCGAACUUUGAACUUGAAACAAAAUGGUAAUUAGUCAAUACAAGUGACCAUAUUUGUAGAAUGUAUUAAGUGUACAAUCGGCCUCACCAUAGACAUGCAUAUUCGGCCACAUGAAUGAAUACAUAGAUUGAUGUUGUACGUUCAGCUAUAGGUAAGCAUAUUGAUGGCUUUAUCUUGACUUAGAAAAUCGGCUAAAGGAGAAUAUUGGCUAGUAGGUUGAAUUUGAUUCAUGAUUUCAUACAUAUAUGACUCUAAUGCCUAAUAUACAUGGGCUAAGUACCUUGAAUUUCUCCUUGAUGUUCAAAAUGAUUAAAUCAAUUUAUUUGUUAAAUUAAGCUCAAGAGCAAAGGGGAACUAAAUCCGACAAAGGAAAGGAAAAGGUGAUCGAAUAGACGUUGAAAUCGUUCGACAACAUUCGAGGUAAGUUUUCGAGUAAUGGAACUUAGAUUAUGAUUCGAUUAGGUCAUGACAUAUAAGUAUGACAAAUAAAUGGUGAUAUAAUGAUUCUACUUGAAUUAUAUAUUGAUGUGAUUAGUUUAUACCUAUGACGGGUAGCCGAAUGUGUAUAGAGAUCAUGUUAUAAAGCCAAUCAAAAUCGUGCUCUUUGUACGUGGCUAUUGAGCCGAAAUUAGUAAGUGUGAUAAGUGUCUUGUGUUUGAGCUUUGGUAAUGAAAAUGAAAUAUCGAUGUGUCAUGAUUUAUUGAUAUAUGUGCAUAGUUAUUCGAAUGAUAUCCGGGCUAAGUCCUGAAGGCUUUUAUGCUAGUGACUAUAUCCGGACUAAGAUCCGAAGGCAUUUGUACGAGUUGCUAUAUCCGGGCUAAGACCCAAAGGCAUUUGUGCUAGCGACUAUAUCCGGGCUAAGUCCCGAAGGCAUUUAUGCUAGUGACCAUAUCCGGGCUAAGACCCGAAGGCCUUGUGCGAGUGGUUAUAUCCGGCUAAAUCCCGAAGAUACUUGGGUUUGGGAAUGAGCGAUCUUGCUGUAAUAAUUUCAAUUAAUACGCUCGUAAAAUCCCAACGAUGAGGUAAGUUUCGUAUAUGCCUUGGAAUAAUCGAUUCCUUCUAAAUAGUGUUCGCUCAAUCGAUUAACAAGCUUCCGGCCUUUAGUCAAGUUGAUUCCUUAUGUAUGAAUAUAAGGGUUGGAAAUGUGAAGUAGGUAUGAUUAUGAGAAUAUGUGUAUAUGAAAUUAUUCGUUUAGUCAUAUGAAUGCUAUAUUUUAGUUGUGCAUGAUUUCCUUACUCAAACUUACUAAGCAUUAAAUGCUUAUUCCGUUUCUUUGAUUCUUUGUUUUAUAGAUUUUGGUUCGUCAGCUAUCGGACUCGGGAGUGUCCAAGUCGAAGUCAUCCACACUAUCAAAGUCCUUGUGGUACUCUUUUAGUUGAACUCUGCUAAUGGCAUGAAUAGGACUGCCCUUGUGUUAUUAGUCAAGUACUUUGGUGUUGUAUAUAUAUUUGGAUAGCCAUGCGAAAAUGGCUUAUAUAUUUUGAGCAUAGUGUUAUAAUCAUUUUGUAUGUAUAUGGUUAUUGAGAGGUGUGGAUAUGCUUGGCAAUGAUUGGCCAUUGGAAUGGUUAAUCAUGAUCAUAUUUUGUGCUAUAUAUGCGAAAGGGCUAGUUGAAUCAUGGAAACUAUGAAAUAGGUAAAGUCUACCUUAAAGGCAGAUGCUGGCAGCAGUAGUGAUGUAAAUUUGAAAAAUCACUAAAAAUAGUAAGAAUGGAAUUAAAUAGUGAAUAAAUUAUGUAAUCGAACCUUGAUUAAUAUAAUUUCAUAUGGAAGAAACGAAAUGAUCAUAUGAGUCGUAUUUUAAGAGAUAUUUAAGUUUUCAUAGAACAGGGCCAGAGCGAUUUCUGGAUCCCCUGAUCUUACUUUGGAAAUUCUCUAUAAAUUAACCAGAGAUAAUUAGAAGUCAUUCCAUAUAUGUGUAGAUUCCUUUUUUAGUCUAGUUUCCUUAGAAACAAACGGCAUAAGUAUUGAAUCCCUAUACAGGGAGAUAUAUAAGUCGUAAUGCAUGAAGGUCAGAGCAGUCGAACCCUGAAACAAGGGAGACUUUAACUAAUAAAAUGUACUAAUUGGCCCAACAAAAAAUUCUAGAAAAAUAUUUGUAGAUGGAAUUAUGGGUCCAGUUUGAGAAAACAUUUACGGAAGUGGUUUUCGAGUUUUGGAACUCGAGUUAUGAUUUUUAAGGUGACAGUGGCGCAGUUAGCCAGCUUGUCUGGAAAUUUUAAAUGAACUGUGUUUUACAAUGAAAUAAGUCUGUUAACACCUCGUGUUCGACUCCGGAAAAAGUCUCGGGCACGGGGUGUUACAAUUAAACAUCAAAAUACACAAAUAUCCAUCAUGGGUAAAAUUUUAGACUUUGAUUAUGUCUUAAAUUAGUGGUAGAAAUAGAUAGAUCAUGUUACAAGUAUUUCAAAAACAUAAAAAUCAUCAAAAACAGGGCUAGAACGGAUUUACAAUUGAGCUUGGAAGCUUGAAAAACCCUAUCCAUGGUUUCUUCUUGUAAAAUUCGGCCAUGGGAGGAAGAUGGACAAAAAUUGGCUUUUAAUUUGUCUUUUUAAUUCAUUUAAUUACCAAAUUACUAAAUUGCCCUUAAUGAAAAACUUUAGAAACAUACCUAACCAUGUCCAUUUUUGUCCACCAACUUAACCUAUGGUCUAAUUACCAUUUAAGGACAUCCAAUUUAAAAUUUCAUAACAAUUAGAUACCUCUAGCUUAUAGAACUCAAGUUUUGCACUUUUUGCAAUUUAGUCCUUUUGGCCAAAUUGAGUGCCCAAAUGUCAAAAUUUUUGAACGAAAUUUUCAUGAAAUCAUUCCAUAAAAUUGCAGACCAUAAAAAUAUAAGAAAAAGAAUUUUUUUGUAUCAGAUUUGUGGUUUUGAAACCACUGCUCAUACUAGACCCAAAAUAGGGCUGUUACAAGCUCUCAAUUGGGAGUUAUUUUGUGAGAAAAGGUCUAGCGUAGAUGAGAAGUUAGUUCAUGAAUAUUAUCCAAAUUUGAUCUCAAACGAAUUAACGGAAGUUUCUAUUCGAGGAAUCAAGGUACCAAUAAUCUCACACGCUAUUAAUGAAUUUUUUGAAUUACCUGAUUUCGAAGACGACGAAUAUUCUUCCUUGGUGAGAAAUAUUGAAUCUGAAAAUCUACAAGAAAUUCUAGAGGAACUUACAAUUCCAGGUUCUAAGUGGACUAUGUCAAAGAAAGGAAUUCACACUUGUUGUAAAGAAUAUUUGACACCAAUAGCGAAUGUAUGGUUCUGUUUCAUUCGAUUCUGCCUUAUGCCUAUUUCACAUGGGACUAAAAUUUCAUUAGAGCGAAUGAUAUUAUUAUACGCAAUUUUAACUGGAAAGACCAUUGAUGUGGGAAAAAUCAUCCUGAGAGAAAUGCAGAAUUGUGCUGCUAGACGUUCUGGCCCAGCUUACUUUCCCUUUACGAUAACAAUUUUGUGCUUGAAAGCUAAAACUCUUGCAAAUGUAAAGAAGACAAGUUAUAGCCAGGGCACAAUCAUAGAGUGGGACCUCUACCGAAUAGAUAAAGACUUUGUUCUAUCGCAAUGAGUCGAAGAAAGCGAGGGUCUCGAAGAAGAAGAAGAAGAAGAUCCCACAGAGAUCGAACGGAUGCAGUCAGCUGAAAUCCCUGAUAAGGCAGAACCAAUGGAAUCAGUAAUCAAACCUAACAUUGCAACUUCAAUGUUCAGGACUCAAUCACCUCACCCAGAUCUUCGAGAUGAGCUAUCAAAGUUGAUGGAUAUAAUGCAACAUAUGCAGUGGCAGCAAGAACCUUACUGGAUAUAUUAAAAAAUACGGGAUGACACAAUGAGAAGCGCUCUUACGAAAAUAUUCAAUGACCCAUUUAUUUUUGUACCUGAGUUUCCAGAUUUCAUAUUUAAACCAUGGAGUCUAUUAUCGAAGAGGCGGCAAAAAGAUUCAUGCAAAAAGGUGAUAGAGAAAAAAAUGAGUCGAAUUCGGAGGGAUCUGCAAAUAAAUAAAAGGGGGGAUCUUGACUUUAUUUUAUUUCCAUUCUUAGGUUAUUUAAUAUUUUAGGAUUAUGUUUAGUAGGAAUUUUUAUUUUCGCAUAAUAAAAUAAAAGGUGGAAAUCAUAGAUGAAAAUGAACAAGUGGCAAAGUAUAAAGUGUGGCAAUAGACAUAUACAUGUCUAGGAUUGGAUCUAGAGAGAGCUUGGUACUUAAGCAGUCAAAUUGACUCACCCUCUCUUUUCUAGAACCCUACCUGAUGUAUGCUAUCUAUUCAUUUUUAACAAUGAGAACAUUGUUCAUCUCAAGUAGGGGGAUCGAAAAAUUGAAAUUAUUUCCUCUCAGAAUAAAGUUUUCUUUUAAUUAUGAUUAGGAUAUAUUUUGUUCAAAAAUUUGAAAUUUUGUUAACUAUGCUAAAUUUUAGUAUAAGUAAAGUUCGAUUAUUUCAAUAAUUGUUACGUUAGCUGAAAUAUGACAUAAAUGUAUUUUUAUUAAAGCAUGCAAAUCAUACUAGAAAAUUUUUAGUUCCAUAAGAAACUUAGGCAUGCAUGAAAGUUUAAGUCUUUAGAAUUGACUUAGUAGUUUCUUGAGGCAAAAUCCUAGGAAGCAUGGAAUGUUGAAAAUGAUUUAGGCAACUUUUGUUUGGACUGUUUGAGCCUUUCAAGCCAACCUUGAUGAAAUUUUAUCCUUUGAAACCCAAAUUUGAGACUAUAUAACCUAAUUUUAUUUGAACCCUUGCAAUAUUUAGCCAUCACUUUUCUCUUAAUUAUAUUUAAAUUGAAUCAAACACUAGACUUGGUGCUAUUUAGAAUAAGUUUGGGGGAGUUGAAAAGAAGUAUCAAAUGCUCAAAAAUUUUGUAGUACAUACAACAAAAUGCUCGUGAAAAAAAAAGAAAAAAAAGAAAGAAAAGAAAAGAAAAAAAAAGAGCAUAUGUAGUUGAAAGAAAAUAUAUGUACAAAAGAGCAUGUGAAAGAAAAAUAAGUUGGUAUAUUGAAGGUAAAUAUUUCGAAGGUCCGAUUGAAGUCGAGUCUAGGGUUUUAAGCCCAAAUUUGUCUAUCUUUUACCUACCCCUAACCUAGCCAUGUUACAACAUAUUUAAAAGACCUAUUGAUUCAAGUCCUAUGCUACCUACAUUAGUAGAGAGAAAUUGCUAUAUUCAACAUAUAAAGGCAUAAGUUAAACUUAAUAAUUGCAGCUUAAUCUUAAAUAAGGGAAUAAAAUUAAAGUGGUAGGGAUUUAACAUGUCUUUAUCAGGAAAUCAUUUAUUCUAUUUUUGUUAUCAUAAGAAUAACUGAGAUUAAUUUGAAUGAUAUGUAUACUUAAGUGCAUAAAUAUCAAAUUUCUUGUUUUUGAGCAUAAGUAUACCAAAUUCAUAAUUUUGGGAAGAAUGUUCUUCUGAAGGAGUUUUUUUAAAGGUGUUUUCGAGAAAUUCUUUUCAAAUUUGUCCAUUACUCUAUACGAGCAAUGAAUUAAGUUUGAGGGUGGAAACAUGAAAAUAUACACACUUUUUCAUGCCAUUUUUAACUCAAAUUCAUAUAGUUUCGAUAAAAUUCUUGUCGAAAAAUAUAUAAUUAUUAUAAAAUAAUUAAAUUGCACUCAAAUUAUUAACAUGUUGAGUUUUAAUUAAUUUUAUAUCAAAUUUUGGUUAAUUUUGAUUAUUUUCGACAGAUUUGCACAAAUGGCGAAAAACGACUCAGUAGACACUACUAGAAGCACAAAACCGAGAAGCAAUUUUCAAGCAUUAAUGAUAAUUAAUUUUUAACCUAAGACGGUUCAAAUUAUGAAUUUUAAUUCAAAAAAUAAUUAAUUUUAAUUUUAAUCCAAUUUAAUUUUGGUUAAAUAAAUUAUUGUUAAUUAAUUAUGAAAAAGGGGCCCAGUUGAGCUGAACUGAGAAAAUCGAUCCAAUCGAGCAUUGCGCAGCCCAAAACCGUCCCACAUGCUGAGCCAAUCAGCUUGUUUGGCUGAUUAUUUGGCUUGAAAAAUAUCCCUUGAAGACUCCUUCAAAUUGCAUUCAAACCCCCACUAUUUAUGCCUUUUUAGAUUUGCCCCUACCUUAAAAUAACAAGUUUGAAACCUUCAAACUUGCCACAUAUGUGGCCGGCCAUGGGGGGACUCUAUGGCUGAUGAUUUUUUCUAAUUUUAGUAGCCAUCUCAAGAUAUUAAUACCCCCCUUGGCUGCUCACUUCAAACACAUCUCAAACCCAUUCAUUUCUUCACUUCUAUCUCACUUUUCUAUCUUCAUUCCAUUCCAUUGUUCUUCGUUUUCUUGCCCCGUUCCCUUGCCGAUUUUUUCCCCUUGGAAAAGAGUCCUUCAACCAUAAUUUGGAGCAGCAUUCAAGUGUUCAUGGAGGCUUCAGUUCAACAAGAACAAGCGGAGAAGGAGUUGCGAAGCAAACUAGUCAAGCAUUAGAGAAACACUGGAUUUGAUUCUUGUUCCUUAUCCUUUUUAAUUUUAUUAUUGUUGUUAUGAACAUACUAUGAAUAAUUGUGAUGUUUAUAUGCUUAAUUUAAUUAAUAUGACUUAAAUUUAAUUCAUGUUAGGUUGAUUGCAUUUCAUCUACUUAAUUUAUUAAAAUUGUAUUUGUGUUGUUAUAGGCCUCGGUAAGAUGUUUGAUUAAGUAAAAGCAUAACUAAGUUAUUCUUGCAUUACAAUUGUAAAAUAACUAACGAAUUAAUUAUUUAAACGGAUUGAAAUUGUAAUUAAUUGACACAAUACUUAAUCAGUGUAUGUUUAAUUAUCUAAGGUAGCUGAGGGUUAAAUUAACAAUGGUAUCUAAUGAUACAUGAAAUUGUUUCAAGGGAGAAAUACAUUGUUACCUCACGUAAUCUUUUAUGUGCUUAUGAGAUAGAAUUAAUUGUUUGAAUUGGCAUAGAGAUAUGUACAAGAGAUUAUUUUAAUUUCAUAAUAAUGUAUGUGCUUAUGAGAUUAUUUUAAUUUCAUAAGGACGCAUCACUGUAAAUCACAAACUCUUUACCUGGUUCUGGUUGUACUAAGACAGGAGCUUCAGUCAACAAUGCCUUUAACUUGUCAAAUCUCUGCUGACACUUUUCAGUCCAUUCAAACUUGACAUCUUUCUGUAAUAAUCUUGUCAACUGAGUAGCUAUCAUGGAAAAUCCUUCUACAAAUCGUCUAUAAUAGCUGGCGAGACCAAGAAAACUUCUGACCUCUGAUACAUUCUGGGAGGCUUCUGAUCAACAAUGGCUGAAAUCUUGCUUGGAUCAACUCUAAUACCUUCACUUGAGACUAUAUGUCCAAGAAAACCAACUUCCCGUAACCAGAACUCACUUUUGCUAAACUUGAGAUAAAGCUGAUUAUCUCUCAAAGUCUGUAAAACUAUUCUUAAAUGCUCUGAAUGCUCAGGCUUAUCAUGAGAAUAAAUCAAGAUAUCAUUAAUGAACACAACUAAAAAUUUAUCCAAGUAAGAUCUGAAAAUUUGAUUCAUUAAGUCCAUGAAAAUGGCAGGAGCAUUAGUCAAGCCAAAUGGCGUCACCUGGAAGUCAUAAUGGCCAUACCUAGUCUGGAAAGCAGUCUUCGGAACAUUUGACUCUUUAACUCACAACUGAUAAUAUCCGGAUCUCGAAUCUAUCUUGGAGAACACAGUAGCUCCCUUCAAUUGAUCAAACAAAUCGUCAAUUCUAGGCAGUGGAUACUUGUUCUUAAUUGUCACCUUGUUAAGCUGUCGAUAAUCUAUGCCCAAUCUCAUCGAACCAUCUUUCUUUUUCACAAAGAGCACUGGUGCAGCCCAUGGUGAACAACUAGGUCUUGCAAAGCCUUUCUCUGUUAGUUCCUGCAACUAAACUUUCAAUUCUCUCAAUUCCAUUGGAUCCAUUCUAUAAAGAGCAAUAGAAAUGAGUGUUGUACCCGGAACCAAUUCAAUACCAAACUCAACUUCUCUGAUAGGAGGCAAACUUGAUAGUUCUUCCGGAAACACAUCAGGAAACUCACAUACCACAGGCACUGAUUCAAUUUUCAACUCUGGAUCUUUAGUAUUCAACAAAAAAAGCAAGAUAAGCUUUAUAUCCUUUUCUCAAACAUUUCUGAGCAGACAUAACAGAAAUCAUGGCAGUUGAACUAUCUGACUCAUCUGAAUUAACCCGAAGAAUGUCACCAUUUUCACAUUUCAACUCAAUGAAUUUCUUUCCAUAAUUCACUAUCAUGUCUUGCGUAGUUAACCAAUCCAUACCAAGAAUCACAUCAAACUCAUCAAAUGGAAAUAGCAUGUGAUCGACCGAAAAACAGUAACCUCUAAUCAUUAAAGCGAAAUUUUUACAUACUUUGUCUACUAAUACAUACUGACCCAAUGGAUUUGAUACUUUAAUCACAAAUCCCGUAGAAUCUAUGGACAUGUUCAUACUAGGCAUCAAUUUCAUGCAAACAUAGGAAUGGGUCAAACCCGGAUCAAUCAAAGCAAUAACAUUAAUAUCAUGAAGGGAAAAUGUACUCGUAAUUACAUCGGGGGAGGAUGCCUCUUCAUGAACACGUAUAGCAUAGUUCCUUGCAAGUGCUUUAACAUCGAGUCUCGCUGCUGAAUCUCUAGAUGCACCUCUACCUGCCCCUAUUCCCAAACUUCUCUAAGGUCUGCCUCUAAUGUGGGCAUUCCUGAUCUUACACUCGGUAUUACUUCUCUUUUAACCAUCUCAGGACACUCCCGAAUGAAAUGAUCCGAUGAACUACAUCGGAAACAACCAGUCUCAGUUGCUCGACCUUGACCUGGAUGACGUCGACCACAUUGAGGACACUCGGGUCUAUCAGGCUGAAUACUGCCAACACUCGCAGUUGAAGUGGUUUGAGCUUUCUGACCCAUAAAUCUUCUACCUCCGUUUCGGCUAGAAUACCCUGUUGAAAAAUUAGAUUUCGUAGAGAACUCUCUAGGCCUCUUGGAUGUAGACUGAAAUGACUUGCUCAUCUGUCUUUUCUUCGUGUCUUGCAUCUCAAUUUUAGCUUUAUCCUUUCCAUUCAACAACUCCUCUGCCUUACAAGCUCUUUCAACUAAAAUAACAAACUCUUUUAUUUCUAAAACACCGACUAGCAGUCGAAUAUCAUCAUUGAGCCCAUCUUCAAAUCUUUUCCACAUAAUAGCUUCAGUAGACACACAUUCUCGAGCAUAAUUACUGUGUCUAACAAAUUCACAUUCAUAUUCAGUCACUGUCAUCUUACCCUGCUUUAGUUCAAGAAAUUCUUUUCUUUUCUGGUCGAUGAACCUCUAACUAAUGUAUUUCUUACGGAACUCCUCCUGAAAGAAAUCUCAAGUAACCCUCACUUUCGGUACUACUGACACAAGUGUCUUCCACCAAUGGUUGGCUGAGUCUCGUAAAAGUGAUACAACACACUUCAUGCACUCCUCAGGUGUGCAGGAUAACUCAUCAAAGACCCUGAUAUAUUCUCGAGCCAAAAUUCAGCUUUCUCUGCAUCGUCAUCUUUAGUGGCCCGAAACUCUUCGGCCCAUUGUUUUCUAAUUUUAUCAACUGCUAGCUUCUCUCUUCUAACUGUAUCUGUGACUGGGGAAACUACAUGGGUAGUCUGAGGAUCAUGAGGGGGUGGAGGUCUAACGGCCGAAUUCGUACGAACGAACUCGGCAAACCAUUCAUUAAUAGCUUGGAAGAAGGCUUCUUGAGCCCCUUCUCCCUGACUAAUUGUAACGGGCCUUUCACUACUAUCUAGUGGCACUGUCCCUUCUGUGGGAGCGGGCACAUUACUUUCUACAUCAUUUGCACCAACUCGUUCGGGAUCCAUAACUAUAAAAGAAAAACAUUUUAAAAUCGUCAGGAGUCGUCAUACUAUCAAAAAAUAAGUAUGGCAUGUAUAGCUACUCAUACUGAAUAUUUCGAGAACCGAAUAAAAUCUUGCUAUGAUACCAAUAAAUGUAACACCCCUUACUCGAGACCGUCGCCGGAGUCAAGCACAAGGGGUUACUAGACUUAUCUUACCUGUUCGGGGCAUAAAAAAUUACUUUUUCAAAAAAAUAUUAAUUUUCUCAUAUUCGUCCAAUAAAUCCCUAAAAAGGGCCCUCGAGGCCUUAAAACGUGCAAUUGGAAUGGUUUAGGACCAAACAGGGAACAUUAAAAAUUUUUCGAUUACUUACACAAAUCAAAACAAUUUAUUUCACUAUUCAUAAUAAAACUGUCUAUCUGUGUAAUAGUCACUAAAUUAAUUAUAACUCAAGUUAAGAAAAUAAAAAUUUAAAUCUAUAAAUUUUCCCUAAAACUAGAAUCAUAUAUCUUCUUAAUAUAAUUUUUCCAGAAUUUUUGGUUUGGCCAAUUUUUACAGUUUAUUCAUUAAAGGUUCCUCUGUUUCGCAGUUUAGCGGACCUGACAUCUCUUCACUAAAAAUCGAUUAUCUCAUUAUACAGAAUUCGGAUAUUGUUUAUGUUUGUUUCUAAUAAAACUAUGACUUUAUAAUUAUUUUUGUAAAAUUUCUAGUGAUUUUCCAAAGUUGGAACAGGGGAUCACGAAGUCACUCUGAACCAGUCUUACAGAAAUUUAAAUAUCUUAGAAUAUAGACUUCUUUUGCUUGCUCUGUUUCUUUCCUAUGAAAACAGACUCAAUAAUAUUUAAUUCUAAAUCUUAUUCACCAUUUAAUUUCAUUUCUACAAUUUUUAAUGAUUUUUCAAAACCACGUCACUGCUGCUGUUUCCUAACUGUUCCAUGACCAACUCUUACUCUUUCAUAAUUUCUUUGCAUCAAACCUCAUUUAGGCAUACAUAAUACCAAAACAUGUUCUUAUUUAGCUAUAUCAUAAGCUAAUGAUUAUGAAGUAUUCACAUGCCAUUCUUUAAUCAUAUCAUAAGGACAUACACACAAAAUAGCCAAGCCCCUAUACAUGCCAUAACUUAAAGUAAUUCUAGUCACAAAAUACUGAGAUAACUCAUUGAUAGUGUGAGGGGAUCUCUGACGUCCUUACGAUUUUUCGAAUUGGCUAUGCAAUACUAUAAAAAAAGGACAAAAGAAAGGGAGUAAGCUUAGAGCUUAGUAAGUUUGCAUGUAACUAAAUAACAACAUUCUAAAUGAAUUAUCAAGAUAACCUAAACCUUUCGAGCAUGAACUUAUCUUACCUUCCCUUUGGUACACUCUUUGAAUUUUUCGUUGAACCACUUGGAAUACUAAGGAUACAUGGGUACCUUUCUUUUUAAACUUACCAGUGCCAUGUCUUGACAUGGUAUUACGUGAUAUCCUUGCCUUAUGAACUCACCAUUGCCAUGCCUUGGCAUGGUCUUACUUGGGAUCUUUGCCUUAUCAUAGUUUAUCAAUGUCAUGUCUUGACAUGGUCUUACAUGAUUUCCUUGCCUUGUAAAACUUACAAAUGCCAUGCCUUGGCAAGGUCUUACUUGGUAUCCUUAAACCCUAAUGUCAUGACAUUUGUAUCCUACACAUUCCUAAGGUUCAACUGGGACUUUUAAGUGUCAUUUCUUCGUCAAUUGUUGCUUGAAUCAUCAAGGAAUAAAUUUAAAAAAUAAAUAUAUAGAUGCUGAAAAAUAACAUCAUUAAUUAUAAAUAAUAAAACAUUGUAGUUAUUUACCGCAAACUUACCUUGAUACAAAAUACGAUCAAAUAUUUUGAUAUAGUCCUCAACCUUUUUUUUCCUCAGUCUAACCUCGAAUUUCAUUCUUCUUGAUCUAUAAUAGCAAAUUUAACUUAUUUAAUAUUCACAUUGAUCAAAACAGUCCUUAACUCUAACUUUGGAAAAAUUAUAAUUUUGCCCCUAAACUUUUGCAUAUUUACACUUUUUCCCCAAGGCUCAGAAAUGAAACUUUAUCCGUAAUUCUUAUGUUUUAUGACAUACUGAUCAUUUAUUUACCUACGGAAACAUCAAAUUACCACUCUAACAUGUACUUAUGAUUAGGUAUUUUUACCGAUUAUGUCAUUUUACUCGUUUUCGCUUAAAAUCGCUUGGCUCAAGUCGUUUAACAUAAAUUCAAGCUUCAUAUUCUACCAUAAAACAUCAAAAUAAACACAUUUCACCUAUGGGUAUUUUUUCAAAUAUGAACCCUAGGUUAAAUUAUUGCUAGAAUAAGCUAAAUUAAGUUAUCAGGACUUCAAAAACGUAAAGAACAUUAAAAACAGGGCUUGGAAUCACUUACUAUGAAGCUUGGAAGCUUAACAAAACCCUAGCUAUGAAGAACCCUUGAAAUUUCAGCCUAAUGAAGAAGACGGGCACAUUUUACCAUCUUUUUCCCUUUUUUAAUCUUUUAAUUACCAAAUGACUAAAAUACCCUUCAUUAAAACUUUAGUUAUUUUUAUCUAUGCAUGUCCAUUUUUGUCCAUGGAAACCUAAUGGUCUAAUUACCAUUUAAGGACCUCUACUUCAAUUAUAUUCUUCAAUUUAAUCCUUUAGCAUCUAAAACUCAUAUUUAUCAACUUUUGCAAUUAAGCCCUAGUAGGUAAAUUAAGCAUGCUAUCUAUAAAAUUUUCCAUUGAUACUCUAACACAUGCAUCUAAUCACUUGGUAAAUUAUAAAAAUUAAUCAGAAUAAACUUUUCUAUCUCAGAUUUGUGGUUUCGCAAACACUGUUCCGUUUAGGGCCUAUUUUGGGAUGUUACACUAUAUUAUUUUAUACAGGUUGGAUGCAAACGCACGAUUUGGACUAGACAGACCAGUAGGAGGAGCCCUUAUGAAUAGGACAUACGAGGAUGCGCAUGAAAUUAUUGAAAAUAUGGCAUUUAAUUCAUGUUAGUGGACAAAUGAACAUUUCACAUACGGCUAAAAAAUCGCGACGAUCAAAGCUAUUCAAGAGGAUGAUAAGGAUUAGAAAUAAUGGACAGAUUAAACUGUAUUGAAUCUGCUUCUACAUCAUUUAUGGAUGGAGGAGAUAAACUAGUCCUCCAUUAUACCCAUAAUCCUAUUGAGGAUGUGAAUUACAUUGGGAAUAGGGAUGGAAGCCUAUAUUCGAAUACAUAUAAUCCUGACUAGAGGGAUUAGCCAAACUUGAGAUAGGGAGGAAACGAUGGAGGAGGUAACAAUUCAAAUGAAGUUAAAAAUACUAAUUGGCAGCCUCCUUAUUUAUAGAAACCUUAGGAUAGAACCAACCCAAGUGACCAUACUACAUGUGGUCAAUGUCUAGAUAGAAUUGAGGAAGAGAUGCAGUCAAGGAGAACAAAUGUCAAGCAGGUGCAGUUUGAGUGCACCAAUUCAACAAGAACAUUGACUAAGCUCGAUGAUCAAAUGAGCCAAUUGAUGAGCGUGAUGGGUGAUAUCAAAAGGAAAAUUAGCUCAGGCAUUCCCAGUAACACAGAAUAUAAUCCACGAAGGGAAGGUAAAGAGCAUGUGAAAGCUAUAACACUCAGAUCAGGCAAGGUAUUGAGUAGCCUAGAAAUACCUACUCUGAAGGUGACUGUGGAUAAUACUGAUGAACCUCAAGACAAUUCCCUGGAAUUAGAAGAUAGACUUGAAUAAAAAGAGGAGAAUGCACCAGUGGCUGAAGUAGGAAAAGAGACAUUUAAAUAUGCCAAAAUCACAAAAGUCUCAUUUCCAUCAAGAUUAGAAGAAAGACAGAAGUGGGACGUGGAUGAAUUUGUAAGUUUUCUGAAUUUUUUUAAAACUUUAAAUGUUAACCUAUCUUUAAUCGAGCUAAUUGAGAAUGUUCCCAAUACGCCAAAUUUUUAAUGGAGAUGAUGAUAAGGCAUAAGAAAAUCAAGGUAGGAGAACAAGUUAGUUUAAGUGCUUCCUCUAGUGUGAUUAUUUCAAGACAAGUACCUCGAAAGUUGAAAGACCUAAGAAGUUUCACUAUUCCCAUAAAAAUAGGGAGCAUUCAUUUUAAUAGAGCUUUAUGUCGUUUAGGAGCUAGUAUCAAUUUAUUGCAUUUAUCAAUUUUUGAAAAACUCGAGUUAGAGAAUCUUAAAACAACUCAAAUAACCUUGCAAUUAGUUGGCAGGUCUUCAUUCCAUCUGAAGGGAGUACUAGAAGAUGUGCUAGUUAAAGUGCGAAGUUUUAUUAUUCCAGCUGAUUUUGUAGUGCUUGAUUUUGAGGAAGAUCGGGAGAUACCGAUCUUACUAGGAAGACCUUUCCUAGCGACUUCUAGAUCCACCAUUGAUUUAGAGAAAAAUGAGCUAACUAUGAAAAUUAAUGGUGAGAUUGAAAUCUGCAAAUGUGGCUAUCAACUAAAUAAGGAAGAGCGAAAAAUGUUAAGGGAACAUUGCAAAAAAUUAUUUAUCUCUAACGUUCCUAAGUUAAGGGGAGUGCUUCCCUUUAUGAAUGCGGAAAGAAUAAAUAGGUUCAAAGAAUGGGACAAGCGGGCAAAGGUGGAGUGGCACGACGGUCGGUAGACUAAUACUAAUAGAAUAAAGAAAUUGUCCACGGGUGAAUCGACAAUAUUGCUGGAUAAAUCUGGCAGUAUAACUUAAAAUAUGUGAAUUGCUGCAUGAUUUUUUGUAAAUUAUUGUAAAUUUAACUAACUCCAUAAUUUAGAUUUUAACUUUUAUUUGAUGUAUGUUCAAGUUUUAGGCCAAAAGAUCCUUGAAAAGGAAUUUUGGAUCGAAUUGGAGUCAUUGUCGCGACAUUGCACUAGAUAGUCGUGACAGAGCAGAUGGUCCCUGAGAAUCUCCAAACUGGCAGAUGUGUCGUGACACGGAACCUCUAUGUCUCUACAUUAGUAGCUUGCUAGGGAUGUUGCAACAUGGAACUCCUGUGUCACGACAUUGCUGCAAAUUUUUGCAGGGUUGACCUAAUCCAUUAUGCAACCCAACGAUUUAAACACUAACUUUACCCGAUUUUUAACCUUUAAAACCUUAUUUUAUAACCCUAAACUAUGUCUACUAAUAAUUAAAACACCCUUUAACCCUUAUUUCCUCAAAAUCUCUCGAACUUAUCAAUAUCCCUUAAAUUCUAUACCCUUAAUUUCGAAAAUUCCCUUUCACAAACUUGGUGCAACAAGGAAUGGGGACAUCACGGGUAAGUAAGGAAUUGAAACGAACCUCAACUAUACAUUCAAGGUUAAGGGUUCCUAAACUCAAACUUUUUACUGUUCCAUUGAAUUAUUUAUUUAGCAAUUCAUUAGGAUUAAAAAAUUAUGCCUCAAUGAAAAGUUAGGCGACAAUGGAAACUGAGCAUCAAUGGCUCAAAAUCCCUCUACUUUUCCAAAUAGGAAUGUUAAAAAUAAUUUUAAUGAGCUUCAAGGAAAAAAAAUUUAUUCAAGAGAGGGGAUUUGAUCCAUCGAUGAUUUUAUGUAAAGAAAUAUGGCCUUUGGUUAGAUAUCAUCGGUGGGAGCAUUGUGUACGUAGUCAUUCAUGUAAUAAGUAAGUAAAAUUAGUUAUCGUCUCCAUAGGGGUUGUAUAAGCUUAACCAGAUGUUUGUAAAUUAUUACUUCACAUUUUGCUGUAAAAAUUCAUAAUUGGAACGAUGAUGAUUAAACUAAGUAAAAUUAAUUAGAUGCAAGAAUUGAUCCUUAUGCAAUUCUAAUCUAGAUGCAAUAUACCUAAAUGUAGGAAUGAAUGACUUUAGGAACAAAAACAGUCAACAUUAAAUGGGCUAGGAUAAUUAUAUUAAUCAAAUCAACUUACUUUCAUCAUGCUAACAUGUUCAGAAUUACUUCCAUGGCAACUCGAUCUCUUAUGGGUUUGGAAACCAAAUUAAGUAUUUUUGGAUCUUUUACUUAGUGAAAUAUGCAUGUUACUAAUCAUAACAGACUAAAGGUUUCUUAGAAUUUAUGCAAGGUCAUAGGGACAUUUACGUUUGCAUCAGUUUAAUUACAUAAACCUAGAAACCAUGCAAGAUAAUAGAGGUAACUAAAGAUAUUAUGAACCUUAACGUAGUCAGUUUUAAUGACCUAAAUUAAGCAUUGUACUUUUCAAUCAUGUGUCUACUAGCCGUCGUCUAGUUAGGCUUGCUUGGCUAAUUUUAGUGCAUCCUACAACAUAUGAAUGAAAUGUAUCAUGAUAUUAAUUAAAAAUAGAAUUGAUCGAGGCACAAAAUAUGUUAACAUGAAUUAAAUAAAUCUCAUUAAAUUAAUAUAAUCAUCCUAGCAUAUAGGAAUUAAAACUUCAUAGUUGAUGUAAAAAACAUAAAGCUCAAAGAAAAAAUGUUUAAAAUAAAUAACAAAAGGAAAGAGUAAGCUCUAUUCAGUUCAGUAGCCUUUCGGAUCUAUUCUAACUGACUUAGUUCAAUAGCCUUUCGGAUCUACUUUGACUGAGGUGCUCCUCUGUUCUGAUUGAUGCUUCUUUUGCUAAGUAUUCAAAGGGUAGCCGAGUAAAGAGUGCUUUCGACAAAGCUUUUGGGGCUAAAUAUGGGAGAGGGGAUGGACGACUGUACAAGGGAACAAGGGUAAAGGAAUUGAGAGAUAACUAUAGUGAGUGAGAGAGGAAUGUUGAGUGAUAAGGGAUGAUGGAAAAGUGAGGAAUAACAAGGUAUUUAUAGGUAAAGAUAAGGGUUUGAAUUUACUAAAAAUAGUUUUAAAUUUUCUUCCCUCUCUCAUGUGGCCGGCCAUGCUUCAGGAAAAGGGAUGACCAAGUCUUGUCAAUUUGAAUUCGAAUAUCAAGCUAAAAAUAACUAUAGAGUGGACAGUUUCAAUAGGGAAGUUGUUGGGCUUAAUUCUGAUUAUUUUUCAACUACAGGGACCUUCCAUAAAAUAUCCCAAAAUAUAUUUUGGGCAGCCAACAUUAAGUGUCAAAAUUGGGCUUUUAAUUCCCCUUGUUGAACGGUUUUUUUUAGUCCAAUAGCUUAGCAGACAUGUCCAUCUUUUAUCACCUUCUUUACUAGGUCAAGUAGUCAACCUCAUGCCCAAAAUGUCAUGAUCUUGCUGUCCACAUAGGUAAUUUGUGCAUGACCAUAUUUUAUUAAUUCAAAUCAUGUCUCCAAUAACCUAUCUACAUAGUGUAAAAAUAUAUACAUUAAUAAAUUAGCACGAAUUAAUAUAAAAUAUGCAUGAAAAGCAUGUAAUUAAGCAUAAUUUCACACACUUUCUAAAUUCAUGUCUAAAAUUGCUAAUUAAGUAAAAUUCACUUAUUUCAAUAAUAAUUACUCGACAUAAACAUAAUAAUUAAGUAAAAAGGUAGUAAAAACAUAUAGAAAAACCCUAUAUAAUUUCGAAUUUACACAUCCCUAAACGUAAACCAUUGCUUGUCCCGAGUAAUGUUCAUGGACAACACAAUUUUUUUAAGGUAAUUUUGCAAAAUGAUAAAGUAGUAUCAAUCUUUGCACAUAAUCAUGCAUCAACAAAAUCAUGCUCAAAAAUAAUUUUUAUUGACAAGUAGCUCGAAUGUAAUUAUUAUUUCUAACUUUAUACUAAGUACAUCAUAAUGUCAACAUGAGUCAUAGUUUGCAUGCAUUUUCAAAGUUGUACAUAACAUUCACCAAUCAAUUUGCUUUCUUCAUCAACUAAACAUAGCAAUCCCAAGGUUUAAUUAGUGUCUUUAUAUGUUGAACUGAGUAAUUCCUCUCCACUAAUGUAGUCGGUAUAAUUAUCUAAUUAAUAGGUCUUUUAUUAGCUUGUAAUGGGGCUAGGCUAAAGGUAGGGAUAAAGAGAAGUGAUUUUUAGGUUUAAAAAAUCUUAACUCUAACUUUGUCUGAGAUCCUUUGGCGUCACAACUUUCAUACAAAUGGGUCUUUGGAAUACCUUCAAACUUAUUUCGAACUUAUGCUCCACUUUUAUUUUCCUUAAACUUUGAGCAAAUUUUGCUCUUUAUUUCUUUAUUCAUUUUUUCUCUAUUUUUCAACAUGUGAAGAGCUUGCACAUAUUCUCAUAAUUUUCCUCAAACUUUGAUCAUCAAGACAAAUUUUAGGUUAAGAUAAGUGCAAAAGAAUAGGAUAAAAAUAAAAAACAUGUUAAUGUGGCUUAUAAUGUAGAUAAUUUGCAAGAAAUUGGCCAUUAAGCUCAAAAUUAAGUUUCAAGGGUUAAAUUCCAUAAGGUUAGUUUGAAAGGCUCAAACGAUCCAAAGAAAGUGUGCCUAUAUCAUAUUAGAGUCUUAUACCUCCUAGGAUUUCGCCUUAAGAAAGUUACUAAGUCAAUUCUAAAGACUUAAACCUUCAUACUUGUCUAUUUCUAAAGAAAUCAAUUUUUCAUGGAAAAUCUUAGAUAAGACUAAGGUCAUACAAGCAUUCUAUCACUUAAGAUAACAUACGAAUAACUUAGAUAAAAUAAAAAAUCAUGCUUGCAUUUGAACAUACUUAUGAACAAAAAUUCUUUCCAAACAUUCAUUUAUUUCAGCAUACUUAAGAAAAAAGAUUAAAACAUACUUCAAAAUUCAUGCGAAAUACCUUAUUAAAAAUUCAUGCGAAAUGCCUUACCUCCUUGAAAAAAAAACAAUGUCCUCAUUGUGAAAACAAAGUAAUGAAUGAAAACUGAACACAAGGUAAGGUUGCAAGAAAAGAGAGGUGAGUCAUAAAGACUCCUAAAGUACCAAGUCUUUCUCAUAAUCCAAUCCUAGACAUGCUCAUUCCUAUUACCACAUCAUUUUAUUUUCUUUCUAUUGAAGAGGCAUUGAGCUUAUUUUAUUUAUGCUUGCUAAUUUAUUAUGCAAAAGAAAAAUACUAACUAAGAAAAAAAAUAAACACCUAAAAAGAACAAAAAACUAAAGGAAAAGAACUACCCCUUUUUUAUUUAUUUGACUUAUCCUCCUCGUCUUCCUCCUUUGAUUCUUUGUCCUCACUUUUUUUAUCAUCAUCCUUCCACGAAUCGAAGAUAUAAUCUAGGAACUCAGGAAAAAAAUAGUUAGAGAUGCUUUUAAAAGUAUUUCUUACAGAAUCAUCUUUAACUUUUGUUUAUUUCCAAUAAGCUUGUUGUUGGUUAUGCAUAAACUUUAUUACAUCCAUCAUAGUUGACAAUUUUGAUUUCUCUAUAGUGUCGAAAAAGUGGGCAUUGGAAUAGUCAACUCAGGAUCCAUACUUGGUUCAAAUAGCUCAUCAUCAUUUGAAUCUUCUCUUGGUUUAGAGACUUUCGGUUCCUUUAUUGGUUCAGGCUCAUUCGUUUCUUCAUCCGAUUUUGCUUCUUCUGUCUCACCAACUGAGUCAGCUUCCAUUUCAGAUUCGUUCGAUAACUUAUCAAUUUAUGGUUUUGUUGGUUUACUUGGUUCAGGUGGGUUUAGCUCAUGGAAAUUCUCCACUAACCUUUCAAGAUCAUGAGUUGUGAUGCAACUUUAAACAUACGGGCCCUUUAGGUUUGUUGUAACAGCCUGUUUUUGAGUCAAUUCGGAACAGUGAUUUUGGGACCACAAAUUUGAGAUCAAAAUAUUUAUUUUAAUAAGGUUUAAAGUAUGAUAGAAUUAUUGUGUGAAAGUAUCGUAAAGAAAUUUUACUGUUUGAAUGCUUAAUUCGGUAAAAAGGACUAAAUCGCGUAAAACGUAAAACUUGUGUUAUAUUAGUUAAAAGUGUCAAAUAGCCAUAUAAAAUUAAAGUAAAGGUCCUUAAAUGGUGAAUAGACCAUUUACGGGUUAGUGGAUGAUGAUAGCAUGGCAAAUGGUGUAAAUUAUAAUAAUUUUAAAGGUUAAUUUAGUAAAUUGGUAAAUAAUGUUAAUAAUAAUAGAACAUAAAAAUUUUGAUUCAUUAUCAUCAUAUUCUUAAUAAAAUUAGGGCUUGAGAAAGCCAUUAAACAAGCUUGAACAUUCGGCCAUUUAGAUCCUUGAUUAAGGUACGAUUUUUGCUCGGUUUUAAUGAUUUCUAUGUUUUUGUAAUUGUUGCUUCGUAUUCUAGCUAGCCUGUACCUUAGAUUUCAAAAUGGUUAAAGAUUUAACAUAUUACAAUUGUUAAAUGUUUGAGUAAUUUGAUGGUUGAUGAUAGAUUUUGGAUAUUUGUUGAUAGUUAAACUAGUUUUGUAAAGUGAUUUUUGGCAAAAAUGUCAAAAAGGGGUUAAAUUGAGAAAAUGUAAAAUUAUGUGGGUAGAAUUAUGAAGAAAUUGUAAAUAUGGGCUGCUAGUAAUAUAUAGUAAAUUCAGCUAAGCAUGGGCUGGUACUAAAUUGCAUGAAUUUGCAAUUUUAUGUGAUAAGGACUAAAUUGUAAAAAUGUGAAAGUUUAGGGGAAAAUGUGUAAAAUAGCCCUAAUGUGUAUUUUGGACCAAAUUGAAUAAACAGUUGAUUAAAUAAGCUCAUUUUGAUAGUAUAUAGAUCAAGAUAAGCCGAGAUCAGGUUUAGAUCGAGGAAAAGGAAAGAUUGACAAAUAGCCAAUAGUUGUUAUCCGAGCUAUACGAGGUAAGUUCGUAUAAUUAGAAUUGAACUUUUAAACACUUGUAAUUAUUUGAAAUGUAUGUAUAUAAUUGAUUAAUUGAUAUACUUGGAAUAAAAAUGCCUUAUUGAUAUAGAAUAAUAGUUACCGAGCCCCAUUUGAACCGUAUGAAUUCGUAGGAUACGGAUGACAUGUCACUAGGGUCACCGUUUUGGUCGAGAUCCUAUAUGUGUUGCAGACUCACUGCAGCUUGGAUGAGCUUACUGAUAUAUCAGCUUGUAAGAUCUUACUAUUUUUAGCUUGUGGGUGCUUACUAUUUCAGCUCAUAAAAGCUUACUCUUUUCAGCUCGCCAGAGCUUACUGUCCAUCAGCUCAGGAGGAGCUUUCUGUUCAUAGCUCGGAAGAGUGGAAUAUGAUAAUGAAUUGAUGGAUUACUGAUUUAUACAUAAUGUAUAUUUCUCGAGUAUCCUAUGAUAUUCCUAUAGGUUCAACGGGCAUAAAUACUGUUUAUAUGGAUGAGCUAUUGUUUGCAAAUGGAUUAUUGUUUAUAUGAUGGAGAAUGAAAUGUUAUUAAUGUUGUACAUGAUAAAUGAAUUUAGUAUAAUGCAAUGUAUUGAGUAUUGAAUUGAAAUAAUGGAUGGUUAUAUGUACUCAUAUGGCUAACUUGUUGAUGAAUGCAUUUGGAAAUUGAGUUGAGUAUACUUUAUUUAUUGCCUUAAUUGUAUAAAUGGUAAGUUUAAUUCUGAAUUAUACGGGCUUACUAAGCUAUAAAGCUUACUCUAUUUCUUUUUCCAUGUGUUAUGGAGGUUUGAUAGCUCGCUCAUUUCGAACAAGUCGGAGUUACGCAUCACACUAUCCAGUUACUGAUUGGUACUUUUGAAAUUGUGUGUAUAUGUAAAUAUGACAUGUAUAGGCUAGUAUUAAAGAUGAUAAGUAUGGUUACCUGAUAUAAUGAAUUUUUUGUACAUUUGUGGUAUAAGUCUAAGCCAUGUGAUUUGGCUAAAUUUGGUAUAAUGUUGUGGUUGUAUAUAAGUAUUCAAUUAUGGUAUGUUUGAUAAGUAGUAGAUGGAAUGGAAUUAUGCAAAUGUUAUCUUGAUAUGUGGUUGACAUAUGAUUGGAAAAUGCAUGAUGUUAAUUAGGUAAUUGAAUACUAUGUUGAAUUGGUAUCAUAUAUGUAUAAAAUGUAUUAGAAUGCUGCCUAUUGAGUUAUGAAUUGAUAAAACUUUAUGCUUGUGCAUGUAUAUGAAAAUAGGGUGGCAAAAUGGCUUUGCAAAUAGCCUAUUUUUCUCUACAAGGGCAGAGACACGGGCGUGUGUCUCGACCGUGUGUGACACACGGUUAUGUUACACGGCCGUGUGUCCCCUGGUGUUGAAUUAAAAUGAAGUGAGUAUCUUUACAUGGUCUCACACAUGCCCCUAAUUGACAUACGGCCUAGCACACGGGUGUGUGACUUGGCCGUGUUGUAUAAGUCAGUAUACACUCCAAUUUUCACAAAGCCUAGCACAUGGGCGUGUCUUCGACCGUGUGAUGCAAGUUAGUAUGUAUGCCCUGUUUCCUCACGGUCUAAGGCACGGGUGUGUCUACUAGCCGUGUGAGGCCACGGCCUGUUCACACGGGCGUGUGGUCCCUGUAUGUUUGAAAUUUUUCCUAAGUUUCUAAAAUUUCAUAGGCUAUCGGUUUUGUCUUGAACCACUUCUAAAGGAUGUUUAAGGCCUCGUAGGCUAUUAUAAGGGACAAAUUGUUCAAAUGUGAAUGAUCAAUGUGUGAAAAUAGUAUAUUUAUAUGUGCUAUAAGUCUGGUAAUGCUUCGUACCCUUAUUCCGACAUUGAAUAUGGGUGAGGGGUGUUACUUUUUCUUUUUUUCUUGCCUUGGGCCCUUAAUCACUAAUUAUAGCUCUAGGAGUCCCAAACCGUGUAAAUACGUGCUUAUGUAGGAAUCGCAUGACUACUUUAGCGUAAUUAGUUGGAUAUGCCUCGGCUUCAACCCACUUGGACACAUAGUUCAUAGCUACCAAGAUAUACUUGUUUUCAUAGGAAUAAUGAAACAAGCUUAGAAAAUCAAUCCCCAUACAUUGAAAAUUUCUAUCUCCAAAAAAUUUGUUAAGGGCAUCUCGUUCAUUCUUGAUAUGUUUCCAGUUCUUUGGCAUCUAUCGCAAUUCCUCAUAUAUGCAUAAGCAUCUUUGAACAAUGUAGACCAAAAGAACCUAACUUGUAAAAUCUUUGCUGUUGUAUGUGAACCACCAAGGUGUCCCCCACUCGGAUAUGAAUGACAAUGGUACAAAAUUUCACCUAUCUCAUUCAAGCUAUUCACUUCCUGAUUAUGUUAUCUGCAUGUUGUUUAAAAAAAAUGGGUCCUUCUAGAAAUAGUACCGACUAUCAUGAAGAAAUUUCUUCCUCUCGAGGAGUUAUUCCACAUGCUAAAUAAUUGGCAAAAUCAGCAAACCAAGGUGUUUCAUAGAAUUGUCUUACCUUGAAGAUAUGAUGAUAUAAAGAAGUUACCUGAUUUUGUUCCAACCUUGAUAGAUGAUCAACUACUUAAUUUUCAACACCUUUUCUAUCCUGGAUCUCAAGGUCAAAUUCUUGGAGUAAAAGUAUCCAUAUUAGCCUCGGUUUAGUAUCUUUCUUUGUGAGUAAGUACUUAAUGGCAGUAUGAUUGGUAAACACUGUAACCUUGGUACCUAUAAGAUAUGAACGAAACUUCUAUAAAGCAAAAACUAUAGCAAAGAGUUUUUUUCAGUUACUGUAUAAUUGAUUUGGCCUCCUAUCAAAGUUCUGCUUGCAUAGUAGAUAGGGUGACACUUUGUUCCUUCUUUGGCCCAUCAUAGCUCCAAUAGCGAAAUUGCUUGCAUCACACAUCAACUCAAAAGGCAAGUUCCAAACAAGUGUAACAAUUUAUAGGGGCUGAAAUUAUCCAACUUUUCAAUUUUUCAAAAGCUUCUAAACAUGCUUUGUUAAAAUAAAAAAAAAUCUUUUAUUAACUACAGAAAGCUGAACAAUUAUUGGGCUAAUCCCACCUUUCUUCCUGCUUUCCUAUGCUUGGUUACUUUUAUCUAGAUCUCUAUGUGUUUCUUUGUUUUUCUCUAUUGUACAGGUGUUGGAACGGUUGGUAGCCUCUUCUGAGGUUUUCUCAGGCCUCACAUUAUGGUUUCGAGGGAGUGUCUUCUGGUUUUACGAUGUUUUGGUUCUUCUCUGUUUCGAGCAAUGGCGGAAGAAUUGAAAGAUCUUCUUGAAAAGUUGUCCGUCUCUGAAGAAGAAUCAAAGAGGGUGUUUAGUUUUAGCAGAUUCUUAUCUAAUUCAAAGGGUCACGAGGCUUGGGUGAUUGGUAAGGUUAUGUCGAAUGAAAAAAUCAAUAAGGAAGUAAUGUAUAGGGUUCUACGGUCUAUGUGGUUUACAAAAGAAGUGGUGAAUUUCGUGGAACUAAAGGAAAAAGUCAUUUUGGUUAAAUUAAGGGAUGUAGAUGUUAGGAAAAGAUUAUUAAACCUUAAUCCAUGGCUUUUCGAUCAAAAUCUAUUUUCACUAACUUCGUAUGUAAAGGACAAGGAGAUAGAAGAGUAUAUUUUCAACCUUUCACCCUUUUGGGUGAGAUUAUACAACAUACCAUUCGAUCAAAUGGACAGAAAAAUAGUGCUGAAAGUAGGAGAAACAAUUGGUGAGGUGAUGGCAAUUGAUUGGAGAGAUAGGGAUGGGGGUUGGAUAGAGUACAUACGAGUCAAGGUAAAAAUAGAUAUACUGAAGCCCUUAAGAAGAGUGGUCUACUUUGUGGGAAAAGAAGAUGCUGAAAUUGUUUGUGCCAUAAAAUAUGAACGAUUUCCGGCUUUUUGCUACAAAUGUGGUAUCGUAGGGCACAAAACUCAAAAGUGUAUAUUAGAAGGAGGCCAAAAGGAGCUCUACUAAGAUGAACUCCAUUAUGGAAACUUGUAACAGCUCGUUUUCAAUGGAAUCAAAAUAGUGGUUUUGGGACCACAAAUCUGAGUCAGAAAAAAAUUAUUUUAAUAUUAUCGUAUGGUUUGCAUUAUGACAGGAAUGUUAUACGAAAAUUUUGAUAAGAAAAUUUUAUUGAUUACAUGCUUAAUUAUGGAAAGGACCAAAUUGCAUAAAAUGCAAAGGUUGAGUUCUAGUAGCUAUAAGUAUCAAUAGCUAUAGAAUUCAAAACUUGAGGUCUUUAUAUGGUAAAUAGCUAUAGAAUUCAUGGAAAAUUAGAAAAAGAAAAAGGACUAAAUUGGAAAGUUGAAAAGUUAAUGGAUGAUAAUAAAUUUAAAUAGAAAUAUCAUAUUAUUAUUAUCAUCUUAUUACCCAAAAUACAUGGAAACCCUAGGAAAGGGAAAGAAAAUCAAGAAAGCUUAAUUGGGUAAGUAUUUUUGUCCCGUUUUUAGUAAUUUUUAUAUUUAAGAGUUUGUAAUAGCUUAAUUUAUUUAUUUUUGGGAUUAAUUUGUAAAGAUAUCGAAGUAUUGAAAAUUUUCCAUGGAUGUAAAUGCUGAAAUUUUGAAAUUUAUGGUAGAAAAUGAAAGGUUGUUGAUAGAUAAACAACUUUUACAAAGAGAAUUUUGAUGAAAUUAUGGUUUAGGGACUAAAUUAAAACCCAUGGAAAAAUUCUAAUUUUUGUGAAAUUCAUGGGCUGUUAUUAAGACAUGUAAAAAUCAUUUAGGAUUGGAAAUAUGAUUAAAUUGCGUGAAUUUUAUUUUCCGAGCCUAGGGACAAAAUUAUAAUUUAUGAAAAGUAUAGGGGCAAAAUGGUAAUUUUUCCUAGAAAGUGAAUUGAGUUCAAUUGAGUAUGAAAUGGAUUAAAUUGAUGUUAAAUUCAUUUAUAUAGAUUCGGAAAGAUCAAAUAAAGAGUUAGAUCGACGAAAAGAAAAGGUGACAGAUUAGUAGAUUAUCAUAUACGAAUAAGUGUUGAGGUAAGUUCGUGUAACUAAAUGGUGCAUAUUUUUAUGAUUGAAUUGAGUGUGGUGUGUAUUUAUGUGAAUUAUAUAAAUGUUAUAAAUGUAUGAAAUAAUCACAUGUCUGACAAUGUCCGGAAAAUGUUAAGUUCUGUUUGAAUAAUAAAAUUCGAUGGAUACAUGAUUUCCCAUAUUGAAUGUGGUCCUGCAUAUGUUGUGAACAGAAUAUAGCUCGGAUGAGCAAUCCUGUUAUAAGCCCCCUUGAGCGUCCUGUUAUAUAGUUCCUGCGAUCAUCCUGAUUGGUAGUGAUCCUACAUGUGUUGUGCACUACCGCAGCUCUUUGUGAGCGUCCUGUUACAUGAUUCGAUCGGUUGUGGUCCAGCAUUUAUUGCAGACACAAGCGCACCUCUCCGUGAGCAUCCUGAUAUGUAACACCCUAACCCGUAUUCGUUGUCAAAAUAGGGUUUUAGAGCAUUAUCGAAACAUUCAGAACACUUUACAAAUUAUUUACAUUAAUUACUAUUCAAUUACCGAGAUCAUUCAGAGCGUCCCUUAAUUGGACCCUCGAGGACCAAUACAAGCAUUAGAAUCAAAUCGGAACUAAAUCGGGAACAAAUAGAAAUUUUCACGAAAUUACAAUAAUUUUCCAAGGUUGUAGGGCUCACAUGCCUAAGUGGUCAGGCCGUGUACUACACUCGCCCGUGUCCCUAACCCAUGUAACUCUCUGACUUUUAAGGCAUGAAGAAAUUAAAGUAACACCGCCAAGUCAGACGCUCGUGUGCUAGGCUGUGUGACAAAUUUUAUUUUAGAAUUUUAGGUGCAGUUUUCAUACGGGUCAGGCCGUGUACUACACUCGCCCGUGUCCCUAACCCGUGUAACUCUCUGAAUUUUAAGGCAUGAAGAAAUUAAAGUAACACGGCCAAGUCAGACGCCCGUGUGCUAGGCUGUGUGGCAAAUUUUAUUUUCGAAUUUUAGGUGCAGUUUUCAUACGGCUGUGUAACACGCCCGUGUUCAAGGCAGUAUAACACGCCCGUCUUCCAGUCCGUGUCAACCACAUGACUGAGACACAUGCCUGUGUGCCCAAUUCUGAGCAUUCUGUUUCUCAUUUUUAAGAUGGAGGGGACACACGGCCGGACCACAUGCCCAUUGGACAGGUCGUGUGUCACACACGGCCAAGACACACGCCAGUGUGUCUACCCGUGUGGACAAAAUAAAGCUAUUUCCUAGCCUCAUUUGUCACCCAAAACUUACCACUUUCCUGCACCAAAACUCACAAGCAUAUAUCUACUAAUCCAACAUCAUAUUCACAUAAAUUUAGCCAUUAAUCAUGUGAUAUUAUCUCAUGCAUCAAAAGAUAUAAACUUACUCUUAAUAUAAACUUAUAUGCUAACAUAAUUCCAACAAACUAACACAUGCACUUAUGUGAUUACAAAAAUAUUACUUCAAAAAUAGCCAAACUUAGACCAUUACUAUCCACUCCAAUGGCUAUAUUACAAAACGACAAUUACAAGCCAUCAUUGGCCAAAUAAGCUUAUACAUGCCAUUAUACCAAAAUGAGAUUUCUAUUUAUACCAAAAUGAGAUAGUGAAUAGUGUGAUGAUUACUCCGACCGACUUCCAAGCUUCAUGAGCUUUGAGCACUAUAAAACAGGGAAAAUUAAACGGAGUAAGCAUUUUAUGCUUAGUAAGUUCGUAUAACAGAAAAUAAACUUACCGAUCAUAUUUAUUAAUACAAGCAUACAUAAAUUUACAUUCCAUCGAUUUUGGGUAAGUUAAAUAAACACAUACACUUAUUCAACAAGUUAGUCACAUAAUCUCAUAUGAAUAUCAAAUAAACAUAGAUGAGCUCAUCACAUUACAAGCUUCCAUUAAUUUCACCUUUCCACACUUCAAUGGAUGUUUGGAUAAUAUACACAUGUUAAAAAACACCCAUUAGGGUACAUAAUAAUAAGGCAUACUCUUAAGCUGUACAUUUUACAGUGGGAUUACAAGUCCAGGAUAAAUCCUAUCAGUAGCAUAUGCUUUAGAGAGCUUAAUUUUGAUUACCCGUCCGAGCUAAAUCCAAGUUAUAACCUAAGCUCAAGAGGGCUUAUACUAGAAUUACUCGUCCAGGCUAAAUUCUAUCUGCAACAUGUGCACAUUAUUCUUAACCCAUCAAAAUUCAACAUUUAACCGGAACAUGAUAAUUCCUCCAUAUAACACAACUUAAGGCUAUUUCAUUAUGUAUAUAUCAUCUCACAUAUAUCAACACAAUUAUGCAAUUCAAUUCAAACAUAUUAACAUACAUUUUUAAGUUACACGAACUUACCUUGAAAAUGGUUUGUAUUUGAAUUUCAACUAAUCCGAAACCUUUUUCUUUCCUCGAUAUAGUUCCAUUGAUGAUAUUUUUGAAUCUAUAUGGGAAAAUUUAACUAUUAAUCUAUCACAUUUCAUAUACAUUUCCAUUCUAUUACUCUUAUGUAAAAUUACCAUUUUACCCCUAUCCUUUUCAAAAAAAUACAGAUUUCGUCCCUAGGCUUGGAAAAUAAAAUUUGUGAAAUUUAACCCUUUUAUAAGCUCUUAUAAGCUUAUCCUUUUCAAAAAAAAUACCGAUCUCACCAAAAAAUGGGCUAUUACAUGAUAUAAGCUCUUACAAGCUUCCUGACAUGGCUCACUUGAACUCCCUGUUAUGUUAUUCGGAGCAACCUGUUAAUAAUUCUUCGAAGUUACCUGUUAAGCUCAAUGAGCUUCCUAUUCUAAACUCAUAUGAGUUUCCUGUUUAGCCUGGAUAAACAUCCUGUUACAUGGCUCAUCUAAGCAUUCUGAUAUAUGGCUCGAGAGUGUGCUUCCUGAUUAUGUGCCCUUCUGAGUAUCCCUGAACAUGAGUUGAUGGAUCAUUGAUUUGUAUACCUCGAGUAUACUACUUGGGUAUCCAUUUAUAUUUCAAUGAUUCAACAGAUAAAAACUUUUGAUGAAAGAAAAUAUGAGCUAAAUAUGAGUUAUCUCUCAGAUACACUAAAAUACUUGGAAAUUUUUAUAUGAUGAGCUAAUUUUUGUUUUCUUGAUAUCCAUGAGAAUUAUAAGACUAACUUGUUUGAUGAGAACUGUGCUUAGGCAUUUGGCUAAAAUGUUUUGGGGUGCAUGUUAUAUAUAUAUAUUUAUACGAGCAUGAUUGAAAAUUUAAAUUCUUGUUAUACGAACUUACUAGGCAUUGAAUGCUUGCUCUACUUAAUUUUCCUCUACUUUAUAGUGCUCGGAAGCUCGCUAGGGUUGGAAAUUGCUUGGAGCAUCAUCACACUAUCCUAUAGCCCAUUUUGGUAUAAAUAGCAAACUUAAUUUGGUAUAGUGGCAUGUAUUGUAACACCCCGAACCCGAGACCGUCGCCGGAGUCGAACACGAGGUGUUAACAGACUUCAAACCACUUAUUAAAAAUUUCCCAGACAAGCUGCCAAUAUGCGUACUAGUCACUUUAAAAAUCAUAUCUUGAGUUCUGAAACUCGAAAUCCAGUUCUGUAAAUUUUCCCCGGAACUAGACUCAUACAUCUAUAUGGUAGAAUGUAGAAUUUUUGGUUGGGCCAAUUGGUACAGUUUAUUAGUUAAAGUCGUCCCUGUUCCUGGGUUUGACUACUCUGAGCUUUGUGCAUUACGACUUAGAUAUCUCCCUUUACAGAGCUUCAAUACUUAUGCUGUUUGUUUCUAAUGAGACUGGACUCAAAAGGGAAUCUAUACAUAUAAGGCAUGACUUCUAAUUAUCUCUGAUUAAUUUAUGGUGAAUUUCUAAAGUCGGAACAGGGGAUCCAGAAAUCGCUCUGGUCCUGUUUCACAAGCGUUUAAUUAUCUCCUAACAUACAGCUCAUAUGGUCAUUUCGUUUCUUCCAUAUGAAAAUAGACUCAUCGAGCUUCGAUUACAUAAUUUAUUCAUUAUUUAAUUCCAUUCCUACUAUUUUUAGUGAUUUUUCAAUCUCACAUUACUGCUGCUGCCAGCAUCUGUUACUAAAGCAACUAUGCCUAUUUCGUGAUUUCUCCUUGAUCUAACUAAUAAUUCAUCAUACAUAUCACAAAUUAUGAUCAUGACUAGCCAUGCCAAAGGCUAAUCAUUGUCAAACAUCUCCCUACUACACUAUUUCUAUAUCAUGAAUUUUAGCACCAAAAAUAAUCAACCAUGACAUAUGGCAUAAAAAUCGAAUAGGCCUCAACUAUUAUUCAACCAAAACCGAAUUGGCCCAAUAUCAGUCAUGACCACAUUAUAAAACCCAUUUACUAAGAUUUAUAACUAAAUAUCAUAGGACCCAAAGUCCAAAUUAACAUUUAUGCCAUUUUCGCAUGGCUGAAAGUUUACAUACCAAAGUUUAAACACAACAUAAUAGCCUAUACAUGCCGAAAUGUUCUCCUAGACCGACUAAGAAGAAAGUACCAAAACUUGCUAGCUGGUGUGAUGACUUCGAUGACGGUCCCAAGCACGCAAAAAGACGAGUCCAAGAAACCUAAAGUAGGUGACAAGCAAACACCGUAGUAAGUCAUAAGCAUUACAUAAUCAUCCAUUAAUAAAUUAUCACAUGAGAAAACAAGUGAAAAGGGGUUAAUUCUCUCCACCCAUACCAACUAUGCCAUGGUUCCUUAGACCUUUCGGCUCAAUAUCAUACAAAGUACUACAUCAAUUUUUCAUAUGCUACUCAACAUGGUAUUUGAGGCAUUUUCCAUGGAUGCUUUCAUUCUCGUUACAUUCAUGCAACUAAAUAACAUUCCCUCUAUUCCACGAUGAAUCUCAUGUUCGUCACUUCAAGUAUAAUUAUCACAUAGGUUCAAAACUUAUCAAGCAAGAAUUCCAAAUAUAAACAUAACGUCUAUUAGCCACGAACUCAAGACACUUACUCGUCCACUGUCCGUGACCAACUCAAUAAGGUUGCACACUUAGUGUCAAUAGUGCUUCAAAAACAUAUAGUAAGUCCGCACACUUAGUGCUAUAUAAUCAAACUCGCACACUUAGUGCUUACAUAAUCAAACUCGCACACUUAGUGCUAUAUAAUCAAACUUGCACACUUAGUGCUAUGCAAUUUAAACCCGCACACUUAGUGCCAAUCUCAUGAUCAUAAUUGUUUAUACCCGCACACUUAGUGCCGAAAUCAACAUCUCAAUACACCUCACCUCUUUUCUUUUUCAUUCAAUACUUUCAUCACCCCAUGCAUACGUGUAUAUAUAUAUUUAUCAUUUCAUUCGACAUAAUUACAUAGACAUUAUGACUAUUUAAAUCAAUACCAAAUAUAUGCUUAAUGACUUACCUUGUGUUGGGUAAAAUAACUCCAAGUCGACUACUCGAUGAUCUUCGAUUUCCCCUUGUUGGACGCCUCUCCUUUAGGAUCUUGAGCUUAAACAAAUAAAUUAACUCAUUCAACCGCUUUGCUACAUAUAUUGGUAUUCACAUUUUAAUGAUUUUAUGACAUACGGAAUGGCAUGGUAAAAUUUUUAUCUUGCUACCUUGUGUUCUUAGCUAUUCGGCUAAUAACCUUAUGCAAUUACCAUACUUUCAAUAAUCUAAUCACACAUGCAUAUGCAUACUUGGACAUUCGGCAAUCACCUUGCUAAUUUUAUACUCAACAUCACAUAAGCUCCCAAGUGAUGGCCGAAUAUGUAUAUCUAUACUAUCACCUAUAAUUCCUCAAAUCACAACAUUUCAUCUCAUGAACACUUAACCCAUUUCUCACAAAAAAUGAAACAACAACUAAAAUGAACAUCCCAUUUUUAUCCCAUAUAGCCGAUUGCUUCAUUUGUUACCCAACUAACAAUUCAACAAUUUCAACCUCAUUACAACCUCUACCUAUUCAAUAUAACAUGAACACAAUCCUCCACCCCUAAAGUAGAUUCGGCAAUCACUUAACCCAUUUUAACCUCAACUUUCAAGUUGAAAGAAAUUAACCACUCACCAUCUCCUACAUUACUAUCCAUUUUAAUGACAUUAACACAUCUACUAAGAGUUUCAAACUUCUUGGCCGAAUUUCAACCCCAAAAUCCUAAGUCUAAUCUAUAGGAUGAGUAGAAUUGGAACUAACCAUCUCAAACAUGCAUAGAUUUUCAAGAAUCAUUCAAUACAUACCUCAUUCUAGCCAUCUUCCAAGCCAAAAUCAAAUAACCAAGUCUCCCUUCCUUCUCCUCACUCAUGGCAAUUGCCAAGAAAAAAAAGAUGAACACUCCCUCUUCCCUCCUUAUUUUAUUCACCUUUUUCCUUUUUUAAUUCCUUUUUAUUUUAAUUGUUAACUAAACAAAACAUAUUAAAUUAGAAUAAGUGGAGCUCCAUCACCCCUUGGCCGACCACUCUACUUUUUUUGGGUAAAUUGACAUGCAAAACCACCCUUUUUGGUACAUGCACUAAUAGACCAUUUUAAAUUAGCCUAUCAUAUUUCACCAUGUCUCAUAUUGAUCCCUAUUCAAUAAUUUCUCAUGCAAUUGGCAAAAUUAGGGAAUGAAACCUCCACAUAUGCAUGUACACAUAUAAUAAGCAUAGAAUAUAGCAGUUAAUUAUUUUUAUGACUUGGUUUUGUGGUCCCGAAACCACUUUCCGACUGGGGUCACACUAGGGCUGUCACAACUCUCCCCCACAUAAGAAAUUUUCGUCCCCGAAAAUCUUACCAGUGAACAAUUUAGGAUAUCGAUCCUUCAUAGAGUCCUCAAGUUCCCAAGUGGCUUCUUCGAUUCCGUGUUUAUGCCACAACACCUUUACUAAUGGGAUUUUCUUAUUUCGCAACUCUUUUACUUCACGCAUCAAAAUGCGAACCGGCUCUUCUUCAUAACUCAAAUUAGGCUGAAUCUCGAUCUCAGGUGGAGUGAUUACGUGCGACGGAUCGGACCUAUAUCGUCGAAGCAUCGAGACAUGAAAAACGUUGUGAAUCUUUUCGAGCUCAGGGGGCAAAAUUAAUCGGUAUGCAACUGGUCCAACUCGUUCGGAUACUUCAUACGGACCGAUGAACCUCGGACUCAAUUUGCCCUUACGACCAAAUCUAAGCACCUUCUUCCAGGGUGAAACUUUGAGAAAUACUUUGUCUCCAACCUGAUAUUCAAUGUCUUUUCUUUUCAAAUCCGCAUACGACUUUUGACUAUCCGAAGCGGCUUUCAAACUUUCGCGAAUUACUCAGACUUUCUGCUCGGCAUCCUUAAUCAAAUCAACCCCAAGGAUCUUACUUUCACUAAGUUCAGUCCAAAAUAAUGGGGUACGGCAUUUACAACCGUAUAAAGCCUCGUAAGGUGCCAUCUUAAUGCUUGACUGAAAGCUAUUGUUGUAAGCGAAUUCGAUUAAAGGCAGAUAUCUUUCCCAUGAACCACAAAAUUCUAAAACACAACAUCUCAACAUAUCCUCGAGUAUCUGAAUUAUCCGCUCAGAUUGGCCAUCGGUCUGAGGAUGGAAUGCGGUGCUAAAGUGCAUCUUGGUACCCAAUGCUUCUUGUAAUUUCUUCCAAAAUCGCGAGGUAAAUCUUGGGUCUCUAUCCGACACGAUGGAAAUAGGUACCCCAUGCAACCGAACUAUUUAGGAGACAUAUAAUUCUCCCAAUUUAUCGAGCGAAAAAUCCAUACGGACGGGGAUAAAAUGAGCAGACUUGGUCAAUCUAUCAACAAUGACCCAGACUGAGUCUUUCUUACUUUGAGUCAAUGGUAACCCAGAUACAAAGUCCAUUGUUAUUCGAUCCCAUUUCCAUUCGGGUAUCAUGAUUGGCUGAAGUAAUCCCGAUGGUACUUGAUGUUCCGCUUUCACUUGUUGACAUAUCAAACACCUUGAAACAAAUUCAGAAAUGUCUCGUUUCAUACCGGGCCACCAAAAUUGGCGUUUCAGGUCAUUGUACAUUUUAGUACUACCCGGGUGGACUGACAUUCGACUACUAUGAGCCUCGUUCAAAAUCAUCAAAAUAAGUUUCGAAUUUCUUGGAACACAUAAUCGACCUCUGAACGUCAAGCAAUCAUUGUCGUCAAUCCGGAACUCCGAUUCCUUAUUCGAAGCACAUUUAGCUCGUUUAGUAACCAAUUCAGCAUCGACUUUCUGGGAUUCAAGUAUUUGAUGAAUCAAUAAUGGUUUGGCCUCUAAUUCAGCUACUAGCACCCCAUCGGGUGAGACGGAUAAGUGAGCAUUCACCGCUCUCAAAGCAAACAGUGCUUUCCGACUUAAAGCAUCGGCAACCACGUUAGCCUUUCCCGGGUGAUAAUCAAUAACAAGUUCGUAGUCCUUCAACAACUCAAGCCAACGUCUUUGUCGUAGAUUUAGAUCUCUUUGAGUCAUCAGAUAUUUUAGACUCUUGUGGUCCGAAUAAAUAUGACACAUUUCUCCAAACAAGUAAUGUCGCCAUAUUUUCAAGGCGAACACUAUGGCUGCUAAUUCAAGAUCGUGGGUCGGAUAGUUUCUCUCAUGCGGCUUUAAUUGUCUCGACGCGUAAGCCACAACUCGACCUUCUUGCAUCAACACACAACCUAGCCCAAGUAAGGAUGCAUCACUAUAAAUGACAAACUCUUUGCCGGACUCCGGUUGUACUAGCACUGGAGCUUCAGUUAAACAGGUCUUUAGUCAAUCGAAACUCUUCUGACAGUUUUCUGUCCAUUCAAACUCAACAUCUUUUUGGAGUAGUUUCGUCAACGGUGCAGCUAUCAUCGAGAAACCCCUUACAAACUGUCGGUAGUAUCCGGCAAGUCCCAAAAAGCUCCUAACUUCAGUAAUAUUCCUCGGAGGUUUCCAGUCGAGUAUGGCCGAAAUUUUGUUCGGAUCCACUCUAACACCCGAUGCAGACACCACAUGCCCCAAAAAGCUAACCUCUCUCAACCAAAAUUCACAUUUACUGAAUUUUGCAUAUAACUACUUGUCUCGCAAAAUCUGUAAUACUAACCUCAAAUGCUUGGCGUGUUCGGCUUCACCUUUUGAAUAAACUAAAAUAUCAUCAAUAAACACAACCACAAAUCGAUCCAAGUAUGGCCUGAAUACUCGAUUCAUUAAAUCCAUAAAUACCGCAGGGGCAUUAGUGAGCCCAAACGGCAUCACUAAGAAUUCGUAGUGACCGUACCUCGUUCUAAAAGCGGUUUUGGGUAUGUCCGAGUCUCGAACCCUCAACUGAUAAUAACUAGAUCUCAAAUCUAUCUUGGAAAAUACUGAGGCUCCCUUUAAUUGAUCAAACAAAUCAUCAAUACGUGGCAACGGGUAUUUAUUCUUUAUGGUCACUUUAUUCAACUGACGAUAGUCGAUGCACAAUCUCAUGGUUCCAUCCUUCUUUUUAACAAACAAUACGGGUGCGCCCCAUGGAGAAAAACUCGAUCGAGCGAAACCUCUAUCCAUCAAUUCUUGCAAUUGAACUUUCAAUUCCUUUAAUUCCGUUAAUGCCAUAUGAUACGGGGCUAUUGAGAUUGGCGUGGUACCAGGUACAAUCUCGAUGCCGAAUUCCACCUCUCGAACCGGUGGCAACCCCGGUAACUCCUCAGGAAAAACAUCUGAAUACUCACAAACCACUGGUACUGAUUCAAGUUUCCUUUCCAUCUCUUUGCUAUCAAAUACAUACGCAAGGUAUGUUUCACACCCCUUUUUCACAUAUCUCUGAGCGGUCAUUGAAGAUAUUAUCGCUGGCACCCCCUUCAAAUCGGUAGACUCAACUCGGACUACCUCAUCAUUUGCACUCCUCAAAUCGAUGGUUUUUCUUUUGCAGUUCACCACUGCAUCAUGUACGGUCAACCAAUCCAUACCAAGAAUAACAUCAAAUUCGUCAAACGGCAAAAGCAUCAAAUCGGCCGAAAAACAGGAUUCUCGGAUUAUUAGAGGGCAUCUCUUACACACUUUAUCAACAAGUACGUAUUGACCCAAAGGGUUUGACACUCGAAUUACGAACUCAGUAGACUCAACAGGUAGAGUCUUACUGGAUGCUAAGGUUUCACAUACAUAUGAAUGAGUAGAGCCAGGGUCAAUCAAUGCAAUCACAUUAGUAUCAAAGAGAGUGAAAGUACCAGUGAUGACGUCAGGGGAGGAUGCCUCCUCUCGUGCGCGAAUGGCAUAUGCUCUAGCAGGAGUAUGGGUCUCGGCUCGAACAGCCGUAUCAGAGGCCCCUCUUUGACUAUCACCCCUACCCCCUGAAAUUCUCGGUGGUCUACCUCUAGCUGUCAUUCCACUAGGUCUUGCACCUUGCAUCUUAUUCUUCUCAUCAAGCUCCGUGCAAUCUCUAAUGAAGUGGUCCUUUGAACUGCAUCCGUAACAGGCCCUGUUAGUAGACUUACCCCAACAUUCACCUAGGUGUCGUCUUCCACAUUGGGGACAUUCAGGUUUCACUUGACGAUUAUUGCCCACACUAGCUACCGAAGUAGCUCGGGAGUCCGUCGAUGGUCGUGCUCUGAUCAAAAUUCCCGCAGUCAUCCUCGACUUAUUAGUGUCCUCCCUGAACUUCUUUACAGCUGAGAACGGAACUUUACCCGUCGAUCUUUUACGAUGGUCUCUAGCUUCAAAUUCAGCCUUCUUCUUCUCCUUUCCAAGUUCUUCCACCUUGCAGGCUCGUUCGACUAGUGUUACGAACUCCUUUAUCUCCAAAAUACCCACUAGUAGCUUUAAAUCUUCAUUCAAUCCUUCUUCAAAUCUUUUGCACAUAGCAACCUCAUCAGCCACACACUCCCGGGCAUACCGACUGAGUCUUACGAACUCAUGUUCGUAUUCAGAUACUGUCAUACGGCCUUGCUUGAGUUCCAAGAAUUCCUUACGUUUUUGAUCGAUGAACCGUUGACUAAUAUAUUUCUUUUGAAAUUCCGUUUGAAAGAAAUCCCAAGUAACUCGUUCAUUUGGGACUAUGGAAAUCAAGGUCCUCCACCAAUAGUAGGCUGAGUCUCGCAACAAGGAUAUAGCACACUUUAGACAUUCAUCGGGUGUACACGACAGUUCAUCAAACACCCGAAUGGUAUUAUCAAGCCAGAACUCGGCCCUUUCGACAUCAUCAGUAACUAUGGCCUUGAACUCCUCGGCCCCGCGCUUCCUAAUCAAGUCUAUAGGUGGCUUACUCAGCCUCACAGGAUCAGUAACUGAUGGCAUUACGGGCUCUUGGGGUGGAUUAUUGAAAUUCGGGAAUGGUUGGACAGCCGGAUUGGUUCGGGCAUAUUGCGCGACCCACUCAUUCAUCAUGGUGAAGAAGGCUUGUUUUGCCCCCUCACCUUGAUUAUUCGCAGAUGACUGAGGUUCAACAGGCGGCGUUCCUUGCGCAGGAGCAGCCGCUACACUUUCAACGUCAUCCACUAAGGUUCUCUCCACACCGGGAUCCAUUUACUAAUCAAAACAAAAAUUUUUAACCGUCAGAAGUCAUCACACAUUUAAACAUUAACAUUAAGGCAUGUAUAGCUAGACUCAUACACGCUACGGUAGUCCUAGAACCGACUAAACCAUAGCUCUGAUACCAAUUAAAUUGUAACACCCCGAACCCGAGACCGUCGCUGGAGUCGAACACGAGGUGUUAACAGACUUCAAACCACUUAUUAAAAAUUUCCCAGACAAGCUGCCAAUCUGCGUACUAGUCACUUUAAAAAUCAUAUCUUGAGUUCUGAAACUCGAAAUCCAAUUACGUAAAUUUUCCCCGGAACUAGACUCAUAUAUCUAUAUGGUAGAAUUUUUGUAGAAUUUUUGGUUGGGCCAAUUGGUACAGUUUAUUAGUUAAAGUCGUCCCUGUUCUUGGGUUCGACUACUCUGACCUUUGUGCAUUACGACUUAGAUAUCUCCCUUUACAGAGCUUCAAUUCUUAUUUCGUUUGUUUCUAAUGAGAUUAGACUCAAAAGGGAAUCUAUACAUAUAAGGCAUGACUUCUAAUUAUCUCUGAUUAAUUUAUGGUGAAUUUCUAAAGUCGGAACAGGGGAUCCAGAAAUCGCUCUGGCCCUGUUUCACAAGAGUUUAAUUCUCUCCUAACGUACAGCUCAUAUUUUCAUUUCGUUUCUUCCAUAUGAAAAUAGACUCAUCGAGCUUCGAUUAAAUAAUUUAUUCAUUAUUUAAUUCCAUUCCUACUAUUUUUAGUGAUUUUUCAAUCUCACAUUACUGCUGCUGCCAGCAUCUGUUACUAAAGCAACUAUGCCUAUUUCGUGAUUUCUCCUUGAUCUAACUAAUAAUUCAUCAUACAUAUCACAAAUUAUGAUCAUGACUAGCCAUGCCAAAGGCUAAUCAUUGUCAAACAUCUCCCUACUACACUAUUUCCAUAUCAUGAAUUUUAGCACCAAAAAUAAUCAACCAUGACAUAUGGCAUAAAAAUCGAAUAGGCCUCAACUAUUAUUCAACCAAAACCGAAUUGGCCCAAUAUCAGUCAUGACCACAUUAUAAAACCCAUUUACUAAGAUUUAUAACUAAAUAUCAUAGGACCCAAAGUCCAAAUUAACAUUUAUGCCAUUUUCGCAUGGCUGAAAGUUUACAUACCAAAGUUCAAACACAACAUAAUAGCCUAUACAUGCCGAAAUGUUCUCCUAGACCGACUAAGAAGAAAGUACCAAAACUUGCUAGCUGGUGUGAUGACUUCGAUGACGGUCCCAAGCACGCAAAAAGACAAGUCCAAGAAACCUAAAGUAGGUGACAAGCAAACACCGAGUGAGUAUAUAACUCAGUAAGUCAUAAGCAUUACAUAAUCAUCCAUUAAUAAAUUAUCACAUGAGAAAACAAGUGAAAAGGGGUUAAUUCUCUCCACCCAUACCAACUAUGCCAUGGUUCCUUAGACCUUUCGGCUCAAUAUCAUACAAAGUACUACAUCAAUUUUUCAUAUGCUACUCAACAUGGUAUUUGAGGCAUUUUCCAUGGAUGCUUUCAUUCUCGUUACAUUCAUGCAACUAAAUAACAUUCCCUCUAUUCCACGAUGAAUCUCAUGUUCGUCACUUCAAGUAUAAUUAUCACAUAGGUUCAAAACUUAUCAAGCAAGAAUUCCAAAUAUAAACAUAACGUCUAUUAGCCACGAACUCAAGACACUUACUCGUCCGCUGUCCGUGACCAACUCAAUAAGGUCGCACACUUAGUGUCAAUAGUGCUUCAAAAACAUAUAGUAAGUCCGCACACUUAGUGUUAUAUAAUCAAACUCGCACACUUAGUGCUUACAUAAUCAAACUCGCACACUUAGUGCUAUAUAAUCAAACUUGCACACUUAGUGCUAUGCAAUUUAAACCCGCACACUUAGUGCCAAUCUCAUGAUCAUAAUUGUUUAUACCCGCACACUUAGUGCCGAAAUCAACAUCUCAAUACACCUCACCUCUUUUCUUUUUCAUUCAAUACUUUCAUCACCCCAUGCAUACGUGUAUAUAUAUAUUUAUCAUUUCAUUCGACAUAAUUACAUAGACAUUAUGACUAUUUAAAUCAAUACCAAAUAUAUGCUUAAUGACUUACCUUGUGUUGGGUAAAAUAACUCCAAGUCGACUACUCGAUGAUCUUCGAUUUCCCCUUGUUGGACGCCUCUCCUUUAUGAUCUUGAGCUUAAACAAAUAAAUUAACUCAUUCAACCGCUUUGCUACAUAUAUUGGUAUUCACAUUUUAAUGAUUUUAUGACAUACGGAAUGGCAUGGUAAAAUUUUUAUCUUGCUACCUUGUGUUCUUAGCUAUUCGGCUAAUAACCUUAUGCAAUUACCAUACUUUCAAUAAUCUAAUCACACAUGCAUAUGCAUACUUGGACAUUCGGCAAUCACCUUGCUAAUUUUAUACUCAACAUCACAUAAGCUCCCAAGUGAUGGCCGAAUAUGUAUAUCUAUACUAUCACCUAUAAUUCCUCAAAUCACAACAUUUCAUCUCAUGAACACUUGACCCAUUUCUCACAAAAAAUGAAACAACAACUAAAAUGAACAUCCCAUUUUUAUCCCAUAUAGCCGAUUGCUUCAUUUGUUACCCAACUAACAAUUCAACAAUUUCAACCUCAUUACAACCUCUACCUAUUCAAUAUAACAUGAACACAAUCCUCCACCCCUAAAGUAGAUUCGGCAAUCACUUAACCCAUUUUAACCUCAACUUUCAAGUUGAAAGAAAUUAACCACUCACCAUCUCCUACAUUACUAUCCAUUUUAAUGACAUUAACACAUCUACUAAGAGUUUCAAACUUCUUGGCCGAAUUUCAACCCCAAAAUCCUAAGUCUAAUCUAUAGGAUGAGUAGAAUUGGAACUAACCAUCUCAAACAUGCAUAGAUUUUCAAGAAUCAUUCAAUACAUACCUCAUUCUAGCCAUCUUCCAAGCCAAAAUCAAAUAACCAAGUCUCCCUUCCUUCUCCUCACUCAUGGCAAUUGCCAAGAAAAAAAGAUGAACACUCCCUCAUCCCUCCUUAUUUUAUUCAGCUUUUUCUUUUUUUAAUUCCUUUUUAUUUUAAUUGUUAACUAAACAAAACAUAUUAAAUUAGAAUAAGUGGAGCUCCAUCACCCCUUGGCCGGCCACUCUACUUCUUUUGGGUAAAUUGACAUGCAAAACCACCCUUUUUGGUACAUGCACUAAUAGACCAUUUUAAAUUAGCCUAUCAUAUUUCACCAUGUCUCAUAUUGAUCCCUAUUCAAUAAUUUCUCAUGCAAUUGGAAAAAUUAGGGAAUGAAACCUCCACAUAUGCAUGUACACAUAUAAUAAGCAUAGAAUAUAGCAAUUAAUUAUUUUUAUGACUCGGUUUUGUGGUCCCGAAACCACUUUCCGACUGGGGUCACACUAGGGCUGUCACAUGUAUAGGCUAAGCUAGGUAAAAUGAUGAAAUGUUUGGUUGUAAAUAGCCAUUGGAAUGGCUAGUGGAAAAUAUAUUUUGAUGUAAUUAUAUAAGGCCAUAUCAUGUUUGAUGUUUGUUGGAAAGGUUAAAUGGUAGAAGAUAUAUAUAUAAAACAAAUGAUAAAUGAAUUUGAGUUAGUAUAAUUGAAUAACUUACAAAUAAACAUAAAUGUAAUUGUGGAAAUUUAAACAUUUGAUCAUAUGUGUUAAUAUAACAUACAUAAUACUUGUUUUUGGAUUGGUUUAUAUGUACCAAAUUGGGCUGAAAAUAUGUUGAAGUGUUAAUGUAGGUGCAAGGUAAAAAGGGUGAGAAAUAAAGCUCUGAAAAUGACCUUAUUUUGUCUACAUUGGCAGACUAAUAGGCGUGUGUCUCAACCGCGUGGGACAUACGGCCAUACACAUGGACGUGUGGUUUGGCCGUGUGUCCCCUGCAUCUUAAAAAUUGAGAAACAAAAUGCUUUAAAUUGAGCACACGGGCAGAGACACGAGCAUGUGUCUCAGCCGUGUGAGACACGAAACCCAACACAUGGGCGUGUGUCCUGGCCGUGUAACCUCUGUACCUAAUUUUCAAAAAUUAAAUUGUCCACACGGUCUAACACACGGGCAUGUAGCUGACCGUGUGACCUAAGUCAGAGAGUUACACGAGUAAGGACACGGACUGGAACACAACCAUGUGCCUCACAUCGAAUGCCCACAAGGGUUAGGAGACAGGUGUGUCAUUGGCCGUGUGAGUCACACGGCCUAACUACACGGGUGUGUGUGUCACUUGCACCUAAGAAAAAUUUUGAGAUUUCGCGAAAAAUUUUCUGUGAUCCUGGUUUUGUCCCGACAUGAUUUUAAUAUGUAUUUUGGGCCUCGAGGACCCAUAUGAGGGACAUUAUAAUUGAUUGUGAUUGAUUUUUGGAAAUGAAUAGUAAAUGAUAGAAAUUAACUGUAAUUGAAUUGUAAACUCUGAUAAUGCUUUAUAACCCUAUUCUGGCGAUGGAUACGGGUUAGAGAUGUUACAUUUAUUGGUAUCAGAGCUACAGUUUAGCCGAUUCUCGGACUAACAUAGCAAGUACGAGUUUAGCUAUACAUGCCAUUAUAUAAUUUGUGAUAGUGUGAUAGUGUGAUAUAUCCUAACCAUUUUAAACAUGUUUUUCCUUUAGUUAUGUCAUCCAACCAGGCUAGAGCUUAAUUCGAGGAAGCUGAGAGCACUGCUGAAGCUUCAGUUCAGAGAGCUGCAUCUACCAGUAGUAGAAGGCACGUAUCUGAGUGCUGAGGUGAGGAGGAAAAAGAAGCCUUCUUCCAAAUGAUGAAUAAGUGGUUCAAAAAAUUCAUAAGAAUAAAUCCUGCUGAACAACAACCACCCCCUCCUUCUCCUCAAUUGGUUCCUGACAUGCCAUAAGGUGUUGAACCUAUUAGAACUGGUAAGUCUCCGGUAGAUAAAAUCCAUAAAUAUGAAGCUAAAAAAUUUAGGGCUACUACUGAAGAUGAUCCAGAAAGGGCUAAAUUUUGGUUAGAGAAUACAAUCAGGGUUUUGGAUGAUUUAUCAUGCAUACCAGCUGAGUGCCUAAAAUGUGUUGUAUCAUUGUUGAAAGACACAACUUAUCAAUGGUGGAAUACCUUGAUUUUUGUUGUGCCAAGGGAAAAUGUUACAUGGGAGUUUUUCCAAACAGAAUUCAAAAAGAAGUAUAUUAGCCAGAGAUUUCUGGAUCAGAGCAAUAAAGAAUUUCUAGAGCUUAAAUAAGGAAAUAUGAUAGUAUUUGAAUAUGAACGAGAAUUCGUUCGGUUAAGUAAGUAUGUCAGAGAACGGGUUCCAACUGAGGCUGAUAUGUGUAAACGUUUUGAAGAAGGAUUAAAUGAAGACAUCAAGCUAUUGGUAGGAAUUCUUGAAUUAAGGGAAUUUGUGGUACUGACUGAUCGGGCACACAAAGCUGAGGAAUUAAGUAAAGAGAAGAGAAAACCAUAGAGAGAAGCCCAGAUUUCUGGUAAGAGAUUUAUGGGGAAGUCACAAGCAUCUACGUCAAAGAAAUCAAAGAAAUACCAUGAUCGUUCUACCACAUUUACGUGGUAUUCUAGAAAAGAACGAGGCUUUCAACGUUCUAAUCUGAGAUCUCUGUCUCCAUCUGUUACGAGUAUUGGAAGUGUUGGUAACCCCAAACCUAGAUGUAAACAUUGGAAAAAAAUAUUAUUUUGUGGAGUGCCGUAUGAGAAGCCGAGCCUGCUAUAAAUGUGGUUCUCUUGAACAUUAUCUUAAAGAUUGUCUGGAAAGGAUUGAAAAAGAUAUUGUUCAGAUGUUGAAACCAAGUAACCCUGGCUUAAGAGGUAGACCACCCUGUCACUCUGGAAAUGUUAAUGGUAGCUGAAGUGCAACAAAAGAUUCAACUGUUAAGUCUGAAGAACGAGCACCAGCAAGGACAUAUGCUAUUAAUGCAAGAGAAGAUGCCUCUGCACCAGACGUCAUUACUAGUACAUUUUCUCUUCUUGAUAAUGAUAGAACUACUUUGAUUGAUCCUGGUUCAACAUAUUCAUACAUAUGCACGAAUUUAGAGUCUGUUAAAAACUUAUCUAUUUAAUCAAUUGAAUUUGUGUUUAAAGUCUCAAACCCCCUAGCCCAAUUUGUGAUGGAAGAUAAAAUCUGUAAAAAUUGUCCAUUAAUGGUAAAAGGCUAAUUGUUUCUUGGCUGAUAUGAUGUUACUGCCUUUUGAUGAAUUUGAUGUGUAACACCCCUUACCCGUAUUCAACGCUGGAACAUGAUACGAGGCAUUACUAGACUUACAAAGCAAGCAAACAUACAAAUUCUAGGUCAAAAAUUUUCAUCCAAAGUAAAACCAUUCGCAUUCAAUCAUAAAGUACCUAAUACGAGCUUACGAGGCUCGAAACCUACUUUGGAAGUGGUUCGGGACUAAACCGAGCACUUAGGAAAUUUUUACAGAUCAUAGAAAAUUUUUGCUAUGAAUAGGGGUCAUACGCCCGUGUGGCUUGGGACACACCCAAGUAGGCUGGUCGCGUGGUCACACGCACUCAUAUCCCCAACCAAUGUAACUUUCUGUUUUACAAUGCAUGAACAAAUUGAUGUCACACCCGUGUGCCAGACCGUGUGAUAAAUUAUGUUUUUAUAAAAUAGGUGCAGACUUCACACUGUCGGGACGCACGCCCGUGUUUGAAGCCGUGUCCUUCACACAGUUGAGACACACGCCCGAGUCUCUGCCCGUGUGCUCAAUUCUGAGCAUUUUAUUUCUCAAAAUUAAGGUGCAGGGGACACAUGGCCAGAACACAUGCCCAUGGGGCAGACCGUGUGUCACACAUAGUCUAGACACACGCUCGUGUGUCUACCCAUGUGGACAAAAUAAAGGCUGUCUACCAAUCCAUUUUUCACAUUCAUUUACACCUACACAUACAAAAGUUCAAUGGCAUUAUCCAUGCCAUGUUUAAGCAACCAAAACAUACAUAAUCAAGGCUAAAUCAUAUCAUUCAUUACCAACACUUAACAUAUUUACUAUAGCAUAAUUACCAAAUCAAUUCAUACCAAACUCACAUUCACAAGUAUCAACAUGAAGACUUUCAUCAUGCAUAAUUCUACUUAGAUUUCCUAGCACACAAAAGGACCAAACUCAUCCAUUUCACAACAAAUCAUUUAACUAUAAUAAGCAUAUAGCAACCCAUUACAAAAUACAUAAACAAAAGGCAUUAGCACAUAUAUAAAUGGGCUUACAACCAUUUUAGCCAAGAUAAGCUAAUUACAUGGCUAAAUACCAAAUCACUUUAAACAAAUAUAAGACAAUACAUUUGGCCAAAUCAAAUGAAACGUAUAACAAAAUGACCAAGUCCCUAUACAUGCCAACUCUCAAAGUGUUUUAAAAUCAUCGGUACGCAAAUGACAAUUUGAUAGUGUGAUGUGACUUCUGACGAUCUCCAAUCCCGAGCUAGCUUGGCGACACUAUAAAAUAUUGAAAAUAAAAUGGAGUAAGCUAUAUAGCUUAGUAAGCUCGUAUGAAGAAAUAAGCAAUCUUACCUUACAUUAAUCAUGCAAGUAAUAUAAAAUAAGAUGACAUAAUUUACCAUAAUCUCAUGAUCAUAAUUCACUUCCAUUACAACUUACCUUGAAAUUGUCAUUUCUCGAAUUAAUAAUCAUAAGCUUUGAGUACAUACCUGUACCAUCUCGUAACGAAUUUACACUUAUUCUCAUCUUUGACAUACCCAUGAACCACUCGGAAUAAUAAUGUAGAUACUUGGGAAUCUAGCACACUAAGUGCCACAUAUAUAGCCAAUGCUACCUCAAUCUCUUAUAACAUAAUUGCUUGCUCUCGAGCUAAUCAACGGGCCUGCUCACACAAGCUAUCAGUCAAGAUGUAACUACUUAAUGCUGCUUACACAAGCUAUCAAGUAACUGCAACAUAUGUCGGUAUACUUAACCACCGGUAGGACGUAUAAGACCAGCACCCGAAUCACAUAAUCACAUAACACAUGGUAACCUAAGUGACAUGUCACUUGUAUCCUAAUCUAUUCCUAAGGUUCAAACGAGAUUUAUUGCUUAUCGAACCGUCGUCGAACUCGUCCGUAAAGUUAAACUCAUCCAGACAAUUAAUCAUACAGCUCAUGCAAUAUUAAAGCAUUUAAAUAUAAUUAUAUUAAAGCUUGUUUAACAUAUGAACUUACCUCGGUUACAAAAACAACUAUUAGUUCGAUUUAGUCCACAACCUUGUUCUUUCCCCGGUCUAAACUCGAACUUCGUUUUUCUUGAUCUAUAAUAUAAAAUUUAACUUAUUUAAUCAUCACAUUGUUCAAUUCAGCCCAAAAACAUAUUAUGGAAAAAAUCACAUUUUCCACCUAAACUUUUGACAUUUUACAUUUCAGUCCCUAGACUCGUAAAAUGAAUUUCUUUCAAUUUCCUUACAACCCAAGCCUAGCCAAACCUUUUUCAUGCUUAUGAAAGCCCAAAAUUUUCAUUUACUCACAUUUUUCUACCCAUUUUAUAGACUUUUACAAAUAAGUCCCUAUUUGUCAUUUUUACCGAAAAUCACUUUACAGAAGUAAUUUAAUAAACAACAAACAUGCAUUUUCUACCAUCAAACCUUAAAAUACAUACAUGUUCAACAUGGGUACAAUUUUAAACUUCACCUUUCUUUCAAAUUAGUCCUUGAAAUAGCUAAAUCAAGUUACAAUGAUCUCAAAAAUAUAAAAUUGUUAAAAAAGGGACAAGAACGGACUUACAGUCGAGCUUGGAAGUUGGCCAAACCCUAGCUAUGGCUUCUUCUUGUAAAAUUCGGCUAGGGGGACUAAAUUUAAGAAGAUGGACACUUUUAUUUGUUAGGUUUGUCUUUAUUUUCCAAAUGACUAAAAUGCCCUUAAUGAAAAACUUAAAAUUUUACCUAACCAUGUCCAUUUUUUUUCCAUACUAUAUAGUAUAAUUACCAUUUAAGGAUCUCUAAUUUAAGGAUUCAUAGCAAUUAGACACUUUUAACAUAGAGAACUCAAGUUUUACACCUAUUGCAAUUUAGUCCUUCUAGUCAAAUUGGACACUUAAUCGAUAAAUUUCUUAACAAAAUUUUCACACAAUCAUUCAAUCAUACUGUAGACCUUAAAAUAAAAAAUAAAUAUUUCUACUUCAGAUUUGUGGUCUCGAAACCACUGUUCCAAAUUGACCCAAAAAUGGGCUGUUACAUGAUGUAAUUUUGGGAAUAGACUGGAUAACUCAGCAAGAUGCAGUGGUAAAUUGUAAACAGAAAUACAUUGUGUUAAAAUGUCAGAAUGGUGAAUUAAUCCAUGUUGAAUCUGAUAAACUGGAUGGGUUGUCUAAUGUGAUAUCAGCCGUGUCAGUACAAAAAUAUGUCAAGAAUGGGUAUGAAGCCUAUCUUGAAUAUGUAUUGGACACAAAGGUAUCUGAAUCAAAGAUUAAGUCAGUGCCUCUUGUUUGUGAGUUUCCUGAUGUGUUUCUAGGAGAGUUACCUGGAUUACCACCGGUUAGAGAAGUGAAAUUUUCUAUGGUUCUUUUCCCGGGAACAACUCCUAUAUCAAUAACACCUUAUAGAAUAGCCCCAACGGGAUUAAAAGAGUUCAAAGAAUAGUUGCAAGAUCUUACUGACAAAGAAUUUGCUCGAUCCAGUUUUCACCUUAGAGUGCACCGGUUUUCUUUUUAAAGAAGAAAGAUAGAUCUCUGUGGUUAUGAAUUGAAUACAGAUAGCUCGACAAAGUCAAAAUAAAUGUAACACCUCUCAUACGCAGGAACAAGGUUCGAGGCAUUAUCAGACUUACAUCAGAAACAAUCAUACAAAUUGAGUCAUAAAUUUGUGUUCAAAUUAAAACCAUUCACAUUCAAUCAUAAAGUCCCUAGUAGGGGCCUACGAGGCCCAAAACAUGCUUUGGAAGUGGUUCGGGACUAAACCGACAACUCGAGAAAAAUUUACAAACUUAGAAAAUUUUUCCACUAAACACAGGUCAUACACCCGUGUGGAUAUGGGACACACCCGUCUAGGUAGGCCGUGUGGCUACACACGCCUGUGUCCCUACCCCUUGUAACUCUCUGUUUUGCAAUGCAUGAACAUAUUGAUGUCACAUGGCCAAGCCACACGCCCGUGUGCUAGGUCGUGUGGGUAAUUAAAUUUUCACAAAAUAAGUGCAGACUUCACACACCCAGGACACACGCCUAUGCCUGAGGCCGUGUCAUCCACACGGCUGAGACACAUGCCCAUGUAACAUCCCAAAAUAAGGCCUAGUCAAAAUAGUGCUUUCAGGACCACAAAUCUGACAUCAAAAUAUUUAUUUUAUGAUUAUUAUGAGGCUUAGGAUAUGAGUAUAUGCAUGUGUUAAAGUUUCAUGAAGAAAUUCUAAGUAUGAGGUGUCCAAUUGGAAAUUAGGGACUAAAUUGAAUAAAUUAUAAAACUUGGAUUCUAGAAGCAAUUUGUAUGAAUUGACUUAUAUUAUGAAUUAGAAGGUCUUGGAGAGAAAUUUUUCAAAAUUUUAAAGUUUUAGACAAAAAUGGGCUUGCAUGGAUGAAAUUUUAAAGAAAGGGCAUAAAGGCAUUUUGGUCAUUUGCCAUUUUAAUGAAUUAAAAUAGAAAAAAUCAAGCCAAAACCAGCCAUUUUCUCCUUCAUCCAGCCGAAAAUUUGGGGCUCUCCAUAGCUAGGGUUUCAAGCUUUCCAAGCUCAAUAGUAAGUGCUCCCAUACCCCGUUUUUCAUACUCUUCGUAUUUUUAAAAUCCCGGUAGCUUGCUCUCUCCAUUUCUAUACAUAUUUCAUGCUAGGGUUCAUGUUUAAAAAUUUACCCAUGCAUGAGUUUCUUGUAUUUUGAUAGAUUAUGGAGGAAUAUGAAAGAUUAAUAUGUAUUAAACAUCUUUUCCUAGUUGAUUUUCAUGAGAAACCCUUAUAGGGACUAUUUUGCAAAAGAUGUAAAUGUGCAGUAGAAAUGUGAAAAUAAUGGAUAAUGUGGGCUACCAUAAGAAGGAAAAGUAUUCAGCUAGGCUUGGGUAGGAUAAAAAGUGCAUGUGUUUCAUUAUACGAGCUUAGGGACUGAAUCGUAAAAAAAUGUAAAGGGUUAGGGGCAAAACAGUCAUUUGGACCGGCGGUAGAUAUUAAACUUGAAAUGCAUAAUAUAGUGUAUUAAUGAGUUAAUUUUGCUAUUAUAGACCCUGAGGAACAAAUUUCGGGGGUCGACCGUGGUAAACGCAAGGUUUCAGAAUAACCAAAACACAAUCCCGAAAAGAAUACCAGGUAAGUUCGGAUAACUUAAAGUAAACCCCUAAUAUGUAUAAUUGUAGGAUGUAUGAAUGCAUGAUGAUUGCAUUUAUUAUUAGCAUGAAAUAUCAUGGAAAUGCAUAUUUGAUGGUAACAUGUGAAAAAUGUCUCGGAUGAGGUUGACAAAGGGAAUUCGAUCGAUAAACCCUCAUUGAUAUGUGUAAAGAGAUCCUGCAUGUGUUGCAGUAAGGAUUUAGCCUGGAAAUGUAAUCCGUGAUCUCGAGUAUGGAAAGGAUCUAGCCUGGAUGGGUGUUCCUUGAAUGAUCGAGCCUCCCGAAGAAUAUAUGUGUAUUGAGGAUGUAGCCUGGACGGGUAAUUCUAUUAGGGUCUGAAUUUAGCCUGGACUGGUAAUUCAAAUCCAAGUUCAUUAAGGGUGUUUGUCGCUAUAAGGGAUUUAGCCUGGAUUGGUAAUCCCAACAUCACCUUAUGAGUUUAUGAUAUAGGGGAUUUAGCCUAGACUGGUAAUCCUGCCAUGAGAUGUGAGGUUCGCGGGAGUGCAUAUAUGUGAAAUGAUCAUUCGUAAGAAUUGACGGAUAAUGGGUAUUCCAUCGAGAUUUCCUAGAAACUCAACGGAAUUAAUAUGAUGUAUGUCAAUAAGAUGAUGAAUGAUGAGCUCAUCUACAUAAAUUAUGUUUUAUUAUGUGACUAACUUAUUGAUUGAGUGCAUGUGAUAGGAAAUCAUUUCAUAAUUGAUGAUUUCAUGAUUUAAGUGUGAAUGUAUGCUAAUUACUCGGUAAGUUUACUUUCAGGUUAUUCGAGCUUACUAAGUAUGAAAAUGUUUACCCCCUCUCUUUUCCCCGUUUUACAGAGCUCGAGGACUCAAAAGGAUUGGAAGACGGUUGGAGAAUCAACACACUUUCAACUAAACAAGCUUUGGUAUAAAGACUCUAUUUAUUUUAUUCAAUGGCAUGCAUAGUAUUUUUGAGUAUUUUGUUAUAUAUGUCAUUUGAUUUUCCAAAUAAAGUCAUGUAAAAAUAUGCUAAUCUCUUUGUAUAUGGCCAUGAAAAUUGGAUUAAUUUAAGUAGGCUAUGACCUACAAUUUUACGCAUGGUUUUAAUUACAAAUGAUGGGUUGCUAUCAAUUGGCAAUGAAUCACAUGAGUGAGCCAAUUUCGGAUGGAUCAAUAUAACAUGGGAACCCAUGACUCUAAAUAGGAAAUAACCAUUUAUGUAUGAAACUAAUGAUAUGAGGUUUCCAUACAACUAUUUUCAUUAAGAUUAUUUACAAGUGCAAAAUUAUGUUUUCUCUCAAACUUGGUAACCACUAGGAACAAGUAGUAGAAAGGGGUGACUAAAGGCUUGGAAAAUAGCUAAUAAAGUCCACAUGGUUGGACACACGUGCGUGUGUCUAGGCCGUGUGUGACACACAGUUCCCUCCUAUGGGUGUGUGCUAUGGCCAUGUGUCCCCUACACUUAAAAUUUAUCUCAAAGUUGUACACGGGCAGGCAGCACGGGUGUGCGCCAUGGCGGCGUUAAAAUGACAGUUUCGUCCAUGGGCAGGAAGCACGGGCGUGUGCCAUGGCUGUGUUGAUAAGUCAGUGAUGCCCACGAUUGAGGGGCAUGGGCGUGCCCCAAGAUACACGGGCGUGUGAGUCCACACGGCCCACCUACACGGGCGUGUGUCCCUUUAUGUUAAGGAAGAUUUUCUCUGGAGCCCAAGGUUAUUCUAACGUGCCCGUAUUUGUCCCGCAUUGCAUUCCGAUAUGAUAUAGGUCUUGAAGGCCUAUACAAGGGACGAAAUGGUCAUGAUUGAAAAGUUUUAAAUUCAAAUGGAAUUUUGUGACCCGAGUUAGUAUACUGAAAAUGUAAAGUUCUGGUAAUACCUUGAACCCUAUCCUGAUAACGAAUACGAGUGAGGGGUGUUACACGCCCAUGUCUCUACUUGUGUGCUCAAUUCUGAGCAUUCUGUUUUUAAAAAUUAAGGUGCAGGGGACACACAGCCUAGACACACGCCCGUGUGUCUACCCAUGUGGACAAAAUAAAGGCUAUUUACCAAGCCAUUUGUCACCCUCAUUUACACCUACACACACACAAGUUCAAUGGCAUAAAGCAUGGCAUGUUUAAGUAACCAAAACAUCCAUAAUCAAAACUAAAUCAUGUCAUUCAUUACCAACACUUAACAUAUUUAUUGUAGCAUGUUUUACCAAAUCAAUUCAACCAAACUCACAUUCAAAAGUGUCAACAUGAAUACUUCCAUCAUGCAUAAUUCUACUUAGAUUUCCUAGCAAACCAAAGGACUAAUCUCAUCCAUUUCACAACAAAUCAUUUAACCAUAAUAAACAUAUAGUAACCCAAUGCAAAACACAGAAACAAAAGGCAUUAGCACAUAUACUUAUAAAAAUGGGCUUACAACCAUUUUAGCCAAAAUAAGCCAAUUACAUGGCUAAAUACUAAAUCACCUUAAACCAAUGUAAGCCAAUGUAUUUGGCCAAAUCAGAUGACACAUAUAACAAAAUGACCAAGUCCCUAUACAUGCCAUACUUUCAAAUACUAAGAUCAUGAAUACCCAAAAUGAGAGUUUGAUAGUGUGAUUCGAAUAUUCGAUGAUUUUCGAUCCAAGUUAGCUUGGCGACACUAGAAAGCAUGAAAAAUAAAAGGAGUAAGCUAUAUAGCUUAGUAAGCUUGUAUGCAAGAAAUAAGCAACCUUACCAUGCAUAUAGCAUUCAAAUAGUAUAACGUAAUUAAAUGUAAAUUUACCAUAGUCUCAUGAUCAUAACUCAUUCUAUCAGCAAACUUACCUCAUUUUCAUCAUUUCAAGCAUUUAAUAAACAUGAGCUUUACGUACAUACCUGAACCAUUUCGAAAUGAAUUUACACAUAUUCUCAUCUUUGACAUACCCAUGAACCACUUGGAAUAAUAAUGUCGGAUACUCGGGAUUUUUGCACACUAAGUGCAACAUACAUAGCCAAUGCUACCUCAAUCUCAUAUCACAUAAUUGCUCGCUCUCGAGCUAUCGACAGGCCUGCUCACACAAGCUUCAGUCAAUAUGUAGCUACACGGUGCUGCUCACACAAGCUGUCAAGUAUCCGCAACAUAUGCUGGUGUACUCAGCCAUCCGUAAGACAUACAAGACCAGUACCCGGAUCACAUAAUCACAUAACACAUAAUGACCCUGUGACAUGUCACUUGUAUCCUAAUAUAUUCAUAAGGUCCAACGGGACUUCUGACUUGUCGAAUCUUCGUUGAACUCGUUCGUAGAAUUAUACCCAUUCACAUAAUCAAACAUAGAAUUCAUGCAAUAUUAAAGCAUAUAAGUAAAAUUACCCUAAAGCUUAUUUUUAACAUACGAACUUACCUCGGUACAAAAUGGCUAAUAGUUCAGUUUAGUUCACAACCUUGUAUUUCCCCAAUCUAGGAUAGAACCUCAUCUUUCUUUAUCUAUAAUACCUCAUUUAACUUAUUCAAUCAUCACAUUAUUCAAUUUAAUCGCAAAAACACCUUAUAAUUAUAUUUGUGCCCCUAACUUUUUAACUUUUUACAUUUUCGUCCCUAAGCUCCUAAAAUUUAUUUUCCUUCAAUUUUGUCACACCCAAGCCUAGGCGAACCUAUUCCUUGCUCAUAACAACUCACAUUUUUUAUUUAUUCACAUUUUUACACAUAUUUUGCAACUUUUACAAAUAGGUCCCUAUUUGACAUUUUCAUCAAAAAUCAUUUGGUAAAUGUUGUUUAUCUAACACUAAACAUACAUUUUCUACCAUUACACAUCAAAAUACACAAAUAUUCAACAUGGGUAAAAUUUUAGACUUUGAUUUUCUUUCAAAUUAAUCCUUAGAAUAUCUAAAUCAAGUUACAACAUUCACAGAAACAUAAAAAUCAUUAAAAAAGGGGAUAAAGACGUACUUACAAUCGAGCUUGGAAGCUUGGCCAAAACCCUAGCUAUGGUGACCCUUGAAAUUUGGCUAAGGGGGAUGAAAUUAGAAAGAUGAACAUCUUUUAUUUGUUUUAUUUUAUCUUUAUUUACCAAAUGACCAAAAUGCCCUUCAUGCCAAACUUUGAAAUUUCACCUAACAAUGUCUAUUUUUGUCCAUAUUAAAAUAUAAUGGUCUAAUUACCAUUUAAGUACCUCUAAUUUAAAAUUUUAGAGCAAUUAGACACCUCUAGCUUUUAGAACACAUAUUUUGCACCUAUUGCAAUUUAGUCCUAUUAGUCAAAUUGGACAUUCUAUCGAUAAAAUUUCUUAACGAAAUUUUCACACAAUCAUUCAAUCAUACUGUAGACCUUAAAGAAAAAAAAAAUAUUUCUACUUCAUAUUUGUGGUCCCAAAACCACUAUUCCGAUUUGACCCUAAAAUAACUCUCCCCCAUCUUUAGGGAUUUUGGUCCCCAAAAAUCUUACUGGAAAAGAGGUUUGGGUACUGUUUUCUCAUAUCUUCCUUGGUUUCCCACGUAGCUUCUUCGACCCCAUGUCUUUUCCAUAAAACUUUCACUAGGGCAAUAUUUUUAUUUCUCAACUGUUUAACUUCCAGAGCUAAAAUCUUGAUCUGUUCUUCACCAUAAGUCAUAUCAGGUCAGAUCUCAACCUCUGUUUGUGAAAUUAUGUGUGAAGGAUCUGAUCGAUGAUGGCGCAACAUUGAUAUAGGAAACACAUUGUGGAUCCUUUCUAACUCUGAUGGUAAAGUUAACCGAUAAGCCAUUGGUCCUAUCCUUUCAGUACCCUCAUACGGACCAACAAAGCGUGAACUCAGCUUGCUUUUGCGACCAAAUCUAAGGAUUUUCUUCCACAGAGAUACUUUCAGAAGCACCUUAUCACCAACUUGAAAUUCAAUUUCCUUUCGUUUUAGAUCUGCGUACAAUUUCUAUCUAGCCAAAACUGCUUUCAAACAAUCACUAAUUACUUUCACUUUCUCUUCGAUUUCUCUAACCAAAUCAACCCUGUGAAUCUGUCUCUCACUAAGCUCAAUCUAGUACAAUGGAGUUCGACACUUACGGCCAUACAAUGCCUCAUACGGUGCCAUCUUUGAACUCGACUGAAAACUAUUGUUAUAAGAAAAUUUGACUAAAGUUAGAUAUUUUUCCCAACUAUCUUCAAACUAUAAAACACAACAGUGAAGCAUAUCCUUGAGUACCUGAAUCGUCCUUUCAGAUUGACCGCCGGUCUGCAGAUGAAAUGCGGUACUAAAAUUCAACUUUAUGCCCAAUGCCUUUUGAAAUUUUUUCCAAAAUAGAGACGUUUACCUUGGAUCUCUAUCUGAAAUAAUAGAUAUAGGCACUCCAUGCAAUCUAUCAAUUUCGGCUAUGUAUAACUCAGCUAGCUUUUCAAGUGAAUAGUCAGUACAUGUCAGAAUAAAGUUAGCCGAUUUCUUCAAUCUAUCAACAACUACCUAAAUGAAAUCUUUUUUCUUCGGUGUCAUAGGUAAUCCAGUUAUGAAAUCCAUCGUAAUUUAGGCCCAUUUCCACUCGGGAAUCAUUACAGGCUGAAGUAAUCCCGAAGGUACUUGAUGUUCAGCCUUUACUUGUUGGCAAAUCAAACGUCUCGAUACGAAUUCAGAAAUAUCUCUUUUCAUACCUGACCACCAAUACAAUUUCUUUAAAUGAUUAUACAUUGUUGUAUCUCCUGGGUGAACAGAAAAACAGCCACUGUGUGCCUCAUGAAGAAUUUUCUAAAUAAGCUUAGUAUCUCUCAGUACACAAAUCCUACCUCGGAACAUCAAACAAUCAUCGGCCCCAAUUUGAAAAUCUGAAUCACUAAUCGAUUCGUACUGAACUCUUUUAGCUUGAAGUUCUUUAUCAUUUUUCUGAGCUUCACAAAUUUACUGAAGAAAUACCUUUCUAGCUUUCAAUUCAGCUAUAAUCAAGCUAUCAUUAAAUAAAGUCAGUCGUGUAUUCAUUGCUCUCAAAGAAAACAAAGAUUUCCUACUUAAAGCAUCGACGACUACAUUCGCCUUUCCUGGAUGAUAAUCGAUUACUAACUCGAGCCAUCUCCGUUUCAUAAAUUCAAAUCCUUUUGAGUUAUUAAGUACUUUAAACUCUUGUGAUCGGUAUAGAUGUGACACUUCCCAUCGAAUAAAUGAUGUCACCAAAUCUUUAAAGCAAAUACAAUGGUAGCCAAUUCGAAGUCAUGUGUCAAAUAAUUCUUCUUAUGCGGUUUCAACUUUCUCGAGGCAUAAGCUAUCACUUUGCCCUCUUGCAUCAACACACAUCCAAGAUCGUUCAAUGAUGCGUUGCUGAAAAUCACAAACUCUUUUCCCAAUUCAGGUUGCACUAAUACCGGUGCCUCAGUCAAUAACGCUUUUAACUAUUCAAAACUCUUUUAACAUUUCUCAAACCACUUGAACUUGACAUUUUUCUGUAAUAAUUUUGUCAUAGGUGUAGCAAUCAUUGAGAAUCCCUUAACAAAUCAUCGAUAAUACUCGACUAAGCCCAAAUGGCUUUUAACCUUGGAUACAUUCCUCAGUGGUUUCUAAUCAACAAUUGCUGAAAUUUUACUCGGAUCAACCCUUAUACCUUCCGCUGAGACAAUAUGCCCCAAAAAUCUGACUGUUCAGAGCCAAAAAUCACUUUUGUUGAAUUUAGCAAACAAUUUCUUAUCUCUCAAAGUCUGCAAUACAGUUCUUAAAUGUCUGACAUGCUUAGACUCAUCUCGGGAAUAAAUCAAAAUGUCAUCAAUAAAUACAACAAAAAACUUAUCCAAAUAUGGUCGGAAGAUUCUAUUCAUCAAGUCCAUAAAAAUAGCAGGAGCAUUAGUUAAUCCAAAAGGCAUAACAAGAAAUUCAUAAUGCCCAUACCUUGUCCUGAAUGCGGUUUUUGGCACAUCCGAGUCUUUAACUCUCAGCUGAUAUUAGCCGGAUCUCAAAUCUAUCUUCAAAAACAUGUUGCCCCUUUCAACUGGUCGAACAAAUCAUUAAUUCUCGGUAACGGAUACUUGUCCUUUAUGGUAACCUUGUUGAGUUGACGAUAAUUGAUACAAACUCUCAUGGAUCCAUCUUUCUUCUUGACGAAUAAUACUAGUGCACCCGAGGGAGAAAAAUCCAGUCUCGCAAAACCCUUGUCUGUCAACUAUUGUAACUGAGACUUUAAUUCUUUCAACUCAGUUGGAGCCAUUCUAUAUUAAGCUAUCGAUAUCGGUACAGUCCCCGGUACCAAAUCAAUAGCAAACUCUACCUCUCUAACUGGUGGUAACCCUGGCAACUCUUUUGGGAACACUGCUCGAUAUUCACAAACUACCAGGAUAGAUUCAAUCUUCAAUUCAGACAUCUUAGUAUUCAGUACAUACGCGAGAAAUACUUCACAACCCUUUCUUACAUACCUAUAAGUCGACAUCGACGAAAUCAAAAUAGGCAAUUCACUCGACUCAUCUAACUCAACCUAAAGAUUUCAUUGUUUUGACAUUUCAAUUCACUACUACAUCAUGCAGAGUCAACCAUCCAUUCCAAGUAUCACAUCAAACUCAUCAAAUGGUAGAAACAUUAUGUUAGCCGAAAAAAAGUGACCCCGAAUCAUUAAAGGACAAAUCUUGCAAAUUUUAUCAACUAAAACAUAUUUGCCUAAGGGGUUCAACACCCUAAUCACAAACUCAGUAGACUCAACAGGAAAAUUCUUACUAGAUACCAAGUUCUUGCAAAUAUAGGAAUAAGUCGAUCCAUGAUCAAUUAAUGCAACUACAUUAGUAUCAUAAAGAGAAAAUGUACCAGUGAUUAGGUCAAGGGAUGACGCAUCCUCACUAGCACGAAUAGCAUAAGCUCUCACAAGUGCUCUUGCUUCCGAUCUCACAGCUGAAUCUUUAUAUACUCCUCUGACAUUGGUCCUAUUUCCCUUAUUUCUCACUGGCCUCCCUCUAGCUGCAGUGUUACUCGAUCUUGUAUUUUGAAAAUUAUCUUUUUCAACCAUUUUCGGGCAGUCUCGAAUAAAAUAAUCUUGGGAGCCACAUUUAAAACAAGCCCGAUUAUUCAUCCUAUAUUCACCAGGAUGCCGUCUACCAUAAUGUUGGCAUUCGGGCUUAUUAGACCUAGCAUUACCUACGCUCGCUAUGGAUGUAGUUUGGGCCUUAGAACCCGAAUAUUGCUUCCCACGAUCUCUAUUGGGAUACCCAGCUGAAGCAUUUGAUCGAGCAUACAAAUCUCUCGAUUUCUUUGAUGAAGAUUGAAACGAAUUAUUUAUCGGCCUCUUUCUCGAAUCUCUAGCCUCAAACUUAGCUUUUCUCUUUUCCUUAUUCAACUUUUCAGCUUUGCUAGCUUGUUCGACUAGUACAACAAAUUCUUUCAACUCUAAAAUCCCAACUAACAGCCUGAUGUCCUCAUUCAGCCGAUCUUCAAACCUCUUACACAUAAUAACCUCUGUUGAAACAUAUUCCCGAGCAUACUUACUAAGUCUCACAAACUCUCAGUCGUAUUCAAUCACAGUCAUUCGGCCGUGUUUUAACUCUAAGAACACUUUGCAUUUCUAAUCAAUAAACCGCUAAUUGAUGUACUUCUUUCUGAAUUCCUCUUGGAAGAAAUCCCAAGUAACUUUUUCCCUCGGUUCUAAUGAUAUAAAAGUGUUCCACCACUGAUAUUUUGUAUCCCUCAGAAGUGAUAUAGUGCAUUUCAAGCACCCAUCCGGGGUGCAAUAAAGCUCGUCAAAUACCUAAAUAGAGUUCUCAAGCUAGAAUUCUGCUCUUUUAGGAUCAUUAUCGACAUUUUCUUUAAAUUCUUCAGUUUCUUGCUUUCAAAUCUUAUUGAUUGGAGGCUUGUUCAAUCUUACCAAUUCCACGAACUGGUUGAGGGCUAGGUGGAGGCGAUGGAUGUUGGGCAGCCGGAUUUGUUCGAACAAACUCAACAAACCACUCAUUCAUCCUUUGGAAGAAGGCUUCUCUAGCCUUUCCUCAUUGUCACUGGUCUAGUUUCAGAUGGCGCGGUCCCUUGGGCGGGAGCCAGCACAUUACUUUCAACGUCAUCAACCACUUCUCGAUCGAGAUCCAUUUACUAUAUGAAAACACAGUUUAAAUUGUCAAGCGUCGUCACACUAUCAAAAUUUAUAUAUGGCAUGUAUAGCUAGACUCUUACACACGCUAUGUUAGUUCGAGAACUAACUGAACCAUAGCUCUGAUACCACUAAAUAUAACACCCUUCACCCGUAUUCAACACUGAAAAAGGGUUCGAGGUGUUACCGGACUUACAUCACAAACAAUCAUACAAAUCAAGUCAUAAAUUUGUGUUCAAAUUAAAACCAUUCACAUUCAAUCAUAAAGUCCCUAAUAUGAGCCUAUGAGGCCCAAAACAUGCUUUAGAAGUGGUUUGGGACUAAACCGAUAACUUGGGAAAAAUUUACAAAACUUAGGAAAUUUUUCCACUAAACAGGGGUCACACGCCUGUGUGGAUAUGGGACAUGCCCGUGUGGGCAAGCCAUGUGGCUACACACGCCCGUGUCCCUGUCCCAUGUAACUCUCUAUUUUGUAAUGCAUGAAAUGUCACACGGCCAAGUCACACGCCCGUGUACUAGGCUGUGUGGGUAAUUAAAAUUUCACAAAAUAAGUGCAAACUUCACACGCCCAGGACACACGCUCAUGCCUGAGGCAUUGUCAUCCACAAGGCUAAGUCACACACCCGUGUCUCUACCCGUGUGCUCAAUUCUGAGCAUUCUGUUUCUCAAAAUUAAGGUGAAGGGGACACAUAGCCAAGACACAUUCCCAUAAGGCAGACCGUGUGUCACAAAUGGCCUAGACACACGCCCGUGUGUCUACCCGUGUGGACAAAAUAAAGGCUAUUUACCAAGCCAUUUUUCACCCUCAUUUACACCUACACAUACACAAGUUCAAUGGCAUAAACAAGGGUAUGUUUAAGCAACCAAAACAUCCACAAUCAAAACUAAAUCAUGUCAUUCAUUACCAACACUUAACAUAUUUACUAUAGCAUGUUUUACCAAAUCAAUUCAUACCAAACUCACAUUCAAAAGUGUCAACAUGAAUACUUCCAUCAUGCAUGAUUCUACUUAGAUUUCCUAGUACACCAAAGGACUAAUCUCUUCCAUUUCACAACAAAUCAUUUAACCAUAAUAAAUAUAUAGCAGUCCAAUGCAAAACACAGAAACAAAAGGCAUUAGCACAUAUACUUAUAUAAAUGGGCUUACAGCCAUUUUAGCCAAAAUAAGCCAAUUACAUGGCUAAAUACUAAAUCACCUUAAACCAAUAUAAGCCAAUACAUUUGGCCAAAUCAAAUGAAACAUAUAACAAAAUGACCAAGUCCCUAUACAUGUCAUACUUUCAAAUAUUAAGAUCAUCAAUACCUAAAAUGAGAGUUUGAUAGUGUGAUUCGAAUAUUCGACGAUUUUCGAUCCAAGUUAGCCUGGCGACACUAUAAAACAUGAAAAAUAAACGGAGUAAGCUAUUUAGCUUCAUAAGCUCGUAUGCAAGAAAUAAGCAACCUUACCAUGUAUAUAACAUUCAAAUAAUAUAACAUAAUUAAAUGUAAAUUUACCAUAGUCUCAUGAUCAUAACUCAUUCCAUCAGCAAACUUACCACAUUUUCAUCAUUUCAAACAUUUAAUAAACAUGAGUUUUAUGUACAUACCUGAACCAUUUCAAAAUGAACUUACACAUAUUCUCAUCUUUGACAUGCCCAUGAACCACUCGGAAUAAUAAUGUUGGAUACUCGGGAUUUUUGCACACUAAGUGCCACAUACAUAGCCAAUGCUACCUCAAUCUCAUAUCACAUAAUCACUCGCUCUCGAGCUAUCGACGGGCCUACUCACACAAGCUGUUAGUCAAGACGUAGCUAUACAGUGUUGUUCACACAAGCUGUCAAGUAUCCGCAACAUAUGCUGGUAUACUCAGCCACCGUAGGACGUACAAGACCAGCACCUAGAUCACAUAAUCACAUAACACAUAAUGACCCUAGUGACAUGUCACUUGUAUCCUAAUCUAUUCCUAAGUUUCAACGGGGCUUCUCACUUGCUGAAUCAUCGUUGAACUCGUUCGUAGAAUCAUACCCAUUUACGUAAUCAAACAUACAAUUCAUGCAAUAUUAAAGCAUAUAAGUAGAAUUACUCUAAAGCUUAUUUUUAACAUACGAGCUUGCCUUGGUACAAAAUGGCUAAUAGUGCGAUUUAGUCUACAACCUUGUUCUUUCCCUGAUCUAAGUCAGAACCUCGUCUUUCUUGAUCAUAAUACCACAUUUAACUUAUUCAAUCAUCACAUUAUUCAAUUUAAUCCCAAAAACACCUUAUGGAAAAAAUUACAUUUUUGCACCUAACUUUUCAUCUUUUUAUAUUUUAGUCCCUAGGCUCAUAAAAUGAUUUUCAUUAACUUCAUUACACCCAAGCCUAGCCGAACCUAUUCCUUGCUCAUAACAACCCACAUUUUUCAUUUAUUCAUAUUUUUACACACAUUUUACAACUUUUAUAAAUAGGUCCCUAUUUGACAUUUCAUCAAAAAUCACUUGGUAAAUGUUGUUUAUCUAACACCAAACAUAUAUUUUCUACCAUUAAACAUCAAAAUAAACAAAUAUUCAACAUGGGUAAAAUUUUAUACUUUGAUUUCUUUCAAAUUAGUCCUUAGAAUAGCUAAAUCAAGUUACAACAUUCACAAAAAUGUAAAAAUCAUUAAAAACGGGACAAAGACAGACUUACAAUCGAGCUUGGAAGCUUGGAUAAAACCCUAGCUAUGGUGACCCUUGAAAUUCGACUAUGGGGGAUGAAAUUAGAAAGAUGAACAUCUUUUAUUUGUUUCAUUUUGUCUUUAUUUACCAAAUGACCAAAAUGCCCUUAAUGCCAAACUUUGAAAGUUCACCUAAUUAUGCCCAUUUUUGUCCAUAGAAAAAUAUAAUGGUCUAAUUACCAUUUAAGGACCUCCAAUUUAACAUUUCAUAGCAAUUAGACACCUCUAGCAUCUAGAAUACAUAUUUUGCACCUAUUGCAAUUCAGUCAUAUUAGUCAAAUUGGACACUCUAUUGAUAAAAUUUCUUAAUGAAAUUUUGACACAAUCAUUCAAUCAUACUGUAGACCUUAAAGAAAUAAUAAAAAUAAAUAUUUCUACUUCGAAUUUGUGGUCCCAAAACCACUGUUCUGAUUUGACCCUAGACGAGCUGUUAGAAUAAAGAACAAGUAUCCAUUGCCUCGAAUUGAUAACCUGUUUGAUCAGUUGAAAGUACCACUAUGUUCUCUAAAAUUUAUCUCCAUUCUGGAUACUAUCUGUUACGAGUGAAAGACUUAGGUGUAUCGAAGACAACUUUUAGAACCAGGUACGAACACUAUGAGUUUCUUGUGAUGCCGUUUGGCCUGAGUAAUGCACCUGCAGUAUUCAUGGAUUUAAUGAACAAAAUUUUCAAACUGUAUCUAGACAAGUUUGUGGUGGUGUUUAUCGAUGAUAUUUUGGUAUAUUCCAAGAUGAAAAUGAGCAUGCUGAUCAUUUGAAAAUUAUGCUGCAAACUUUGCGUGAGAAACAACUGUAUGCCAAAUUCAGAAAGUGUAAAUUUUGGCUUCGGAAAGUUGAUUUCCUUGGGCAUAUAGUGUCUGCAGAAGGUAUCAGGGUGGAUCUAAAUAAAAUUUCAACUAUUAUUAAUUGGAAACCACCGAAGAAUGUUUCUAAAUUUAGAAUUUUUCUUGGAUUAGCCAGUUAUUAUCGGAGGUUUGUUAAAGGGUUUUCAAUGAUAGCUUCUUUAAUAAAUCAGUUGUUGCAAAAAGAUGUAAAAUUUGAGUGGUCUGAUAAAUGUCGUUUGGCCUUGUUGACUGAAGCACCUGUACUAGUUUAGCCUGAGUCGGGUAAAGAAUUUCUAAUUUAUAGUGACGCAUCCUUGAAUGGUUUAGGCGUGUAUUGAUGCAAGAAGGUAAAGUAAUAGUUUAUGCUUCUAGACAGCUAAAACCACAUGAAAGAAAUUACCCGAUACAUGAUUUGGAGUUAGUAGCUAUUGUAUUUGCAUUAAAAAUCUGGUGGCAUUACUUGUUUGGUGAAAAAUGUCACAUAUUAAUUGAUCAUAAGAGUUUGAAGUAUCUAAUGUCGCAAACAGACUUGAAUCUGAGACAUCAUAGAUGGCUUGAUUUAUUAAAAGAUUACGAUUUGGUUAUUGACUAUCAUCCGGGAAAAGCCAAUGUGGUUGUUGAUGCUUUAAGCAGAAAGUCUUUGUUUACUUUGCGAGCAAUGAAUACCCGGUUGUCAUUGUUAAACAAUGGUUCAAUUAUAGCUGAGUUGAAAGCUAGACCAAUAUUCUUGCAACAAAUAUGUGAAGCUCAAAAAAGUGACUAUGAAUUAUAAACUAGACGAGUACAGUGUGAGUUGGAUUCUGAUUUAGAAUUUCAGAUUGGGUAUGAUGAUUGUCUGUUAUUCAGAGGUAGGAUAUGUGUAUUGAAGAAUUCAAAACUUGUACAAAAGAUUUUGUAUGAAGCUCACAAUGGUACAAUGUCUAUUCAUCCUGGUAGUAACAAGAUAUACAAUGAUUUGAAAAAGAUGUAUUGCUGGCCGGGAAUGGAACAUGAUAUUUCUGAAUUUGUAUCUAAAUGUUUGAUAUGUCGCAAGUAAAAGCUGAACAUCAGGUGCUUUCAGGAUUAUUACAACUAGUUACAAUACUAGAAUGGAAAUGGGAAAGAGUUACCAUGGAUUUUGUAUCUGGAUUAUCCUUAUCUCCGAUAAAGAAAGAUGCUAUUUGGGUAUUCGUUGACCGUCUAACAAAGUUUGCACACAUUAUUCCGGUACGUAUGGAUUUCUCCUUGGAUAGAUUGGCUGAAUUAUAUGUUUCUAAGAUUUUCAGACUGCAUGGAGUACCAAUUUCCAUUAUCUCCAAUAGAGAUCCCCGAGUUACAUCUCGAUUCUGGAAUAAGUUACAAGAAGCUCUAGGUACACAGUUUCAUUUCAGUAUUAUAUUUCAUCCUUAGACUGAAAGUUAAUCAGAACAUGUGAUACAAAUUUUAGAAGAUAUGCUUUGGUACCUUGUUAUAAUUCGAAGGUAAUUGGGAAAAUUAUUUGCCUUUGGUUGAAUUUGCAUACAAUAAUAGUUAUCAGUCCAGCAUUAAAAUGCACCGCACGAGGCUCUGUAUGGUCGUAAAUGUAGAACUCCAUUGUAUUGGAUAGAGGUUAGUGAGAAAAAGAUACACGGAGUUGACUUAGUCCAUGAAAUAGAAGAAAAGGUAAAGGUGAUUUAGGAUAGUUUAAAAGCAGCCUCUGAUAGUUAAAAGUCUUAUGCCGAUCUUAAACGAAAAGAGAUAGCAUUUCAAGUCAGUGACAAGGUAUUCUUGAAAGUAUCACUUUGGAAGAAAGUUCUCCGGUUUGGCCGUAAAGGAAAACUGAGUCCACAGUUCAUCGGGCCAUAUGAGAUUAUUGAAAGAAUCGGACCUGUUGCUUAUCAGUUGGCAUUACCACCAAAGCUUGACAGAAUUCAUAAUUUUUUUCAUGUGUCCAUGUUACGAUGGUAUCGAUCAAAUCAUUCACCUGUAAUUUCUUCGACAGAAGUUGAGAUUCAGCCUGAUAUGACUUACAGUGAAGAACUGAUCAAAAUCUUGGCACGUGAAACAAAAGAGUUAAGAAAUAAAAAGGUAGUUUUAGUAAAAGUUCUCUAGCAACGACAUGGUAUAGAAGAGGGUACCUGAGCACUGGAGAAUACAAUAAGAAAGCAAUACCUGAACCUCUUUACUGGUAAGAUUUUCGAGGAUGAAAAUUCUUUAAGGGGGCAGAGUUGUAACAGGCAGUUUUCAAUGGAAUCAGAACAGUGGUUUUGAGACCAGAAAUCUGAGUCAGAAAAAAAUUAUUUUGAUAUUAUUGCAUGGUUUGCAAUAUGAUAGGAAUGUUAUAUGAAAAUUUUGAUAAGAAAAUUUUAUUGAUUACAUGCUUAAUUAUGGAAAGGACCAAAUUUCAUAAAAUGCAAAUGUUGAGUUCUAGUAGCUAUAGAAUUCAAAACUUGAGGUCCUUAUAUGGCAAUUAGACCAUUAAGAAAAGUUAAUAGAUAUUUAUGAUGAAUCAUCAAAAGGACUAAAUUGGAAAGUUGAAAAAUUAAUGGAUGAUAAUAAAUUUAAAUAGAAAUAUCAUAUUAUUAUUAUCAUUUUCUUCCUUAAAAUACAUGGAAACCCUAGGAAAGAGAAAGGAAAUCAAGCAAGCUUAAUUGGGUAAGAAUUUUUGUCCUGUUUUUAGUAAUUUUUAUAUUUUUGAGUUCCUAAUAGUUUAAUUUAUUUAUUUUGGGAAUUAAUUUGUAAAGAUAUCAAAGUAUAGAAAUUUUUCCAUGGAUGUAAACGCUGAAAUUUUGAAAUUUAUGGUAAAAAAUGAAAGGUUAUUGAUAGAUAAACAACUUUUACAAAGAGAAUUUUGAAGAAAUUAUUUAGGGACUAAAUUGAAAAAUGGUAAAACCCAUAGAAAAAUUCUAAUUUUUGUGAAAUUCAUGGGUUGUUAUUAAGACAUGUAAAAAUCAGUUAGGCUUGGAAUAAUGAUUAAAUUGCAUGAAUUUUAUUUUUCGAGCCUAGGGACAAAACUAUCAUUUAUGAAAAGUAUAGGUGCAAAAUGAUAAUUUUUGCCUAGAAAGUGAAUUGAGUUCAAUUGAGUAUGAAAUGGAUUAAAUUAAUGUUAAAUUCAUUUAUAUAGAUCUGGAAAGAUCAAAUAAAGCGUUAGAUCAAGGAAAAGAAAAGGUGACGGAUUAGUAGACUAGAUUAUCAUACACAAACAAGUGUCGAGGUAAGUUCGUGUAACUAAACUGUGUUUAUUUUUAUGAUUGAAUUGAGUGUGGUAUGUAUUUAUGUGAAUUAUAUAAAUGUUAUAAAUGUAUGAAAUAAUCACAUGUCUGAUAAUGUCAGGAAAAUGUUAAGUUCCGUUUGAAUAAUGAAAUUCGAUGGAUACAUGAUUUCCCAUAUUGAAUGUGGUCCUACCUAUGUUGCGGACAAAAUAUAGCUCAGACGAGUAAUCCUGUUAUAAGCCCUCUCAAGCGUCCUGUUAUAUAGUUCCUGCGAACAUCCUGAUCGGUAGUGAUCUUGCAUGUGUUGCGCAUUACCGCAGCUCUUUGUGAGCGUCCUGUUACACGAUUCAAUCAGUUGUGGUCCAGCAUUUGUUGUGGACACAAACACAACUCUCCGUGAUCAUCUCGAUAUAAUCUCUUUUGAGCUUCCGGACAUGGCUCGCUUGAACUCCCUGUUAUGCUAUCCGGGGCUCCCUGUUAAUAAUUCUUUGGAUGUACCUGUUAAUCUCAAUGAGCUUCCUAUUCUAAACUCUUAUGAGUUUCCUGUUUAGCCCGGAUAAGCGUCCUAUUACAUGGCUCAUCUGAGCAUCCAGAUAUAUGGCUCGAGAGUGUGCUUCCUGUUAUGUGCCGUUAUGGGUACCCCUGAACAUGAGUUGACGGAUAAUUGAUUUGUAUACCUCAAGUAUACUACUCGGGUAUCCAUCGAUAUUUCAAUGAUUCAACGGAUAAAAACUUCUAAUGAAAGAAAAUAUGAUCUAAAUAUGAGUUAUCUCUCAGAUACUCUGAAAUACUUGGAAAUUUUUAUAUGAUGAGCUCAUCUCUAUUUUUUUGAUAUCUAUAAGAAUUAUAAAACUAACUUGUUUGAUGAGAACUGUGCUUAGGCAUUUGGCUAAAAUGUUUUGGGAUGCAUGUUAUAUAUAAAAAUAUUUAUACGAGCACGAUUGGUAAGUUAAAUUCUUGUUAUACGAACUUACUAAUCAUUGAAUGCUUACUCUACUUAAUUUUCCUUUGUUUUAUAGUGCUCGGAAGCUCGCUAGGGUUGGAAAUUGGUUGGAGCAUCAUCACACUAUCCUUUAGCCCAUUUUGGUAUAACUAGCAAAAUUAUUUUGGUAUAAUGGCAUGUAUAGGCUAAGUUAGGUAAAAUGAUGAAAUGUUUGGUUGUAGCUAGCCAUUGGAAUGGCUAGUGGAAAAUAUAUUUUGAUGUAAUUAUAUAAGGUCAUAUCAUGUUUGAUGUGUGUUGGAAUGGUUAAAUGGUAGAAGAUAUAUAUAUAUAAAACAAAUGAUAAAUGAAUUUGAGUUAGUAUAAUUGCAUAACGUGCAAAUAAAUAUAAAUGUAAUUGUGGAAAUUUAAACAUUUGAUCAUAUGUGUUAAUAUAACAUACAUAAUACUUGUUUUUAGCUUGGUUUAUAUGUACCAAAUUGGUUUGAAAAUAUGUUGAAGUGUGCAUGUAGGUGCAAGGUAAAAAGGGUGAGAAAUAAGGCUUGGAAAAUGGCCUUAUUUUGUCCACAUAGGCAGACACACGGGUGUGCGUCUCAACCAUGUGUGACACGUAGCCAUGCGUACGGGCGUGUGGUUUGGCCUUGUGUCCCCUGCAUCUUAAAAAUUGAGAAACAGAAUGCUCAGAAUUGAGCACAUGGGCAGAGACACAGGCGUGUGUCUCAGUCGUGUGAGACAUACGGCCUAGCACAUAGGCGUGUGUCCUGGUCCUCUAACCCCUGCACCUAAUUUUUGAAAAUUAAAUUGUCCUCACGGUCUAGCACACGGGUGUGUGGCUGGCCAUGUGAUCCAAGUUAGAGAGUUACACGAGUAAGGACAUGGACUGGAACACGGCCGUGUGCCUCACAUCGAAUGCCCACACAACUUGGGACACCGGCGUGUGUCCCUUGCACCUAAGGAAAAUUUUGAAAAUUCACAAAAAAAUUUUUGUGAUCCCAGUUUAGUCUCGACAUUAUUUUAAUAUGUAUUUUGGGCCUCGAUGACCCAUAUGAGGGGCAUUAUAAUUGAUUGUGAUUGAUAUUUAGAAAUGAAUAGUAAAUGAUUUAAAUUAACUGUAAUUAAACUAUAAAUUUUGAUAAUGCUCUAUAACCCUGUUUUGGCGACAGAUACGUGUUAGGGAUGUUACAAAACUAGUUAAGGGUGCAAAUGGGAAGUACAACCCAAGGAAAAGGAAAUUGGAGGAAUGGUGUAGAGUUCUUAGAAGGAGGGGAAUGAAGUAAUAGUGAGACACAAGCAAAUAAAAAAGAAAAAAAUUGAAUAAGUAAAUGAUGUUACGAUAGGUUUCAAAAAAGAAAAAUCUAAAGUGGGAGAUGAAGAAUAUGGGUCAAGCUCCCAUGGUGAGAAACAGCAAGCUCGAGGGAUAAGUUUAAAAUAAAUAAAAAGAGGAAAGUGUAAACUCUAUUUAGUUCAGCGGCCUUUCAGAUCUAUAUUGACUGACUUAGUUCAACAGCCUUUCAGAUCUAUUCUGACUGAGGUGCUUCUCCAUUUUGAUUGAUGCUUCAUUUGCUAAGUGUUUUUGAUAAAGCUUUUAAGGCUAAAGAUGGGAAAGGGGAUGGACAACUAUGCAAGGGGAAAAGGGAUAAGAAAUUAAGAGAAAACUAUUGAAAGUGAGAGAGGAAUUUGAAUGAUGAGAGAUGAUGGAAAAGUGAGGAAUAGCAAGGUAUUUAUAAGUGAAGGUAAGGGUUUGAGUUUACUAAAAAUAGGUUUAAAUUUCCUUCCUUCCCUCUCUUAUGUGGCCAGCCAUGCUUCAAGGAAAAGGGAUGACCAAGUCAUGUCAAUUUGAAUUUGAAUUUCAAGCUAAAAAUAGCUAUAGAGUGGACAAUUUCAAUAGGGAAGCUGUUGGACUCAAUUCUAAUUGUUUUCCAACUACAAGAACCUUCUAGUGAAUAUCCUAAAACAUAUUUUGGGUAGUCAACAUUAAGUGCCGAAAUUGGGCUUUUAGUUCCCCUUGUUGAACGGUUUUUUUUAAUCCAUUAACUUAACGAAUAUGUCCAUCUUUUAUCACCUUCUUUAUUGGGUCAAGUAGUCAACCCCAUGCCCAAAAUGUCAUGGUUUUGUUGUCCACAUGGAUAAUUUGUAAAUAAACAUAUUUUAUUUCUUCAAAUCAUGUCUCCAAUAGCCUACCUACUAUAACACCCUUAACCCAUAUCCAUCACCAGAUUAGGAUUAUGGAGCAUUACUGUAACGCUCAGGUUUGUCCAAGUGUACACAGUCGUUAUCAAGUAAUAAGUAAGUAUCGAGUUAUCAUCUCUACAAGGAUAGUAUUUAUACUAAGUCAUUUAAUUUGUAAAAGAGUAUUAACAAUUUGAUAAAUAAAAACAAUAUAAUUGAGAAGUGAUGAAAAAUUAAGUAUAUGAAACUAAAUGCAAUGAUCCCUAUGCAAUUUAUCCUAAGUAUGCAAACUAUAUGAAUAAGAUAGAUUUUAGCAGAAUUAACACAAUAAGCAACAAUUAUAACAUAAAGCUAGGACAAUUACGUUAAUUAAACUCAAAUUAUUAUAAACAUGCUUAUCAAUAUUGGGAAAAACAUUCCAUGGCAACUCGAUCUUUCAUGAGUUUGGAAAACACGUUAGGUCCUUUCGGAAUCCUUUACUUAGUAAAUACGCAUUUUACUGAUCCUUAUUUACUAAGGGUUUCUUAGUAUUCGUGUGAGGUAACAGGGACGUGUUAGGUUUGAAAUAGUAUAAUCACACAAAUCUAAAAACUAUGCAAAUAAUAGAGUCUGGUUAGGAAUGUUAUGCAACCUGCAAUUUAAUCGGGUUAGGAUCUAAAUUAAGCAUGCACAUUUCAAUUAUGUGUCCAUUAGCCGUCAUCUGGUUAGGAUCGCUCAGCUAAUUCUGGUGUAUUUCAAUCACGUAUGAACAAAAUAUAGACUUGAUUUUAAUUGAAAACAUGAUCGAUUGAGGCAUAAAUAUUGUAAGCAUGAAUCAAAUAAUUAUUAUUAAAUCAAAGCAAUCAUCCUAGCUUAAAUAAAAUUAAGCUAUCAUUGUUGUAAACAAGAACAAAGAACACAUAGCAAACAUUCUUGAAUUAAAUUAAAGUAAAAAAGAUUAAACCCAAUUCAGAGUGGCUACCACCCAAGACUCUGACUGAUGAGGGCUCCUUCGUUUGUUCGCUUUGCUCCUUUGCUGAUGGCUCUCCGAGAUGGCCGACCAAGGGUUCUUUAAGAGGCUAAUUUUUUCAAAAUAUUUAUGCAAAGAUGAUGAUAGGUGUGAGGGCUAAAAAAAAUUAAGAGAAUUGAGAGAGGAGAGAAUGAUGAAUGAAUGAGGGAUAAAUGAGGGAUGAGGGAUGAUUGAAAAAGUGAGAAAUGGGCUCUUAUUUAUAGGUGAGGCAUGGGAUCUAGUUUGCUAAAAAUAUGAGUGUCCAUCUUUCAAAACUCCUUCUAAGGGUGACCAGCCAUGAAUUGAGGGAAUGUGGCUGAUUUUUCUGGUUUCUUGGUCAAUUUGAUUGCCACAACAACUCAGGAUUGAGACUCGAUCACCAGCAAAUCUUCGGGAAAAUCUUUGAUUUCUUCAACUCUUCAUGGACCUUGUGUAAUUAAACCAAAAGAUGAUUUAUGAACAUCCGUAUUUAGCCGAAUUUUGACUCGACUUGGCCCUCCAUUUGGAUGUUUUGUAAUCAAAUUAAAGCUCCCAGACCCGUCCAAAAAUAAAUCAAUAAGUUAGAGGACCAAAGACUUAAAUUUUACCAACUUAAUUAAAUUAAUUAAAACCCAAAUUAUUAAUGAAAUAUUUUAAAAUGAAUUAUUUUAAUCAUGCAUGGCCCACUUUAUGUCAUAAAAAUAUAAUAUGUUCAAUUUAAUAUAAAAUAAGCCAUUUUAUGCAUGAAAACUAUUUAAUAAAGCAUAAAAUCACAUUUUAAUAAUUUCUAUAUCCUGUUUUCAUAUUUUCACAUGUUUCAUUAAUUUAUUAAACAAUUACUUAGUUUUAACAAUAAAUUUAAGUAAAAAUGUGAUAAAUUAUAUAGGAAAAAUCCUAUAUAUUUUUCAUUUUACAAUUACCGAACAAAUGGAACACUUAAAUAUACCUUUCUUACAUAAUCAUAAUCAUUACUUGAAUCAACCAUACACAUCGAGCCUUUGAGGCCCUAUAAAUACAUUAGAAACAAUUUAGGACUAAAUUGGAGACAUUUGGAAAGUUUAGGUAAAAGUUGUAAAAUUUUGACUACAGGGGUCACAUGGCAGUGUGGCUAGGCCGUGUACCUCACACGAUUAAGACACAUGCUCGUCUCUCAGGCUGUGUAACAUUCAAAACUUCCCCACACAUCCUUUUUCCAGGUCGUGUGACUCACUGACUUGCAUGCAAAGGAACCCUCAGACUACACACGACCGUGACGUCAGGCCGUGUGUUUGACAUGGUUGAGUCCUUAGCAAAAAAUGUUCAAAAACUAUCAAAUUAGCUGCUGGAUAGUGUGAUAGGUCUCUGACAAGCUUUUAACCGAAUCGAACCUUCCGAUGAUCUACAAGAAAAGAAAACAACCAAGGUAAGCAAUAAUGCUUAGUAAGUUUGUAUAAAGACAACUAAACUGCUGACAUAAUAGAAUAAACAACUAAGUACAAUUUUUAUUAUAUUUUAAGCUAACUUUCAUUUUCUAUUCACUAAAUCUCUCGUGGAUAAUUGUUGUACCCUUGGAUAGACAUAUAUAUAUUUUUCCUGAUAAGCAUUUCAUAUAACCAUUUUACUUAAACGUUUCUUCUUACCAUAACACUUACACCUUUAACAUAUAAUCAUUCUGUAAUUCAUCUUUUGUUUCAAAAUUUCCUAUAAGCAUAUCAUCCUGAAAUCACUUACUUUCACUAAACAAGGUGAAAACGAAAUAAAUAAAUUAAUCAUACCUGUUAUUCAUUUACGAAGCAUUUAUAGGAUUAAUAUUGAAAAUGGUUGAUCGUAUACUUCAUGUACUAUAAUAAUUCAGUCCAAACUCAUACAUAUAUGUGUAUAAACAUCUAUCUUUAACCGAAUAAUCAUCAAUAUAAUGAUACUCACAUAUGAGAAAGAAAUUCAUUGAACACUUAACAUUUAACAUUUAACAUUUAACAUUUACUAAUGUCUUGAUUAUACAUUAGUGAUCGCACGAUUUUGUGUGAUAAUUUUUAAAUAUUUAUAAUUAAUCGUUCUUGAAACUAACUAUUGUCGCAAUGCAGGCAAGUGUACUUAUCGAACAGUAGUAUAAUUUUAGCAAGACCGGAUUGUCGAACCCAAAGAAACUAAAAGUACUAGUAAUGACUGUCUUUUUAUUAUCUAGCCUAAGAAUAAGGGGGUUUUGUUUUCACUAACUAAUUAACUAAUCUAAGAAUUCACAGAGACUUUUGGAAAACAAUUGAAUUAAGACAAUACUUAAGGAAAAAUCCACCUAGACUGUACUUGUUAUUCUGGCUCCGAAUUGGACGAUUUAUUCAUUUAACUUGUUCCGUAGAGAUCCCUAAGUUAUGUUAUUAUCCCUAUUCAAGACUAAUAACGUCUAAUCCUUAGAUUGAAUAAUUGAGACUCUUCUCUAAUUAACACCCUAAGGUUGCAUUAACUCGAUCUAUGAGUCGCCUUAUUAGGUUUCACCCUAAUCCGACAAAAUUUUGUCACCCUAUGUCUAGGCGCGCAAACAACUUCGCUUAAUUAUGACAAAUGUACUCUUAGACAGGGUCUAUUCCUCCUCUGAAUAAGAGCUUAUCUUGAAUCAGUAUCCUGGGAUAUCAAAACAAGAAUUAAGAACACAUAAUUAAGAACAAGUUAAAUAUUUAUCACACAAUUCAGAAAAUAAUAACAACAUUCAUCUUAGGUUUCAUUCCCCUUAGGUAUUUAGGGGAUUUAGUUCAUAACUAAAAAGGAAAACAUCUCAGAAGAAUAAUGAAUACAAAACAUAAAAAAAA
rnacentral:lncRNA from 1 species